GCGCCGUCGUCCCGCUCCGGCCGGCUGCCGUUCUGCGCCAACGCCACCACCUCCGGCCGCGUCACCAUGUCCGCCGAGUGGAUGCCCGGCCAGCCCCGCCCCGCCCACCUCGACGGCUCCUCUCCUGGGUAAUACUCACGGCCAAUCACCACGACGACGCCGGCGUCGAGGCUGAUGAACUGACGAGUGAUGACUGACGAUGCUUGUGUCUGUUUUCCAGGGACUUCGGCUUCGACCCCCUGGGCCUCGCCACCGUUCCGGAGAACUUCGAGCGGUUCAAGGAGUCCGAGGUCUACCACUGCCGCUGGGCCAUGCUCGCCGUGGUACGCCGCUGUGCUGCCUCUCUGAUUACUUACGAUCAUGUCAUGAACUAUGGCAUGGACCUGACCGAUGAGCUUUGCAAUUGUGUGGCAUGCAGCCCGGGAUCUUGGUGCCUGAGGCGCUGGGCCUUGGCAACUGGGUGAAGGCGCAGGAGUGGGCGGCCGUCCCCGGCGGGCAGGCCACAUACCUGGGCAACCCGGUGCCGUGGGGCACGCUGCCCACCAUCCUGGUGAUCGAAUUCGUGGCCAUCGCCUUCGCCGAGCACCAGCGCACCAUGGAGAAGGACCCCGAGAAGAAGAAGUACCCCGGCGGCGCCUUCGACCCGCUCGGCUUCUCCAAGGACCCCGUCAAGUUCGAGGAGUACAAGCUCAAGGAGAUCAAGAACGGUGAGUCUCCUGGUUUUGUGUACUAUAUGAUCUCGUUGUUGUAGUGACAGCCUCCCACUCCAUUGAUCAUACGCUAACCACUGGGCAUCGUCUAAACGAUUGUGCAUGAUGAUGAGCAGGCCGGCUUGCGAUGUUGGCGUUCGUGGGGUUCUGCGUGCAGCAGUCGGCGUACCCCGGCACCGGGCCGCUGGAGAACCUGGCUACCCACCUCGCCGACCCGUGGCACAACAACAUCGGCGACAUCAUCAUCCCCAGAACGAUCUACCCUUGAGCUGAGAUGAUUGUGAGAGAAGAGGAUGAGACGAGACAGGAGAUGGGGCUGUGCUGGGAGUGUGGAUGAUGUUCUAUGUGUGUGAUUGGUUGGUUACUGGGCACUGCCUGCGUGCGUGCAGGAACUGUACAACGAACAACGACGGCGACUUUCCGGCCGGCCGGGAACCCCUUAUAAUGUAAAGCUUAUUAUUAUUAAGUAGCGGCUACCCUUAUGAAUCCACCCAAGUUUUGUGCCAAAACCAAACUAUAGCUUUGCUAUGUUCCCCAUUGUUUUGCCGAAGGGCAAAUCAGAGGAAGUUCAGCGUGUGUUUGAUUUGGGAUCAAAUGAGAUGUGUUGGAUUCAUCCUACUUUUCUUGGUCAGGUUCAAUCCGUCUUGUGUUUGGUUGGGAGGGAUGUGUCCAUCUUGGUUUUUUUGAAAGGUGAGAUUUAAUACCGUUAACCACGGUUAAUCUCAUCUGUCAUCCAUGGAUCUCAUGUGCCAUCCUAAUUUCCCUUACAUUUGUUUUCUUUUAGCCUGCCUUAUCUUCUUGUGACGCUUCCUCAACGCGCCCUCCUUCACCAUGUCACCUCUCUAUUGUGCCAUCCUCCCCUGCCGCCCUCCUGUAAUACCCCGUCCUCCAAAGCUGCACCGCCCAACCCUUUUGAGGGGCGGGCACGCAUAUACAUAUCAUCCUACUUACACUUUUGUCGUCGCUUUGUGUAAAAGAUUUAACCCGAAGGUGCUAUGGCUGGUGGACAGAGGUUUAUAAGUUAGCUCCACCUUGCUCAACUAGCAAGGUGGUACUAAACAUGCGCACCUAUGCUCAUGGGCCACUACUGGGCCAUCCAAAAUUGGACCGGGUGCUACAUACACCCCCCUCAAAGAACCCGACGUCCUCGUUGGUCCAACUCACCCACACUUAGCGCACGACCGUACGUCCAUUGCCGGCGCCAUAUGUCAUGCCGUGUGUCCCAUCUAAAGCCCACACACGACAUGCGUCAUAUGCCUGCACACUGACCCGUACGCGCAACCGCAAGGGUUAGCUCUGAUACCACUUGUAACACUCCGUUCUCCAAAGCUGUCCCGCCCAAACAUUACGAGAGGGCGGGCACAUGUACACAUAGCACUGUACUUACACUUUCGUUCUUGUUUCGUAUAAAAGGGUUAACCCAAAGGUGCUAUGGCUUGUGGUCAAAGGCUUAUAAGUUGGUUCUGCUCUUGCUCAACUAACAAAGUGGUACUAAAUAUGCAUACCUGCGCUCAUAGGUCACUACUGAGCCAUCCAAAUUUGAGCCGGGUGUCACAUCUCCACUCCUCACACCUCUCCACCCUGUUCCUCCACAGCAUCGGCCGCUGUAGCUCGUGCCCCCAAUACACCUCGGGCUGGUCCCAACUCACUCAGGCAGAGCUUGCCCCACCUAGCGGCGGAGCUCUGCAUCUACACGAUAUUUUCCCUUCGAGGUAUGUCCCAACCCACAUGAAUCUCCGUCCAAACGGUGAUCCAUUUGGAUCUGACCUGUCCCAUCCAGUUCAACCUUCAAACCAAACGCAUGCUUAAUUUUGAAAUAGGGAAAAUUUGUAUGAGACUUGAGCACCUGGUGAUGGUUGCUUUUACAUAGAAACUAAAUACGCACAUCGAAUCUAUUAUGAGAUACAGGAAGACAAAGGCAGUUUUCUCCCAAAUUUCUUUCCCAUCCAUUUGUUCUGAAUCAUCAUGAUCAAGUGCUUCUAACUGAUGAGGUUGUAUACCUAAGGGCCAAUAUAUACGUAGGGUGAUUUUUUUUCAAAAAUAAAGGAAUAGUAAAUAUUCUUGACUUCUUUUCUUCUUUUUAAUCAAGAAACGUAUACUUCCUUUGUCAUCCUAAAUUAUAGGUCGUUUUGGUAUUUAUAGAUUCAUAGCUUUUACUAUGUAUCUAGACAUAGUAUACAUUUAGAUGCAUAACAAAAGCUAUACACCUAGAAACAUUAAAACGACCUACUUCCUCCGUCCCAAAAACAAGUCAUUCUAGAAAUUUUAGGACAUAUUAACAAGAGGUAAAAUGAUCUUGAUUGGCCCUAUUUAUUAGCUAUAUUUGGUGCUAAUUAACUGUUGUAUUCCUACUGCACACAUGCUAAAAUUGUGUAUAAUGAUCGAAAAUUGCAUCGUGGAAUUUGCAAUAAUGCGAUGACGACAGGAAUUGAAUGAAAAGAUCAGAAAAAAUUCGAAUAAAUACAAUGCAAGUAAAAGUUCAUAGAUUCAUGAUUCAUUGGACAAAUUUUAAAUCGCAGAAUGAUUUUUUUGGACGGAGAGAGUACAAUUUAGGAUGGAUGGAGUAGCUACUAAGAAACACUAACAUAGCGUCGAGGUGAGAUAUUAUCCCGAGAGGCGGAGACAGAGAUUGACAAUAAUGAAAGUGGCCAAAAAAUGCCGCAAGGUUCAACACGCACGCCGGAUAGAGAUAAAGGCCGGGCGGACCCGUCAUGGCUCGCCUCGCCCAAGGGAACCAAACUGGCACCAACAGAAUACACGCCUUCAAAAUGGAGGCCUCUCUUCUAUAUAUCGCCGUUGAUAUUCGCCAGCGACCAACCAAACUUUCACAACGAACUGGCCGGAAAGAAGAUGGACAUGGACCUGCCGGUCGGGCCGACGUUGUCGUCGGCCGUCGGUGCUGGCGCCGGCAGCUCAUUGCGGGCGUGGUCGGUGCGCGCCGGCAUCGGCCGCGAGGUGGACGGUCUCGCCGCGGUUCUUGAUGAGACCAAGCUGGUCCUCAGCUUGGCACGCGGGAAGGAGGAGCCGGAGAACAAGGCGUUGGAGGGAUUCUUCAGGGAGCUAGACUACGAGGUGUUCGACGUGGACACCCUCGUCAACGAGCUGGAGGACCGCCGCCGCAUACGGACCGAGGUGGUGGAACCGUGGAAGCAGCUGCUGAGGAGGCCGUCGCUGGGUGGCAGGUUAGUCACAUCGUCAGAAAAUAGAGAUUUUGGAUUCCCCCUUUCUACGAAGAAAAUGGAGAGAUCAAAUCAAACGGGCAUUUGGGUUUAUGAUCUUCACAAGAAACAUGGAUGGAUGAUGCAGAAACCAAAGAAAAUAAGUUUGGACACAUGAUGACACGGUCUCAUCCUUUUGUCGCUAUUUUCUAGUAAAAUAAAAGGUUAUCAAAAUAUUUUCCAGGAUAAAUCUACAAACAAGGUUUUUGAAGUUUUCAAACUAUGGUAGUCCUUGCGGAUCAGUUAAACCGGGUUUGGCACUGCAUGCUUCAGCUCUGGUCCUCCAUGUGCGCCAUUGCAUGCGUCAGUAAACAUGGUGGCGGUUGCGGACGGUAGCUUCCUCCUCUAUUGGUAUUUCCAUAUGGUACUGUAUAUUUUGGGUUUGCAGUCUUCACUCUUCAGUCUCCUUGGUCUGCCUAGUUCAGUUAAUUUGUGAUGCUUCCCGCACGUGUGGUGUUGGAUCAGAUGGUAAUUCAGGCUCUCAGUUAGUUUCUGCCAAAUUUGAUUUCGGACUCAGUUGUAUUAUUGCAAGAAACUUGUGUUAUAUUAAACUUCUUAAUCGGACAUGUUGGAUGUUCCAGAUCCCAAACUUCAAGUUAACUAGAGAAAUGCUGUCGGCAUUAUUGGAAUAAAAUGCAGCUAGCACUUAGGCUUAAACAAGAGCACAUUGUUUUCUCUCUUCCUUUUCUUUCGUUGAGAAAAUUUGUAUAUGCAAGCAUCUAUUUAUUUCUUCUUUUUAAUUUUAUUUCUAGUACUUGGGUAACCAUACUGAGUGAAUGGCAUGCAGGCCUCGGCAGACGAAGCUAGGUUGUUCAGAUGGAACAAACUGUGAUGUAUUUCAGCAGAACAGCUCUAAUACUGACCCAUCAGCCUCAGAUUCAUCAGAACUUCAGCUCGUAACGUACAAAGAAGAAGCAAAAUCUUUGAUGCCUGGGGUGGAACUAGACAACAAGGAUGACAUCCUACGUAGGAUAUCACAUCAUGUCAAUCCGCUCAGUCAAAUGCAACAUUAUGCACGCAAAGCUCUCAGACAUGAGGAGCUUGACUUGCUUGCUCUCUGAAUGAAAUCUGCUGCAGACACGGACUUGAGACAACUCCUUUGGUCCCUGAACCCAGAAUCUAUGGCAGAGACAGGAGGAUUUGUCGGUCUUCGCAGUUGUUGGUAACGGUGGUGUUGGCAAGACCACAUAAGCUCGUGUUCUAUACAAUGACGAGAUAGUCGCCCGCAACAGUUAUAGAAAGCCACCUGUCUAUGACGUGUCCACAUCAGCUAUAGGUAAUAAUUGUAGACUAGUUACUAAACAGAUCAGCUAUAUCAUUUAUUUCAAAAUUUAGUGGGUCCCACGCGCCAGGAUUUCUUUAAUCCUUCCCUCCUCUCUCUCUUCCCUUUCCAUCCUCUCCCUUCCUGUCUUCCCCACCUCCCCUAUCCCGGCAGCACGCCUUCACCUUCGUCCGCUGCUGCUCGCCGGUGGGCCGCGCCCUAAGCCAGCGGGCCGCUUCUCCUUUGCGUUACUGCGUGGCGGCGCUGAGGCCAAGCUCCGUCCCUGGAUGGAGUCCGCCCACGACAGCGGCCAUGCUCCGGUGGCCCCGCACCUGGCCUCCGCCGCAGGCACCCCCGCCAGCAUGCACGCAUGUGGCGCCACUCCCGGCCUCCACUGCGGCCACGCCCGCGGUCAUGUGCGCAAGCGGCACCACUCCCGACCUCCGCCGCCAGCCGCGCCGUCUGCAUGCGCACUAGCGGCCGAGCAGCGCUCCACCAGCUCCAUGCCCGCGCCCGCCGCCCAGCCUCCUCCCUCAUCGUACAGGGUGCCGGUGGCUGAGCCCCGCCUUCCCUCCUCGUAGUGCCGGAGGCCGCAACUUGCCCCCUCCCCACUAGGCCACCACGCUCCUCACCUUUGCUUCUGACAGCGCCCACACACACGCAGGUGGCGCCAUACUGCCCCUUUGACCCCCCAUGUUGGCCACGCCGCGUGCCCCACCUUGCCCGUGCUCGAUGACCUGGGCGACACCUCAUAUGUGGAGUGGAGGCUUGGAGGGUGGAGGCUGGAAGGACUGAAGGAGAGAGGCAGAGGCAGACGGGGAGCGGGGACAGGUAAGGCAUGGAGAUGAGCAGGUGGGCGGGGAGCGCUGUCGGCUCUCGCCAGGUUCAGCAACAGCCGCUUCUUCUAUUUCCUCCAUGCGGGACAAAAAACUGACGUGAAAAUCUUGUAGAGAGCACAUAUCGGCCCGUUGCGGCUGCCAUAAGGGUGUGGAUCUAUGCCUCUAUCAAUUUUGAUGAAAUUAAGCUAACCCCUGAUUUGUUAGAGUGCUUGUAUGGUGACAGGUUUGAGAGAAUUGAGGACAUGAAUAAACUCCAACAGUUUGUUGAGGACGCUGUGAAAUAAAAAAGGCUUGGUCUGGAUGAUAUACGGGAAGAUUGCCAAGCGGCCCCUUAGCGAUCAGUUGUAGCUCUUUCCUCAGAGUAUACAAGAUCUAUUUCAACUAGCAUUGUUAGUAUAAGCCUUUUGUUGAUAAGUGAUUCAGAUUUAAUCUAGCAUAUACAGACACAUAACAGAUAGAGCAGAGGUAACCAAUCUAGAGCAACCUAGAUCAUGCAUAUGUUGUAGUUCUGAGCAUGUAUAACAGAGCAAUACAGAUAUGAUCUUAGUAAAAGUAUCUUUAAAUCUACACCUCCGGUCUGGCUUCCGAAAACCCCUAUCUUACACAAGAAAGAUCCUAUCAUGAUCUCCUCUAUCAGCAUAUGUAAUCUAAGGGCACGAUCACAAGAAUAUGUUAUACUCAUCAGUAGAUCAGGCAUGCAAAUCUGUCACCAUGACCAUAUAAACAUCCUAAGCAAUCUAUCAUAGAUUGAAAAGCAAGCAAGUCCGAAAGAGCAUAAAACCAUAGAAGGAGGCACUUAGAUCGCUAAGAACAAGAACAUAUCUAUUACUUCACCAUGAAUGAUUGUACAUCACCAGAUCUCCACAAGGAUUCUACCUUGAUCUAAUGAUCCUAGCUCCAGAACUCCAACGUGGAUCUUCCUUGCAGGGUUCCCACGUUAGCUAGGGCUUAGCUAUGCUAAUCCCUAUACAACUGCACGACCCUCGUCUCUUCGAAGUGGUAUCCCUCAAGCUCCUUCUGCUUCCUCAUUGGAGAAAUGGGGUAUUUAUAGUCUGGAGGAUCUGUGGCAGAUGGAAGGUGAGGGGGCGAAGGAACACCCCAUGCCGAUUGUCCUGGGCCUUCCUUUUGCCCACUCGCGCAUCCCUUUAUCUCCAAGUCAUCUCAGGUAUUCUGAAGUCUUCUUUUCACUUGCAUGUAGGCCUGGCACGUCGAUAGCUUCAGGAUAAGAUUGAUCCUUGAUAACUCAUAUCUCCGCUUGAUCUUCUUUGAUCCCGAACUCAUUUUGCCAUAUCUUUACAAACUUGGCCCUUAAGUCAUCCUGGAGGAUUGCUUGCUAAAAAAUGAGCAUGAGAGGGGCCCUAAGGACCCUAGGCCGAUCGACAUGGGCCUCUAUAGGCCGAUCGGCCUAAGCCCUAGUUGGGCUUGGUGGCCUUCAUCUGUCUCUGGUUCGUUCAGGGCUUUACCCAAUUACGCUCCAUUAAGUUUAAUUUCCUGCAAAAUGGGCUAUCCUCCAAAAUAUAUUGCAUAUGUGAAAAUGACCCGUUUAUUAGGUAUGAUCAAUAGUUUAGGUAUUAAAUUCAUGUUAUUAUUGAAGAUAAAGAUGGGUAAAAAAAUAUCAAUAAUGAGCGUCAACAAUCCCCCCAUGCUUAAACCUUGCUCAUCUUCAAGUAAGUCUUCAAUAGAAAUCAGCGUUGCCCUUCGGUGUUCAAUCCUGCACUUGAUCAUGCACAAGAAAACAUAAUAUUCUCAUAAUAGUUUUUUAAUUAGUAUUCAAGUUGUAACCAGUCUUUUCUAAUAUGGAGGGUAGAUAUCAUUUAAGCACACCUCCCACAAUAUAUUAAUCACUUGCUCUCAAUUUUAAACAAAUCUCAAAAGAUUUUCGAUAAAAUUUUUUCAAAAAGAAACUGAACCGAGAUCAACAAUUUAAACUUUAUUGCAACUGCUCAUUAUUUUCUCAGCUCAUCAAGUCUCUCGAACCUGUGCUAGAACUGUUCCAACCUGUCAUCCCUCGUAAAAAUAUGUAUAAGGCUUUAUCUGGAUCUUUGGAAGGUUAGUCCUAGCAAAAUAUUAUAAUCAGGAUAUUAUCAAAAUAAGAAAGACUUCUGAUGGAUAUAACCGAGACUUGUUAAAAAGGUUAUGAAAAAUAAUUGCUUAUGGAGAGGGAGAAAAUGAACACACACUUUCAGAUAGUGGACAUGUGCAAGGGCAAAAGGUGAUCGCGAGACACAAAUGAAGUCCUUGAAAUCGGAUUGCAUAUGGUUGAAAAAUGAGUAUGGAUCAAUCUUGAGAGCACUUUGGAAUUUUCAAUGAAGCUUGGAGAAUUAAGGAGUACUUUUAUUUUUUUUCUCCUUUUUAUUUUUUAUUUUUUAUUCCUUUUCCUUCCUUUUUUCUUUCUUUUCUUCUCAAUAUAUUUUUUUUCUUUUUCUCCUAAGAACUUCUUGCAACAUAGUACUUCACUCAGCAGUAGUUAAAAAUAGUGCGAUGACUCUCCCCCAUGCUUGAACGAUGCUCGUCCUCAAGCAUGAAAGAGGAAAAAAGAUAAACUGCUGAUGUAAGUAACAAAAUCUUCAAUCUUCUGCAGAAAAUUAUUUUAUUCUUCUGGAGGAUUGUCCACACCAAAAUUCAGAGGGUCCAAAGGGGAAUGACCAGCUUGUAAGUCUCGUACCACAGAAAUAAAUCCUGAAUCAAUUCACCCAAAAAUAUAUCAUGCAGUCUAUGGUUCAUCAUGAUAUAAAUAUUUGGCUUUGGAUAGGUAGAACAAUUGCAAGAAGUAUUAUUGACAAGGUGAGUGCAAUGAUAAUAAAAAAUAAAUGAGCCUUUGAUCUAUUUAAAAGAGAGAGCGAUAAAUAUAUGUGGGUCUCAAGUUAUCAUAACCUACACAAAAAGAUAAGCAGGUAUUUAUAUCAUUUCAAACUGUGUUAGAGAGAGCAUUAGUUCAAUGGUGCAAUAACCAAGCACAAAAAGCAAACAAAGCGGCAACGAUCAUCAUCUUUCAACAUGACAUUUGAUGGCAGUUAGCAUGCCAAUUUAUGAACCGCAAGCAUACAGAUUAGUUGUAGCUCUUCCCUUGGAGUAAUCGCUCAAGGUUUAUCAAUCUAUGGAACAAGUGGAUUUGCACGCGUAACUAAGCACUAAUCUAUGUAACUGAAGGUUCUUUGUAUAUGAUAUGAUUAUACUAAUAAAAGAACUGAGAAAUCUAGAUUAAGGCAGAUAGAGAGUAUGAAUGUAAACAAGAUAGAUAAAACGCUUGUCCUAGGAAUCUAAGAUCACCUGUAGAUGUAAUCGCCAUGCAUGAAAGAACUAGAUCUAAGUGUUAUCGUGAGUGGAUGUGAAUCAUGCCCCACUUUCCCUCUCGCACGUUGUCACUACACGAGGGUACUCAAAUAUUAAACGAUAAGAACAUGGCAUGAUGAUCAUUCUAGGUAAGCAAAUAAGUAACCCAAAGUAGCGCUGGCCAACCAUUGCAUGAAACAACAUCAUCAAGAUAUGAUAGAUAACAAACAGAUCUUAAACAAGAGGUUCAGCAAUUACAAAUCAAGAUCUCCAUACAACCCUCGAGGACAAAUAGAGACUUUACCCCAUGGUCUAACACAUAUUGACAGAAUUCUGGGUAGAGAUCACCCUGUAGAUCAACUGGACCGAAGACGACGAUGAACGGGGGCAGGAAAGCCGCAGGCCGAUCGGCUUGGGCAGCUCUAAGCCGAUCGGCUUGGGAGGUUUCUCCCUCCUCUGGUGCUCCGCUUCGCGUGGCUUCUUGUAGACCCAAUCUUCUCUCCGUUUUUCCUCCUUGUGGCGGUGGUGGAUGGUGUUUACAUGGUGUUUUCUCCUCUCUCUCUGUCCUACUCUUCUUCCUUGAAGUCCAUGAGGGGUAUUUAUAGUCUCCCAUAGGUGGUGGAUCUGGGUCAAUGUCGGUGAAAAAACCCUAGAGAUCAUUGUAGACUUCACGCUGAAGAAACGGGAGGUCGACCGAGCCCUGGAAUGGGCCAGGCUGAUCGGCCCAGAGGGUCUCAGGCCGAUCGGCCUGGGCCCUUCCUAGCCCUUCUGGUCCUCUCCUUCCUUGUGUUGGCUUCCCUCGACGACCCAUGUCCAAAUAGCCAUUAAGCUCUUUAUACAAACUCCCUUGAUUAUGUCGUAUUUCUUGCCAAAAUACAACAUGGUCCAAAAUACAACAUAUAUGUAAUAAUGGAGUUAUUUCAGGUGCCAAGUUUUGGGUUAGUAUAAGAAUAAGUAUGAAAACACUGGUUAAGUAGCACUAAAAGUGUGUCAAUAACGAGUUUCAACGAUCCCCCCAUGCUUAGCUCUUGCUAGUCGUCGAGCAAGUUAGGCGAUUAUAAACUUCUCCAGUAGGGUUGAACAAAGAUCUUGAACUAAGCCUAAGCAAGCAAGUCAAGUACCUAGCCUUCAAACAAAAGAUCAAAGGAGUAGCAAAGAUAAUCAAAGUAUGAGUGUUCAAAGAUUUAUCUAAGCAAAGAUUCCCCACAGCUAUUGUUCAGAACCAAGUAACUUCAAGAAUCAACUACACUUACUUUCUAGCUUUCUUCGGAGGGUUUUUAUUUCAUCAUAAAACAAUCUCCCUGCAACAAAAUUGAAACAAGAAUUCUUUUCCAGGAGCUUACGUGUUGCACAAAUGAAUGGUGGCUAUCCUACUUAUUUGCAAGUUGUCAUCUCUCAAAAGUCACUCAAUUAUAUGGUGGAGCUUGGGUAAAACUAGCUAGAAUCAUUACUUAUAUUAUCAAAUUAAGAAAACUCUCUAACGGUUGCUUACCGAGCCAUUGAGCAUAAGAAUAUCCACAUAAUGUGAGGUUUUCAAGGAUGAGAAGAUAUAGAAUUGUGGACAUGUGCAAAGGCAAAUAAAAUAGUGACUUUGAGGCACAAGCGAUGUCCUCAUCGUCGGAUUGCACGUGGUUGGAAUGAAAUCCGUUCUGUAAACAAGUUCAUCUUUUCUUUGCACCUCUCUUGAUCUUCAUGCAGUAAAAACUCCUCCUUUAUUUCUUUCUCUCUUUUCCUAUUAUUUCUUUUUCAUUUUAUCAAUACUUUUCUUUCUUUUUUUUCCUUCUUACUUUCUUUCUUUAUUUUUAAUCUCUUCUACGAACCUCCUCUGAACACCACACCAUAAAAAUUAGUUUUAGAUCCUUCCAGAGACCUUCAAUGAAUGUGCUGCCUAAAAACUGAUGCAGAGGAGCCCCAAGCCGAUUCGCCUGGAGGGGACUAGGCUGAUAUGCCUGGCCUCUCCUUUCUUCCCCUCUAGCUCUUCUUUCUGGUGAAGCUUCCUUAUCUUGCAUCUUUCCAAAAUUUCAUUGAGCUUGACUAGGAAUGGAACAGAUCUUCAUAUAAUGGGUUGUGUUCAAGGAAUAGGUAAUAAAAUUGAGAAAUUUAUAGUUCGGGUUUAGGAAUUUAGUAGAAAAUAUGAUUUUUUCCAAUGAAGAACUCUCAUUACUGAAUAUUGAUGAGGCUAGAAAUCAGAGAUGGUAAAAGCAUACAAUCAAUGCUCAGAAUUAAAGCAAACCAAAGAGAUAGCGAUCCUAACUCAAUUCAAAGCGUAAAUUCUUGCUUAUGUUGGUAUGAAUAAAUAUUUUUAGGCAUUGGGUAGGAUAGGCAAAACUCUCAACCUAGUAGAAAACUUGAUCAAUCUUGUUUUUGCAGAGGUUUUAGAUAAGCAAUAAAAUUCUAAAUCAUCUCCAAUUUAAUCCUUACUAAUAAAGCAUAAUCAAAACCAAAGCACUUAAUCAUCAUAAAGCAUGGGUAUUGCAUGAACAAAUCAAUUACUAAACUUCACAACUAAGAUUUAGAAUUCAAGACAAUGCUCAUGAUCCAAAAUUGCAUAGACAAAAUAAGAGACAAGCAAACAAAGGUAGACACUAAAAACACUUGGGUGAUCCUCGAAUUUUAUUCGUGCUUCUUCUCACAAAGACGCUAAAGUAACGAUCUAGGCCUAAGUCUUUCUAGAAGCUUAAGAAGACUACUACUUUAUCUAUUUUUGAUUGAAAUAAAAACACUAAAUUAGACUAUCACGUGACUCAACUUGACCAAACUAGAUCCAAAAACUUAUACGAGCAGUGAUCUCCCGAUGCUUAAAAUUUACGACGUCCUCAUCGUAACCACAUGGAGUACAAAGGGAAAGACUCUUGUAAAUGCACUAGUGAUGCUGCCCGCACUGCUUGCAUACAGGAUGGCUGCUGCUUCCUUCGCCAUGAGCUCUGUUCUUCCUCAUGUUGCCGCACAUCCCGAAGUGCUUCUUCACAUUCCUCUACAAGAACUUGAAGUCAUCCUCCUGCCGGCGAUCAUUAUCAUCUACCUUUUGAUCCAGAACUUGCAAGGCUUCCAUGAUGUCGUCGACGACUUCGAAGAGGUAAUGUAUGUUCUUCCUGCAAGCGGUGCAACACGUAUGAUCAUGCUCCUCCGGUUCUGGCCCGUCAUCUUCUAGAACUUUUCUCUUUGCCCUUGUCUUGACGGCGGUCCUCUUCCACCUUGCUUUUCUUCAUCUUGUCAGCCAAAUCCCAGUACGUGUUGGCAUCUUUUUCGUCAUCAUGGCCUGCAGCACCCCAUGAUCUGGGGCUCCUAUCAUCCUCCCAAUCGCUAUCACCUCCGUAGUCAGCUAGCGAGUACUUAGGUGUCUUCUACACAUAGCUCUUUUUCUUGAUCCCAAGGAGCCUUGCUGAACGCCUUGUGGGAGCGACGAUGACCUCCUUCUUCUUGGUUGCUUCAUCAUCACUUGAGGAUGAUGAACUUGAGAUCCAUGAGCUUUCCAAAUGGCGCCUUACCCCCAACGUUGAUGCAAGCGUUAUGAGCGGUCCUUGGUAGAGUUUUGGGAUCCAACUCGCACCUCUUGGCUUCCAUGUGAAGGGCGAAGGCGGCGGCCAAGGGAGGGGGUGCUGCCGAUCGGCCUGGGGAGGUUAGGCUGAUUGGCCUGGCCUCCUCCUUCACUGGUUGCUACCCCCUCUCGUCUCCCGAGCUCCUGGAUGUCGCCGUUGCACUUUUUUUCUAGUUUGGUGGAUCUGAAUUGCUUGUGUAGAUGCGAAACUCGAGCUUCAGUUGGCCUCAUUAUAUACUCUUGAAGUUUUAGCCAAGGAUCCACACAUUUUGAAAAAUUUCCUUGCCCCUUCCUGCAAAAAUUCACUUAAAUAAUCUGUCAUUACCAAAGAUGGGAAAGGGGGAACCGAAAUGGAGGCAAAAACCCCCCAAGACAAUUGGCCUGGGGGCUACUAGGCCGAUCAGCCCAAGGGGUUUUCAGCCUCUCUGUCUCCCAUCUUUUCAUGGUAGUGCGUAUUGUUGAUGGUUGUUAGCAUGCCAAGUUGUGAACCGCAAGCGUACGGAUCAGUUGUAGCUCUUCCCUCAGAGUAUUCCCCUAAGGUUUAUCAAUCCUUGGAACUUGUAGCACAAGAUCUAUUUCAAUUAGCAUUGUUAAUAUUAACAUGGUGUUUAUGAGAGAUUCAGAUCCAAUCUACUAAGGAUGUACAGACAGAUAACAGAUAAAAUAAAGGUAACCAAUCUAGAGCAACCUAGAUCGCUAAGAACAUGAACACAUCUAUUACUUCCAUGAAUGAUUGUACAUCACAAGAUCACCACCGGGAUCCUAUCUUGAUCUUGAUGACUUCUAGCUCCAGAACUCCAGCGUGAUCUUCCUCGUAGGGUGAUCACGCCAACAGAGGUUCGCCUAGGCUAAUCCUUGACAACUACACGGCCCUCAGCUCUCCAGAGAGGUGUCCCUCAAGCUCCUUCUGCUUCUCUGCUAUUUCACAUCAAGUACGUCAUCUUUGAUAUGGGGCUCGGUGGAUUUUUUGGGGUAUUUAUAGUCUAGAGAGCGCGUGGCAAAAAUUGGAAGGCGAAGGGGCGAAGGAAACACUAGGCCAAUCGGCCUGGGCCUUUCUUUUGGCCCGUCGCGUCCUGCUUUGUCUUCAUGUCUCCUCUGGUGCUUUGAAGUCCUAUUUUCACUUGCAUAUGGGCCUGGCACGUCGGUUGCUUCCAGAUGAGAUUGAUCUUCAAUGACUUUCCAAAUCUUCACUUGAUCUUCUUUGAUUCCUCUUUGAUCCCAAAGUGAUCCUUGCCAUAUCUUCACAAACUUAGCCCUUAAGUCAUCUCGGAGGAUUGCUUGCCAAAGAUGGAUGACGGAAGGCUCCAGAAGACCCUAGUCCGAUCAGCCUAGGCUCCUUUCAGCCGAUGGGCCUAGGCCUUUCCUAGGCCCAUUGGCCUCCGUCUUCAUUUGAUUCGAUGCUCGUUUAUUGCUUUAUCCAAAAAUAUACUUUAAGGUCCAAUUCCCUGUAAAAACAGAACAUCCUCCAAUAUAUGUUGCACAUGUGAAAAUAACCGGUUUAUUAGGUGUAAUCAAUAGUUUAGGUAUUAAAUUCAUGUCAUUAUUUAAGAUAAACAGGGGUAAAAGUGUGUCAAUAGUGAGCAUCAACAAUCCCCCCAUGCUUAAACCUUGCUCGUCCUCGAGUAAGUCUCCAAUAGAAAUCAACGUUGCCUUUCGAUGUUCAAUCCUGCACUAUAUUCCACAGAAGAAAACAUAAUGCUCUCAUAAGAUUUUUCAAUUAAUAUUUAAGUUGCAACCAAGAUUCUCUAAUAUGGAGGGUAGAUAUCAUUUAAGGACAUCCCACAAUAAAUUUAUUCUUUUGCUCUCAAUUUUAAACAAACCUCAAAAGAUUUUCAAUAAAAUUUUUUAAAAAGAAAAUGAACUGAGAUCAACAAUUUAAACUUCAUUGCAAUUGCUCAUGUUCUCUCAGCUCAUCAAGUCUCUCAAACCUAUCCUAGAACUUCUCCAACCUGUCAUCACUCAAAAAUAUGUGUAAGGCUUUAUCUGGAUCUUUGGGAAGGUUAGUCCUAGCAAAAAUAUUAUAAUCAAGAUAUUAUCAAAAGAAGAAAGACUUCUGGUGGAUCUUACCGAGACUUGUCAAAAAGGUCAUGGAAAAUAAUUAUUUAUGGAGAGGGAGAGAGUGAACACACACAUUUAGAUAAGGGAUAUGUGCAAGGGCAAAGAGUGAUCGCGAGGUACAAAUGAAGUCCUUAUAAUCGGAUUGCACAUGGUUGGAAUAAUGAGUAUGGAAUAAUCCUUAAUCUUGAAAGCACUUGGGAUCUUUAUGAAGCUCAAAGAACUGAGGAGUAUUUUAUUUCUUUUUCUAAUUUUUUCUUUCUUUUUCCUUUUUCCACAAUAUAUUUUUUCCUUUUGCUCCUCAGAACUCUUUGCAACAUAUUACUUACUCAGCAGUAGUCAGAGAUAAUGCGAUGACUAUCCCCCUCAUGCUUAGACGAUGCUUGUCCUCGAGCAUGAAAGGGAAGAAAGAUAAACUGCUGAUGUAAAUACCAAAAUCUUCAAUCUUCUGGAAAAAAUGAUUGUACUCCACUGGAUGGGUUUUCAUGCCAAAUUUCAGAGGCAACAGAGGGGGGAACACCCCAGGCCGAUCGGCCUGAGGGUGGCCAGGCUGAUCGGCGUAGCCUCUUCUAGCUUCUGUUUCGUCCGCUUUUUAUUCCAUGCACUAGUGGUUGCCUCCAAGUCUUGAUUUUCAUGAAAAGGCACUGAAUAAUCUUUCGAAUCUUCGUCGAAAUAUUUUCCAUACUCAAAUUGGGUUGUGGUCAAGGAGGUAGUCUCAAAAAUGAUAUAUUUGGGUUUUGGUUUGGAUGCCCAGGGAAGUUUGCGAAAUUUUCAGUGUAGAAAUUCACAAUGCAUGGACAGAAAGGCUUGCAAUAAGAGGUUACACAAAAAGGAAUGGCCAGCUUCUAAGUCUCAUACCACAACACAAAACUAGAUCCUUAAUGAAUUCACCCAAAAAUAAAUUUUGCAAUCUAUGGCUCAUAAAUAUUUGGCUUUGGAUGGGUAGAGCAAUUGCAAAAAGUAUUAUUGACAAGGUCAACAUGAGUUGUAACUAAAAAUAAAAGAGCCUUUGAUCCAUUUAAAAUACAGAUCCAUACCCAAAUAUAUGGGUCCAAAUUAUCAUAACCUCCACAAAAAGUAAGCCAAUAUUUAUAUUAAUUUCAGUUCGUGUUAGAGAGAGCAUUAGUUCAAUGGUGCAAUAACCAAGAACAAAAAUUAAACAAAGUGGCAACUAUCAUUAUCUUUCAACAUGAUAAGAACUUAAACCAUCACAAUUAAUUACGUAUCAUUAUAUUUAGGUGAUGCAUAUUUUAUUUAAGCAUGGCAUGGUGAAAUAAACACAUAAAUUGAAAAUAAAGAGAAAAUAAAAUAGAAAAGUAAAACAGAAAAUACUAUGCAUACCCAACACACAUGUUGAAAUAAAUAAAAAGAAAAGAAAAGAAAACUCAAACCACACGUGUGUGUUUUUAUUCAUCUCCUUCGGUCUCUAGUCCAGGUCAUCUUGCGGUGGGUCAUAUUGUGGCUCUCCUUUCGGCGCGUCUUCUUGCUGUUGGUACUCGUGAUACCCCUACUCGUAGUGCUCCUGCGCUCCACCUUGGUACUGAUUUGGAGGCACAAUCCUUAGCUUGCCGAACUGAUAGGUGAUGGUUAUGUUGUUGUCCCCAAUACUGUCAGCAGCUUGCCUCACAGUACCUGCAUACCUGCAUCUUCUAAAUUUCUUUGUAUACACAUGCCUAUGAUGCGCGCACUUCUCUAUGGCUGUGGCAGGUGGCUGUACUAAGUAGACAAUGGAGCAUGUGGUGGGGUCCCUAAAAAGGAGGUGCAUAUAACCAUGAAAAGCAUAUGGUGCCAGUGGAGGUGGAUGCGCCGGUUGCUGAAAUUCCGAUUGUACUGGAUACACCGGCUGUUGGAGUUCUGGUGCAUAUGGACCUUGAGCCCAUGCUUGUGCCGGCACCUCCAGCCACUGUUCUUGCUACCAUCCUUCAUGGACUCCCUCGUAACUUGGUGCAUUCUAAAACUCCGUCUGCUAGUAGCUUGAGCUAGGUGGUGGCACUUGUAUUUCUGGAGCUGCUUGUGAUGAUUAACCUUCUUCUAUUCUUUGUACUCUCUUGUCUUUCUUUGUAGGAAAUAAAAUUCCUUCUUCCCUCCAGUUAGUCUUGCCCACAUGGUAGAUUUCCAGUCUUCUGUCUUGCAACUUAAAAUUAGUGACUCCAACUAUAUAUCCUUUCUCUUCGUCACCACCAAUUAAGUGUGCAUUUUUUAUUGUCUUGGCGUCAAUGCUUCCUUCUUUAAUGAAUCACUCAGAGACCCUUUCAAUAUCUGACUUCAAAAAGGAUGCAAUCGUGUGUGGCGGAACCACCCAAAUUAACCCGGCUAAAGUGUUCUCAACGUCACCUCAUAUGCGAACCACACUUUAAUCAAGUCAAUUCGACAGUUUGUCGUGUUAUACCUGAUAAACCACUUGUUUCGGAUCGAAUGAAAAGCAUCUCACACGAAGGCGAGUCUAGAGAUUACAAUAUUCCAGUACUUAAAGCAUAGAUCCGAAUUAAAUUAUUACCCAUCCAUUGUUCAAAAGUGCAUAAGUAAAAUGUUCAGAGUUUCAAAGCAGUAGAAAAAUGAUAACAACUACACGUCGAGACAAAAUAUCAUGGGGAAGCCAACCAUGAUAUCAAUAACCGCGAUCCUUGUCAUUCAAGGAUGGGUCCCACUCGAUCGUCCAACCCAGAGAGAGCUGGGUCGGCCAAGUCAAGCUAGCAGCACAAUCAUCAACAUCUAUCAUAGUACCUGAAAAGAUAAGCCACAAGCAAGGCUGAGUAUACUAAUACUCAGCAAGACUUAACCAUCGGGUGGUAACUACUCUACCAACUUCUAGACAUGCAAGGCUUUUUGGCUGAGCGGUUUGUUUGCCAAAAGCAUCUACGGUGGGUCCUUACUUUCAUAUUUUAGCAUCAGAUUCUAGUUGAUUAUCCAUUCUAGGUAAGCACCUAUUCUAAGCAAACAUGUGAUCAAGCAAUUUAAUUCAAGCAUCAGUAUUAUUCAUCACCAUUUGUUCCUCUUCUUACUCAGUGCAGAAGCGCAGUCAAGUAGUCUCAAACUGUGAGAGGCAUAUGAUUCAAAUCGAGUUUCUUAACCUUGCAAGGUGAACCUAACCCCACAAUAUAUGCUACUGCCAUGCCAGGUUCACAUAUAUCAGCCGUCCCCGUUAAUUCACGACAUUUGUCCAGAGCCCACUUCCCUUGGCAUACAAUACCCCAAUGGUCCCGGAACGAUGCCGUACCGAGGCUGCACUUGUACCCACAUGAGGUCUUAUGGGAACUCGGUUCCAGAGAGAGUGGGGUAAUGGUCCACGCUGGUUCAAUCAGGUACUAGGCUUCCCCAUCCUAUACUAGGUAUGAUAUUAGUACUUUCAAACACUUGACCACUGUUCUAACAUAUCUCGACCUUAGCUGUUUUCCACUAGACAGACGGGGCAAUCCGAGAUCCACCAAUACAGAACAUAUAGACCAGCCCCGUCCAUCAUCCUUAUGGUUGCAACAUAAGUAAAUAGGCAACUCCUAUAGCUCGCGAGUGACAGGAAAUCACUUGACUUUCAUUGUGUCCCUAUUUAGCAUAGCAACUACAUGACUUAACAUACAAGUAUUCAGCACAUAGGUACCUAGGAUCAUGCGACUAAGGUUCAAGCAACUCCUAUAAACUUAAUGCAUAACAUAACUAGCAUAAGUAGUGCAUAAUUUUAGAAACCAGGGUUAUGCUCCAGGGCUUGCCUUCUCGUCCUAAGUUUAGAUUAGCCUUGGGCUCUUCCGAACUUGGUUCGGGUCUUGAUUUGCCUCAAUUACGUCGGGCCCGGGUGGGUCCUUCUUGACAUUUUGGGCCGAGCUCGUACAUUCCAUUCGCGAGGUUAGCUUCUACACAAGAUGAAUAUGCAAUAAUUCAACAAUUCCACCUUUCACGGUCUAAAUGGCAUUUCAUAUAUUAUUACAAAGCAUAGCUAACUCAAGACCAAACUUAUUUAGACAAGCACCUAUACUAUCUUUCUUCACAGUUUGGUGCAUUUUCAUGAUUUAGACACUUAGUUCUUGUUUGAUGGUGACUGUGUACACAUAUAACAAGUUUAUUAACUUUAGAUUGGAAAGUUCUCCUAUUUCUGAAUGUUUUGUUGCACCUCUUCCAAUAUUACCAUUUUACCCUUACUACUACUUAAUGUUCUUUCAUUCAUUUAAUCGGGUUUAACUUCCAAAUUUUGUUUCAGCAUGCAAAUAGUGGGGUAUGACACCAAAAAUUUAACAAGAAUUCAAGCAUGUCAUUACGAUGUUACUGUAAAAAUUUGGAGCUCACUGGACUUCGACAAAAAUCAUUAAAAUGACACCAAGAUCCUAUGGUUGAAAGUACUUAACUAUUUUUAUCUCAAAAUCUACAGAGAAUUUGUUGCUGAAAUUUAAACAGUGUGUUAUACAAGUGCAACAGAGGUUACAGUGAAUUUUCCACGAUUUGUGGUGAAGAACAUCUAUUUUCCAUAUUUUUCUAGUAUUUAACUUUGCAUAAAAAGGAAAACAUGUAUCAUCAAGUUUCAUCCAGUGAACCUUACUUUUCCUAGCAAGUAUGUUUCAUGGGUGAUCUAACAAAGGUGGUUUCAUAUUUUUCUCUAACAAAUUCUAUUACCUAUGCAAAAAGUAAAUUCUUUCAAUAGAUUUCAAUGAUAAAUGUAAAACAGUGUGUAAAACAUCUAAAUUAGGGUCACAAAUAUUUUUCCUAGCACAAGAUCAGUGUGACAAAUCUAACAGAGGUGGUUUUGUUAUUUUACCAUUUUUGGGUGAUUUACCAAGCAUUUAAAGGCUUAAACACCAAAUAAAAUCUAGUGCUAAACACAAAUCAGAAACAUGCAUAUGAGUAUUUUUAAAUGAAUCUACACGUCACCAGGAACCUAGCAAAAUAAUAAUCAUGUUUUUCCCCUUUUUCUACAUUUACUUAUAUAUUUUCAGUUUUUCAGCCUUUUUAGAUCUAGGAAAUAAAGAAAACCGGGAUCAACUUGCAGACUAGCCCCCUGAUCUAAGGUUUAAUCGCGCAAAGAUCCUUUGAUUUCUCCGAUACCCCCCUACACUUGUUCUUCUUCUUCCUUCACAUCCCUCACGCAUUAGACACAACACAGAAGCAUGGUACAACAUGGAUUGGCAUGGCCAGCCACGGCAGGGGAAAGGGGGAGGAUGGCGUGCUUAGGGAGCACGGAGAGGGGGCAUGGAUGUGCCCUGGGGCAGCGACGCUUACCAGCAGGGGCGCAACGCAAGGAGGAGAGCGGCGCCAUAGGAAGUUCAUGGGUAGGAAGGGCGCGGAUGGGGGCUCGCCGUGGAGGGGGCUGUCUGGCGAGGGAGGACCGCCGGGAAGCGACAAAAUGGAUGCGCGGCGUCGAGGAGGCACUGUGGCUGUGAGGAAUCAACCAAAGACUCAACAACGGUGACAAAUUUCUCUGGUGAAGGAUGGGGAAUAGUUGGAGCUUGGUUCUAGCAAUGGAGGUUGGGAGGAAGGGGUGAGUGAUUCUAGGGGGGGGGGAGGGCGUUGGGGCUGCUUAUAUAGCCGAGGCGAGGCGAGGAUAAGAGCGGUGAAGUGACAAAGCACGGGGCACAACCAUUGGAGGGGAGGGGAGCUCCGGUGCUUGGGCACUUGUAACAAUCUGGGUGCUUAAACGGUGUUUUAAUUGUAAGAGGAAGUCCUUUGUGCUUAAAGAAAAUAUUUGGGAACUUUUAGGCAAAGUCCAAGCUUUGGGGCUCUCUAUUUAGAGGUUUCCAAUGUCAUCUUGAGCUGAGCCCUAUACCAAAGUUUUAGAGCUUUGGGACCUUAACAACUUUGCUUUAAGAAGCAAGUUUGAAAUCUGCCCCAAAAGCCUUCAAAUCAAGGUCAAAGUUCCCUAGCUUGGUCAACUCAGCCCCUUUAGCCAUUCCGGCUAAGUCUGGAAUUCAGCCCGACCUGGCGCCUUAGGGUGGGUUUAUCUUUGGAAAGUUGAACAGAACAUCAAGAAACCCCUUUAUAGAAGUUGGAGAACUAAGUUCCUACAACAACCUUGCUAAUUGGAUCUUGGUCCAAUUCACCUCCGAAGCUUCCUAAAUCUGCAGCUCAAAUCAGCUCAGAACCCUGAAAAACCAGCCAAAUCACUGUUUUUCCCUAAGUCCCGGAAACCGGCAUUCCUCCAAACUUUGGAGCUUUGAAUCUCCAAAUCCACCACAUUUUUGAACUUCGUCAAAUUACAAGAGUUGGACCUUGGUCUGUGUACUACAACUCUUGUAAAGGGAGUCCACGUGGUGCAGUUUGAAAAUCGGGAGAUCAAGAGGCUGGAAGAUGGGCGUGGCAAAGGAUGUCGCGGAUCCGUCGGCCAGACAGCGCCAGAGCACGCGUGCACCGCACUCCAGAGCGCCAGCGCCGCGUGGCGUGACCUCGCUGGUGAGCGCCGCCUCGCCCAGUCGCCGGCCGCGACAAGAUGGGUCAACGUGCCUUGCUCCCCAGUCAUGUGCGACGACGACCCGCAGUCCUCCGCUCUGUCACGUCUCGUCUCGUCCGAGGCCUCGCUGGCCGCGCCAGGUGCACUGCCCACAGCUCCGCUGUCGCCCCGGCCACUCUGCGACCGAAGACCGUCCGCUGCAGCGCCGGUACUGCCUCACCUCACGUGCGCAUCCAUCUCACCCGGAUCCCCGACCGUGCGCCCCAACGCCUUUUGGCCCUCCCAUCACACCCCAAUCGCGCUGCCCGCGAGUGCGCCCUACGACGCUACCGUCUCCGCCAACCACCAUGCAGGCAGUGAUAGCUCCUUCCCCCGCCUCGCCAGUAGUGUGCCCCGGCAGAGCCGCUAGUCCCGCGCAUGCUCGUGUCACACCGCUCGCCCUGUCACCUCGCCUGCAGCGCCCUCGCCUGCAGUGCCCUUCCCUCCCUCCUAUCCGCCAAUGGUGCCGCUGCCAGUAAUGGCCGUGACCACACACGCGCGUAGACCUAGCAGAUCCACGUGCCCAUCAAACCUGCUUUGCCCCCAGCCCCAAAUCCUCACUGCCCAACCAGGGCAAGAUUGCGUCCGAGCUCGCCAAUGGAGGCGCCAACCAAUCGCUGCCGCAGCAGAGCACUCCUUUUCUCCCUCAAUCUUAUCCUCUCGCCGCUCGAGCUCGUUUUCUUCCUCCGAACACUUCCGCGCAUCUAUAAAAGGGGUACCGAAGCCUCUUACCGGAGUUCCCUUUGGUACCACCGCCAUUGCCGCACUACUUGCUCUUUUAUUCUCCACCACACUCGCUGCCACACACUCCUCUGCUUCGCGUUCAAGCGCCGCCGCCUGAGCUCAUCGUGGAGCUCCCGCUUCCGCCCAACACCGCACCUUGCCGACCUAACCAGCCGCUUCACCAUCCUUUAACUCCGCUCUAGAGCUUGCUUGUUGUCCACAAGAAGCACCACCGCCGCCGAAACGCCGUUGAUCCUCGUUCCGCCUCAACUUGUUUCUUCCCAACCCCGGGACCUCGUCAGUAGGAUUGGAGGUGAGCUGCCAACCCCCUUCCAGCUCGCCCGACCCUGUCCGCCUCGCCCGAGUGCUGUCCGCCUCACCCAACUCGCCCAAGUGCUGUCCGCCUCGCCCGAGUGUUGUCCGCCCGCUCGAGGGCUCGGUUGUGUCUUUUUCUUUUGACCGAGGGUAUUUGUGUAAAAUUCCGAGGACUUCUCUAUGUUAAAUCUGAGGAUCCCGGUACAACUAUUCCUUAAGUCUAAGGUGUUGGUGUUUGAGGGAAUCGUCAAAGUACAUUACCGGUCAUUCGACUGGUGUUGGUACUUGAUUUUCAGUCCAUUCAGCCAUGAAGUCGACCAAAGCUUGAGAUUUGAUAGCUGUUCUUGGUUUAAAGUCCAAGGUUAAAGCUCCGAGCUCUACUGCCCAUUUGGAAAUUCUACCCGUGGCAUCUCUAUUGUGGUGAAUUUCGCCGAGCGGGAAGUCAGUGAUGACUGUGAUGCUGUGUUCUUGAAACUAAUGUCGCAGCUUUCGUGAAGUGGGCAAAAUCGCAUAAAGGAGUUUUUUGUAUUGGCGAGUAUCGAGUUUUGGAUUCUGAGAGUACUUCACUGAGGAAGUACACGGGUCUUUGGAUUUUGUAAACAUGGCCUGGUUCCGACCGUUCGACUACUACUGCCGUGCUGAUGACGUGAGUAGUAGCUGCUAUGUAUAGGAGGAAGUCCUCGUUUGGAGAUGGAGUAGUGAGGAUUGGAGGUUUCGACAAGAAGUCUUUGAGUUGCGUUAGUGCUUUGUCUGCCUCUUCUGUCCAUUUGAACUUGUCCUGUCGUUUGAGAAGCUUGAAGAAGGGUAGUCCUCCUUCUCCAAGUCUCGAGAUAAAUCGAUUGAGGGCUGCCAUGCAGCCUGUGAGUUUCUGCACAUCUUUGAUGCUAGCUGGAGCGUGCAUGUUUGUGAUGGCAGAUAUUUUCUCCGGGUUGGCCUCAAUGCCACGAUGGCUAAUGAUGAACCCGAGUAGUUUACCAGAAGGUACUCCAAAAACUCAUUUGGUAGGAUUGAGUUUCCAUCGGAAAGCUCGUAAGCUUGAGAAGGUUUCCUCCAAAUCGGCGAUUAGGUCUUCCUGAUUUCUUGUUUUGACGACUACGUCGUCCACGUAAGCUUCAACAUUAUGAUGUAAUUGCUUUUCGAAACACAUCUGUAUAGCUCGUUGGUAAGUUGCCCCUGCGUUUUUUAGUCCAAAUGACAUUGUUGUGUAGUAGAAAGCCCCAAAUGGAGUGAUGAAGGCUGUUUUAGCUUGAUCUUCUUCUUUGAGGCUUAUCUGAUGAUAGCCUGAGUAACAGUCGAGAAAGCAUAGCAAAUCGCACCCGGCAGUAGAGUCAACUAUUUGGUCGAUCCUGGGUAAUCCAAAAGGGUCUUUUGGAUAGUGUUUGUUGAGAUCCGUGUAAUUGAUGCACAUUAUCCAUCCAUUAUUUUUCUUGCGAACGAGUACAGGAUUGGCUAGCCAGUCAGGGUGAAAAACUUCUUUGAUGAACCUUGUUGUGAGUAGAUUGGCUAGUUCUUUUUUGAUUGCUUCUCGUCUGUCUUGGGCGAACCUGCGGAGUUGCUGUCAUUUUGGAGUAGCUUUGGGAUCAACAUUUAGAGAAUGCUCAAUCAGUUUCUUGGGCAUACCGGGCAUGUCAGCUGGCUUCCAAGCAAAGAUAUCAUGGUUAGCCCGAAGAAAACUGAUGAGCGUGGUUUCCUAUUUAGGCUCUAGCCCUGUUUCGAUCAGGGUUGUUUUAGAAGAGUCGCCGGUCUAAAGAUCGACUGGUUUGAAGUCUUUCUCACUUGCCGGUUUCACUUUUGUGGACCCUAACUUGUUUUCUAGGAUCUCGAGUUCUGUUGGGUGAAGUUUCUUUGAAGCUGUAAAAACUUGCUGCAUAGGGCUGGGUGCUUGAGAGAUUGCGGCAAUCUCCACGGCUUUGGUGUCGCACUCGUAAGAUCGCCGUAGAUCUCCUCAUAGUGUUAGUUCUCCCUUGGGCCCUGGCAUUUUGAGUACCAAGUAAACGUAGUGAGGUAUGGCAAUAAACUUGGCCAGAGCUGGUCUUUUGAGUAUGGCAUGGUAAGAUGUCUCGAAGUCGGCGACUUCAAAUCUGAUGUACUCGGUUCGGUAGUGUUCCUUAGUUCCAAAAGUAAUUGGCAGGACAACUUGUCCUAGUGGUAUGGCUGCGUUUCCUAGUUCAAUUCCGUAGAAGGGUGAAUCUGUUGGAGUGAGCAUUUCCGUGACGUCGAGGCACAUCUUCCUUAGUGUUUUGGCAAAAAUGACAUUGAGUCCGCUUCCGCCAUCAAUGAGUACCUUUGUCAGUUUUGAUCCUGCCACAAUGGGAUCGAGUACUAGAGGGAAUCGGCCUGGCUUCGAGAAUUUUGUCCACUGGUCCUUUCUGCUGAAGGUUAUGGGUACUUCUAACCAUUUUAGCGGUGUUGGAUCUGUUGGUUCGAUGGCCAUGAUUUCCCUAAGUACGAUUUGCUAGCCCGCUUGGACGCGGUGCCUGGGAUUCUGCCAAAAAUGACGUUGACUGUCUUUGAGGCGGUUUGGAAGUCGCCUUCUGCUUCUUCAUCAUUGUGGACUUUGUUUUUGCCUUUAUUUUUUUCCUUGCUGUAUUCUUCGGGAGGUGGUGGUGCGGGCAAGUCGUGCAUUACUCGACGCAUGUUGUAGCAGUCUAUUGCUGAGUUUUUGCUAGUCGGGUGUCAUGGGCACUGUUUUUUGAGUAGUUCGGUGAAAGUUGGCCCUUCAUCGUUUUUGCGGGAUCCCUUCUUCCCGGAGUUAGUCAUGGAAGCAAUGGUGUUGUCAAGUUUCCGUUUGCGAUUUUGAUUACUCGAGAAGUUGUUUCGAGUAUCGCUGUGUCAAUUUCUAUCCUGGUCAUUGUUGUUGUUGUCACGUCGGUGGUUGCGAUGAGAGCCGAACCGUUCUCGCUCUUUGUCUUCUUCAUCUGCCCACUGUUGCACCAUGAUUUUGAGGUCUUUGACAUUGGCUGCUCGACGUUUGCCAAAGUCUUGGUAUGUUCGUCAAUCAUAGAGGCCAUUCUGGAAGCACUCGAUGAUGUCUGUUUCUGAGAUGUUGACUAUAGUGGCUUUCUUUUCGAAGAAUCGUUGCAAGUAGUCGUGUAGUGUUUCUCCUUCUUUCUAUUUUACUUGUGUUGGCGCUAGAAAUCGGCCGAUGGCCUUCAGCGUCGGACACACGACCCGGGAGAAUUUGCUUAGCUCCUGUUCGGGUGAUCGCCCUGGUGCGGUUUGCGCAGCGUGCCAGUCAAUCUGACAUGUUGAUUGACAAGGAAAGAAACAUGUUAAAUUCCAUGGGUUUUGAUCGGCUAAAGUUUCGAUCUGUCUCGAAAAGCAUAUCAGCGAAUCGGCCGACUUGCUAUGAAGAUGACCAGCUUUAGAACAGCCGAUAAUCAUGUAGCGAUGAUGAAGAAACUACUAGAGUAAGCCAAAUAACGCUACAAGUGCAACACUUGAAAUAGAUCUGAUCGGCUAUAUGAUGAUAAAUAAGAAUAGUGAUAAUAAAGCUGACAGUUCAAAUCUCAAGCUAGAUAACUGGUGAUUAAACUAGAACAAUAGAUAAAACCUAUAAUUCUAGUAAAUAUCGAUAACUGUAGAAUAAAUCUAAACGAAACAAUAGCGAUGCGUCCAAAGUUAAAGCUUAGAUAUUACUCGGUAGAUGGAACUUACAAAAUCAGCCGGAGAUCGUGUCGAUGCAGCCCUGCCAACCCGUACGAACUCAUGAAAGAAAAAGAUGUAUUGGCGAAGUCGCCGACUUGAAAGUAAAGUACGAUAAAAAAGUAGAUUAUUUGUAUUGAUUGAUGUGUUAUUUUACAAAUCUCUAAAGAUAAAAAAGUAGAUUAUUUAUAGCCUGUUACAACUGAUUUCCUUACCGACUAGGAUCUAUCUUUAAUUUUAAACGAAAAUGAAUAUUUACAAACACAACUCGUAUCGAAGUUGGUUAUUAUACUCCCACGAGCCAAACUUUCUCUAAUCCACUUUAAGCCCAUAUUGGCCCAAUCGCUCCAGCCUUCCAAUCAGCCGAUCUCCACCAACUCCGUCUACCAAAACACUGUAGCGCCAAUCGGCCGAUUUCCAACUGUAGCACCAAUCGGCCGAUUCCCAAUCGUAACCUUUUAAUCCGCCGCAUCGGCCAAUCCUUUCCUCCCUUGACGCCGAUCCCAUAAGUAUCAAAAUUUGGCGUCAACACAUGCCCCCCCAGUUUCGGAGUAAAACAUGACUUUUACUUCGAAAUUCUUUUUUAACCUCUCCUCCGAAACAAACGAGGCAAAAAUCUCCUUCUGUUUCACGGUCUUCUACCUGAUGAUUGCAAUCUUUUUCGAACCGGGCGCCUGAGACAACCGCUCCCCCGAAAUUCGUGUAGACGGCGCGGUAAAAAUCCCACCUUUACCCCUUCUCUCGGACCAUCUUUAAAUACUGGCAUGCCCUGCCGCUUCUUCUUCACGAGCUCAGUAACCUCUUUCCUAGCGAGUCACCUUCCAUCUUCUCCCAGCGCCCUUUUGGCUUCCAAUCGCAUUCUCCGGCGAUCCGUUUUUCGUCUGCAUUCUGCUUCAUCCCCUCAAUCGUGACUCCAUCGGCAAAUCCACCAGCAACAGAGGCUCCGCCGGCAGCUCCAUCAGUAGCGGCAGUUCCACCAGCAGCCGCAUCGGUAACGAUGAGCUUCAUUCCAGAGGUAAACAUCCGAAACUUCUCUUUUUACUUUUUACCGCCCAUGCAUUUUUUGAUCUAUUCUUACUUCUUCCCUUUUUACCUUUUUUUGGCGGUCAGACACCAAAUCACCAUCCGUCUUUCCGAAGCUCUUGGCCUCAUCUGCUUAGGUCCUAUGGGGAACCCAGACCCAACCGAUCUGAUCAAUUUAGAAACCCAUAGAAUCUCGUUUAAGCAAUCAUCUAUGAAUUUGGACCAGUGGUCGGGCACUUUUAGAUCUUGGCCGAAUGAAACUCUCGGCUAGAAAGAGUGGUACCAAAGAAUGGCCAACUCCAAGAGAGUUCUAUGGUAUGAAUUAUAAAUCGGCCAGUGCAUCAACCUAUUUUUGUCCCAGAUGGAGAAAAAUGAACUCUUGGUAAUAUCAGCUUCUUACUUCUGGUCUGACGCGGUCAAUGCAUUUCUCUUUGAGCACGGACCCAUGACCCCAACUCUGGCUAAUGUUUUAAUGUUGACCGGCCUCGAUAUCUCCUCCCCCAAUACACCCUUUAAUUAUCUGGUCAAGCCGACCCAUCGGCUGGAAACGAAAGGAAUCGGCGGGUGGAAGGGGUAUAUCAAUGAAAACAUGAGGACCGGGACAAUCUUAGAGAGAGAAUACGCGGCCUUCUUGAUGAUGUGGCUAGAGAAGCAUCUUUUCUGUGGCAGAGCAGUCGACCCCUCUUCCAACACACAAGCUUUGGCUGAAGCCCUAUCGAGAGGAUCAAGUAUUCCUCUAGGGAAACACCUAUUGGGAUCGGCCUACCAUAUGAUGCACCAGAUCGGCGUCAAACUGUCAAAGAGAGAGCCAAUUGGAAACCCUGGUGGACCCUGGUGGUUCAUCACCCUGGCUCAAUUUGUACAUGAGCAAAAUCUCCCAGUAGCAAAUAGAGACAAAGACAUUCCCCAACAUCGAGUCAGAGGAAAACCCCAUCAUACGACGCCGAUGCACCUCUUUCAGCGAAGCAGCAUCAGCUUUCCCUGGUUGCCAGUUCACCACCACCCAGGCAGCUGAGUAUUUCAGAUGCUUUUACAACGGCUUUAGUGAAGAAACUACCAGUUGGUACCCGUACCAGAGAACAGAGCCGCCUUUUGAGCUUCCCUUCUGUUAUGAUUCGACGUCCAACACCUUUGACAACGACCUCACGGAUGCCUUGAUCAAGCUAGGGAUCUUACCAGCGAACUUCUUCUCUAGGAAGGAUUCCCCAACUUAUGAGUUUUACAACCCAUCAGUUGCAGCACGGCAGUUCGGCCUCGGUCAGCUGCCGAUUCAAGUUUACUUUGCUGGCCGCGCAAAAUUCCGGGACAAGCUCACCAAGGGUCUAAAUUACAAUCGGCUGUGCAUCUAGUGCCAGACUCCAACACCAUCGAUCUAAACAAUUGGAUAGUGCCUCCUUUUGCUGUCCAACAAUUCAAAAUAUGGUGGGUAGAAUGGAAGCAGCACCUCUUUUGUGCAUCCCCUGCAACAUAUUGCAAUGAUCUAGACCCCGACAACAUCAAUCCAAAUGCAGCGGUACAUGCUCUCUUCUCAGUCGAUUUCAAUAUUAUUUCCUUUUAUGUUACAAAUUUUCCACUAAUUCUUGUUUUCCUUCUGUAGUCCAAAAGUCGACUUCCUCCAAUGUGCAGCCGGAGUGGUAGGACUAUAGAGAAUCGCUACCCAUACACACCAUUCCCACUCAUCGGCUACCAUGCCCCAUCCAUUGAAGACAUCACCACCGGUCGAUCGAAACAGCCAUCGAAGAAAACCUCCUCAAAGAAGACAAGUCGCCGAGUACGCGCCCGCAUAGAACUGAUCGAUCAAUCGGCAGCGGCAUCGGUUGAAUCUUUAGCUGCGCCAAUUCUGCCGACUAUUGAGGAAGUCGAUCCCCAGGCUGCUACAGAAGUUGGAGCGGCUGCUGCAUCAUUGCUGGUAGAAGGUGUUCAGGUAACUUCAUAUACCUCACAUCCUUCUAAGUAUUCUUCCGAUAUUAACUUCUUCUUUCUGUCAGGCUGCACAAAUCACUCCAGUGCAAUCUCCGCAGCAAUCGGCUACAUUCCAGGCAGGAACUGGAACACCAGCAAUCCCUCCCACCGAGGUAGAGAAUCUUUUAACUCAAUUUUUUAAUACUUAACCGAAAGCUAACCGAUUUGGACGCCGGCUAUCCUGGGCUCAUCGAUUGUACCCUUCCAACAACCAUCGGCCGGGCGACUCACGGAGGUACGGUAGCUAUUAUAUAUCAUCGGAUUUAAUCAUUUGCAUUAUACUUACAAAAAUCCGCUUCCCGUACCUUUCCAGGAGGCUGGCCCGAGCAGGGCACCAAUAAUCGUUGAAUCUUCUUCCUCUAACGAAUCAGUCAUGCUAGUUCCCGAGAUGAGGGUAGCACUUCCGCCGGCGCAAACAGAGAAAAUCCGCUUCAAAGAGGCAAGAAACCUGUCACCCAAAUUGGCCGAUUUCCCAUUAUCGUCGACUAAUCUGCAUUUCUCAUUCUUUUAUUCCUUCAUAGGAGCAGGACACCCCCAACAACAGUGUUUUCUCUUUUGCGGUUGCACUCUCUGACGACGAAGAGGUUGCCUCGCGCCAAAUCACACUGCGCUCAAUCACUGAUGACGUUCGUGCCAAGCUUGAGAGCAUACGAACCCUCCUCCAAGAUGACAUCGGCCGAUUAGUGGAAGCUGCCUCGCCGAUUCGGCAAGUUCUCAGUGAAAUCAGAGGCUGAGUUCCAGAGGAGGCAGAAGAGGCUUUGGCACCCGCCGCAUACAUCGAAUCAAUGCGGAUUCUAGUGUUCAGGGCCUUGCGCCACAUGCCCGAUCAUGCCAAACUAGCAAAAGCCCGCGAGGAGGAAGACUCCUACAAGCAUCGAGCUCAAGAGGUGCAUCAACGAAUCAACUUCCUUGAAAGCUCUUGCCCAGAUAUCAUUGGUGCCAUAGACCGCCUCAAACGUCGAAGGGCAGAGCUUGCCAAGGAAAUGGAGCAGGUGACUAAAGCCAUAGCCGUUGAAGAGAAAAGAUUCCAAGACCUCCCCUUUGUCAUCGCUGAGUUGAAGCAAGAGAGACAGAGCCUGGCCCACGAAGCAACCAAGCUCCAUCACCAUAUGCCAGAAGUCCCUGGAUCGGCCGACGAUGACCAGCGAACUUUAGACUCGGCCAAUCAGGUUAGGCAGCGAGCGAUUGCGGCUAUUAAUGCCCUUCUCGGGUAAAUUGUAAAAGCAUUGAAUGCUCUGUAAAAACAUUAAUGUCCUUCUUCCGUUGACGUGCGGAUUCAAACCUGAACCAUCCUUUUGCUGUAGCCUUUCAUUUAUUAACCCUUUUACUCCGACGGGACACGUCUUACCAACCCUUCGCCCUUUUCCUUCUAUAAAUAUGAGGCCCCGUAUCGUUUCCGAAGACAUUCACAUCACCCAUCCUCUUUUCCUCUAGUAGUUUGAUUUCUAUAUCCUCAGACUAGGUGCGGAGAUGUCUUCUUCCUCUUCUUGCUUCUCUGUCAAUCAGGUACGAAACCUUCCUUUGUUCCCCCACCUACCAUUUCAAUCGGUCUGACGAUGAGCGGUUGUUUGUUGAUUUUCAGCCAAGACGCCUUAGUCCUGAACUAGAACGAGCGAUCGAGGUCAUGCAUUCCGAUGAACCGCUAUCCCAGGCGGAUAGAGAUCUGAUUAGGGCUCAUCACAAAGAACUCAAACAUCAUAUCCCUGCUGACGUUCAGAAGAUCCUGGACCAUAUGGAUGCCAACUGCUCCAGGCGGCCACCAACUGAAAGGAGUCACCCACUCCCUCGCCCAGUCACCCUCGAGGAUGCCGCAACAGGGACCUCCCAACCUUCCCUUGACAGGAGCCACCCACUUCCUCAUCAAGUCGAGGUUGAAGCCACCAUGGAGGAUCUGGAGGAAAAGAGCAUCCGCCUCUUGAUAGAAUAAGGCCGGAUCGAGAGGGAGAUUAAGAAAAAGCGUGGUCAAUAAGUGUGUUGGUACUUUUUAUUCUAAGGGUGACUUGUACCGUGUCAGCCAUGUACUUUGUUGUUUGUACCGAAUAAUACUUUUUGUUCUAAGGGCGGCUUGUAUCGUGUCGGCCAUGUACCUUUUCAUUUGUACCAAAUAAUAAAUCGACCGGAUUAGUCGAAUGUUUCGUCCUUAAGGUGAUGUUAUCUCUGCAUCAGCUAUACCAACAAGAACCAAUAGGAGUUGGCCACAUCAUCUUGAUGCACCCUAUCGUCAGUUACGCAUCCACCCAUAUACUAGGAUAGUAUCUUUUCAGAUAUCUUCCGUUCAAGGCUCUCGUGAAUUCCUCUCCUUUGAUAGUUUCCAGUAAAUACGCAUUUCCUGGAGUGCAUCGACCGAUUCUAUACGGCCCUUCCCAAGUGGGCGACCAUUUACCGAACUUGGGAUCCUUAGACCCUAUCGGCAGCACCAACUUUCAUACCAAAUCUGCUUGAGAGAAUUGUUUGACCUUGACCUUCUUAUCGUACCACCUGGCCACCCUUUUCUUGUUUUCUUCAAUGCUGAUCAGGGCUCUUAAUCGUUAACCUGCCAAAUCGUCGAGCUCUCUCUUCAUGAGGAGGGAAUAGUCAUCGGCCGUCAACUGAUCUCGAAGCGAUGUGCAUCUUCACCCCAUCCUUAAUUCCCAAGGCAAUACUGCCUCGUGACCAUAUACCAAUUGAUACGGAGAUAUUUUAGUGGCCCUGUGGCAGGCCAGCCUGUAAGCCCAUAAAGACUCAGUCAAACAUACAUGCCACUUCUUAGGCUGUUCUUCUAUCUUCCUCUUAAUCAACUUGAUUAUCCCCUUAUUGGAGGAUUCGGCUUGACCGUUAGAUUGAGCAUAAUACAGAGAAGAAUUCAACAACUUAAUUCCCAUAUCGGCGGUGAACUCCUCGAACUCUCCUGAAGUGAACAUCGUCCCUUGAUCAGCUGUGAUGGUUUGAGGGAUACCAAACCGAUAAACAAUGUGGUCCCUUACAAAAUCGACCAUAGCGGGCAAUGUCACGGCCUUCAUUGGGACUGCCUCCACCCACUUGGUAAAAUAGUCAGUGGCUACUAAUAUGAACUUGUGUCCCUUGCUUGAUGGAGGAUAAAUCUGUCCGAUGAGGUCUAUUCCCCAACCUCUGAAAGGCCAUGGCUUGAUUAUUGAGUUCAUAGCCGAGGCUGGUGCACGCUGUACAUUGCCAAACUUCUGACAAUCUUGACACCCUUUAUAAUAUUUAAAGCAGUCUUCGAGUAUCGUCGGCCAAUGAUACCCGUUAUUUCUAAUCAUCCACUUCAUUUUGUGAGUCGAUUGGUGAGCUCCGCACAUGCCUUCAUGGAUUUCUCCUAUCAGGACUUUUGCUUCUUCCAUUCCUAGGCAUUUGAGCAGAACUCCAUCAAUCGUUUAGUAAAACAAAUCAUCUUCGAGUAGCACAUAUUUCGUGGCUUGAAAACGCACUCGCCGAUCCACUUUUUUGGAUGGAUCCUUCAAGUUAUCGGCGAUCUCCUUUCGCCAAUCGUCGGUCACGAGUUCCAGAGUCAUGGCGCCUUGAAUCGGCCUAUACCCCGACACGUGUUGGGCAAGCCUAUUGGCCUCUUCAUUGUAGUUUCAGGGAAUAUGUUCAAUAACCGCGGACUUGAAUUCUUUUAAAAGUUGGAGGCAAUCUUCGUAGUAAGUUCUCAAGACGUCAUCUUUGCAUUCAAAUCUCCCCAUUAAUUGAUCUACGAUGAGCAUGGAAUCCCCUAAAAUUUCCACCACGUCGGCUUUGAUCUCUCUCAACAAUUGAAUGCCCUUUAGGACAGCUUGGUAUUCUGCCUGAUUAUUAGUAGCGGAUGCUUCUAUCGGCAGAGAGAAAUCAUAACUUGCCCCCCAAGGCGAUAUGAGGACGAUGCCGAUUCCUGACUCGACCCCACAUGAAGAACCAUCGAAGUAUAGAGUCCAUGGGACCGGUUCAACGACAGCGACUUCCGAUCCGCAAUGUUGGGCCACGAAAUCGGCCAUGACUUGACCCUUGACAGCUUUGGCCAAUUCGUACCUUAGGUCAAACUCUGACAGAGCUAGGAUCCAUUUCCCAAUCCAUCCUUUCAAAAUUGGCAGUGAUAGCAUUUACUUUACUACGUCAUCCUUGCACACGACUAUGCACUCUGCCGAUAACAGGUAGUGCCUGAGUUUGGUACAUGAGAAAUACAGACACAGACACAGCCGCUCUACCGGGGAGUAUCUUGUUUCGGCGUCCAGAAGCCUUCUGCUGACAUAAUAUAUUACUCAUUCUUUCCCUUCGAACUCCUGUACCAGCGCCGAUCCGAUAGCCCGUUCGUCGGCCGAUAAGUAUAGUCUGAAAGGCUUGUCAACCUGUGGCGGGACUAAUACAGGUGGCGAAACUAGAUAUUGCUUGACGUCUCCUAACGCUUUUCGCUGUUCUUCUCCCCACGUGAAUUCCUGGUCAGGUUUUAACUUCAACAGAGGAGUAAAAGCUUGAAUACGCCCGGACAAAUUGGAAAUAAAUCUUCUGAUGAAGUUGACUUUGCCGAUUAGGGACUGCAACUCGGUUUUAUUCUGCGGGGCUACCACCUUGUUGAUGGUGGCUAUGAUCUUCUGGUUGACUUCUAUUCCAUGCUCGUGGACCAUGAAUCCUAGGAAUUGUCCAGCCGACAUGCCGAAUGCACACUUGUUCGGGUUCAUUUUCAAACCAUGCUUCCUCGUUUACUCCAACACUUUUCGCAAAUCAGCGAGAUGGUCCUGAUGUCCUUUUGACUUGACCACGACAUCAUCAAUGUAGAUUUCCACCAGCGCACCAAUAAGCUUGUGAAAAAUGUAAUUCAUAGCCUUUUGAUAUGUAGCACUGGCGUUCAUUAAUCCAAAGGUCAUUACUACCCACUCGAAUAAACCGAGGUGGCCUAGACACCUGAAAGCCAUUUUUGAAAUAUCUUCUUCAGCCAUUAAUAUCUGAUUGUACCCAGCAUUACCGUCCAUGAAACUGAUGACUUUAUGUCCUGCAGCGGCAUCUAUCAAAACAUCAGCUGUCGGCAUUGGAUACCCAUCCAUCGGCGUAGCCUGAUUAAGGUUCCUGAAGUCAAUGCACACGCGCAGCUUCCCAUUUUUCUUGUAUAUAGGUAUGAUAUUAGAAAUCCACUCGGCGUAACGGCAUUGCCAAAUAAAUCCUGCUUCAAUCAAUCUUGUAAUCUCGGCCUUUAUAUCGGGAAGAAUUUUAGGAUUGCAUCGUCAUGCAGGCUGCUGAUACGGCUGAUAUCCUGGUUUUAUGGGUAACCGGUGUUCGACAAUGGACCGGUCUAGACCAGGCAUCUCAUGGUAUUCCCAAGCAAAAUAAUCUUUAAAUUCUUUUAAUAAACUUGUCAAUUUACACUUGUAUUCGGGAUCCAAACUAGCACUAAUGUAUGUUGGCCUUGGUUUGCUGCCAUCACCUAAAUUCACCAUCUCCAAUGAAUCGGCUGACGUAAACCUGUGCCCAAGCUUCCCGUCUUCUCAGACAAACUGAUCCAUCUAAUCUGAAUCUCUAGAGCCAACAGCUCAGAUCGGCUGUAGGCCAAAAUCGGACACUUUCAGGAAAUCGGUGUCCCAUGUUCUACCGGAUAUGCACUUGACGUGUUCGCAGCUCCACUGUUGCACGUCAGCCGCAACAACACUGUAGGCGGAAUUGGCAGUGACUAUCUCGAUGUUGUCACCAACCCAUUGUACGAGGCAUCGCGUGUAUCCAAUCGUGACCGAGCAACAUAUUGUAGGACCCUUUGCCAUUAUUAAUAAAGAAAGUAGUAGGAAGGGUCUUACUGCCGAUGGUGAGGUCGACGCAGAGAGCCCCGCGGGCGGGAGACACGUUGCCUUCGAAGUCUUUGAGCAUCAUGUCCGUCCCUGUCAGAUCUUCAUUGCUUUUGCCCAGUUUCCGGAACAUGGCAUACGGCAUGAUGUUGACUGCAGUGCCUCCAUCUACUAGUAGCCUGGUGACAGGUCGCCCAUUGACGUGUCCUUUGAGGAACAGAGCCUUGAGAUGUUGUUUUUUUUUCAUCUUUUGGCUUCUCAAAAGAGGCUGUCAUUGGCUCCAAAGCCAAUUGCGCCAUCUGCUCCUCCAUCUUUGUUGUGUCAUCCCGAUCGGCGGGAGCCAUGAACUCCAUCGGCAAGAUGAACACCAUGCUGACGUCAACUACUGAUUCCUGAUUGUUGCCUUCCUCAUUGUUGUUUCUUUUAGGGUGCUAGACUCGAGACCUGUUAUCUUUCUUAUCCACUAUCAGUCUCUGCUCUUCUUCUUGUUGUUCCUACUGGCACAGAUGUUGGAUCCUUCAUUUUUGGGAUUUGGUCAACCCAUCAGGGCACCAUCUGGGGUUCACCGGUUUGGUCGGCGGUUUGGCGCGCUCCCAGUCUGGUUCUCGCCCUAGGAGAUUUUCAUCUGACACCUUAGCGUCGGCCAUCUCUUCUAGCCGAUCGUGUGCGCUGGCUUCGCCCCUAGUCGCUUGUGCUGGUCAAUCCUGCCCCCCGGCCGAUCAUUGUUCAAGUCUGCCCCUUGGCCGAUCAUACCGGUUAACUCUAUCAUACCAAUCAACUUUGCCCCCCAGCCGAUCACGCACCGAAAGGUGCCGAUCCUCUUGCUCGCGCCAGUUUCUACUGAUCAGCUCUGAUCCUCUAUCUCUGGAGCAUGACCUCUUGAACGGAUGAUUUUCAUGAUAUGGACCGCUGCACUCAGGGCAAUUAUUGGCUCAUGGUAACCUGAGGUUAUUUUCCCAACAGUGGAUGAAGAACGGGCAUCACCAAUGAUCUUUGUGUCGGUGCAUCAUGUCUUCACGGUGUCUCGAACUUUCCUACUGCCGCUGAUAUUUGUUGAGCAAGAAUUGGGAGGUGAUAGGUCUACGCGGCCUCUCCGAUCCUUCGCCCUCGUCUUCGACUCGUCUCUUCCCUUUGACAUCUUCAACCGUAGCCUAAUUUCUAGGGUCCACGGUGCCGCUUUUCUUGGUCGAUUACGACGUCAGCACCUUGGUUUGAAGCGCGUUUCUUCCCGUGUCAACCAUGUUAGUGGGGAAAGGAUGCUGAUCGAUUUUCAUCGGCUUUACUUGCUUCGCCGGGACAUCGAAUUUGAGUUUGCCUUGCUCAAUGGCCGACUGUAUCUGCUGACAGAAGAUUUUGCAUUCGUUUGUGUCGUGGGAUGUGGCAUUGUGUCACUUGCAAUAUUUCAUAUUUUUGAGCUGCUCGGCCAAUGGAAUGGUGUGGUGAGGUGAGAGCUUGAUCUGCCCCUCUUGGAGAAGUAAGUCAAAAAUUUUGUCGGCCUUUGACGUGUCAAAACCGAACGCUUCUGGCUCUUUCUUCCCGAAAGGAUAUGAUAUUGGCUUCUUCCAUUUGACCCAUUCUGCUAGGACAAUUUUCGCUUCCUCCUCAAAUUCAGAUCCCUCCAAGUAUGCCACCUUUUUCUGAAAAUUUCUUCGUUGAUCAAAAGGGCGUACUUCUUGACCGACCAAUCGGUGAACGAUCUGACUCAAGAUUUCGAACUCCUGGGAAGCGUACUUCUCUUUGAUGUGUGGCAGGAGACCUUGGAAGGCGAUAUUGGCCAGCUGCGCGUUGGUCAGGACUAGGGUGUAGCAUUUGUUUCUGACCUCUCUGAACCUCUGCACAUAAUUGGUCACUGGCUCGUCACUCCUCUGCCUGAGGCUGGUCAAAUCUGAGAGCUUCAUCUUGUGGACUCCCGCAUAGAAGUAUUUAUGGAAUUGCUUCUCCAGAUCGGCACAAGUAACGAUGGAAUUGGGCGGUAGCGUAGUGAACCACUGGAAAGCUGACCUGGACAGUGACGACGAGAACAGAUGCACCCGUAGAGCAUCUUUUGUGGCGGCCUCUCCACACUGGAUGAUGAAUCUGUUGACGUGCUCCACAGUUGAAGUGUCAUCAAAUCCCAAAAAAUUGGUGAAGUUAGGAACCUUAUACCGAUGGGGAAACGGCAAUAAGUCAUAGGCAGGUGGGUAUGAUGUUUUAUACGUAUAGGUCUGUACCUUCAGCUUCAACCCGAAUGGAUCUGGAAUCACCACUGCUAUCCUUGUUGUCCAAUCCACUUGCUGCUGAUGAACGACUAGUUGAGGGAUCGACACAUGUUGAUGGAUCGGCGGUGGGAUGGCCGGCUGAUGGAUCAAAGCGUGUGGCGGAUUUUGCGGCAAUGUGGUCGGCUGAGCGGUUAACAGUUGGUGGCGUAGCGAAUCUGCCAUCCCAUCAUACAGCGUCAUCGGCGCCGCACUUCUGAGUGCUUCUGCAGCAUCUGCCCCCCUGCCGAUUUCUGACGUGGCCGGCUAAUACUGUGGGACCGUCGGCCGGAUAGCCGAUUGGAAUGAUGCUUGGAUCGGAGAGCCACCAUAACCGGUCGAUUGGUCCAGAACAACUGUCCCUGCUGGUGCCCCCCAAGGCACUGAGUUUGAGGGCAGAGAUUGCACGGAGGAAAGCUGAGUAGGCUGAGAUGAUGCUUGCGUUUGAAAGCAUGGCGCGCCGUUGUACCCUGGUGGCAUUGAGGUGUUGUAUCCUCCAUGUUGUGUCGAUAUUGGCUGAGGAGCCGAGUGAGAUGUGCCUGGUAAGCUUCUGACUAGAGUUACAAUGGGCGGAGCAUAUGCUAGCCCCUGAUAUCCUUGAGCUACUCCACUAACCAGGGAACUGAUGAUGGCAUUGUAUAUUGUGUUGGUCAUCACUGAGGAUUGGUCGAUGAAAGCUUGGUAAAUGGACUGUUAAAUCAUGUCGGACAUCUUGCCUGAGUCCUCAGCGACGGUGAUCUGGCGGGGAGUUGGAAGAGGAUCUUUCUUGACGGUCUCCCCGCUUCUGGUAUGACUGAAAGAUUGCAAGCAUGUCUUCCUGUAUUCUUCCAUGUGCCUUGCCAAUUCUUCUUUCUGGUCGUCCUUGAGAUCCGCCUCCGUGAUCUUGAUGACGUUGUCUUCAGAGAUUUCGGCGGCCUUUGACAUGUUAGGCUUUGAAGUGGUCCCACCGAGCGUGCCAAAAGUGUAUUGGUGCUAGAAAUUGGCCAAUGGCCUUCAGCGUCGGACACACAACUCGGGAGAAUCUGCUUAGCUCCUGUUCAGGUGAUCGCCCUGGUGCGGUUCAUGCAGCGUGCCAGUCAAUCUGACCUGUUCAUUGAUAACGAAAGAAACGUGUUAAAUUCCAGGGGUUUCGAUCGGCUAAAGUUCCGAUCUGUCUCGAAAAGCGUAUCAGCGAAUCGGCCGACUUGCUAUGAAGAUGACCAGCUUUAGAACAGCCGAUAAUCACGUAGGGAUUAUGAAGAAACUACCAAACUAAGCCAAAUAACGCUACAAGUGCAACACUUGAAAUAGAUGUGAUCGGCUAUAUGAUGAUAAAUAAGAAUAGUGAUAAUAAAGCUGAUAGUUCAAAUCUCAAGCUGGAUAACUAGUGAUUAAACUAGAACAAUAGAUAAAACCUAUAAUUCUAGUAAAUAUUGAUAACCGGUGAAUAAAUCUAAACGAAACGACAGCGAUGCGCCCAAAGUUAAAGCUUAGAUAUUACUCGAUAGAUAGAACUUACAGAAUCGGCUGGAGAUCGUGUCGAUGCAGCCCUGCCAACCCGUACAAACUAGUGAAAGAAAAAGAUGUAUUGGCAAAGUCGCCAACUUGAAAGUAAAGUACGAUGAAAAAGUAGAUUGUUUGUAUUGAUUGAUGUGUUGUUUUACAAAUCUCUAAAGAUGGCUAUUUAUAGCCUGUUACAACUGAUUUCCUAACUGACUAGGAUCUAUCUUUAAUUUUAAACGAAAACGAAUAUUUACAAAUACAACUCGUAUCGGAGUUGGUUAUUAUACUGCCAAGGGCCAAACUUUCUCUAUCUUCUUUCUCUGACCCACUUUAAGCCCAUAUUGGCCCAAUCGCUCCAGCCUUCCAAUCGGCCAAUCUCCACCAACUCCGUCUGCCAAAACACUGUAGCGCCAAUCGACCGAUUCCCAACUGUAGCACCAAUCGGCCGAUUCCCAACUGUAGCACCAAUCGGCCGAUUCCCAAUCGUAAUCUUUUAAUCCGCCGCAUCGGCCAAUCCUUUCCUUCCUUAACGCCGAUCCCAUACGUGUCAAAAUCUGGCGUCAACAACUUGACUUAGGUCGAUCUUAUUACCCGAUCUAGUCAUGGAACCAGCAUAGUUGCUGGUGAAAGCUUUCGUCAAGUCUGCCCAAGAGUCGAUUGAUCUAGGCUUGAGUGACUCAAGCCAUGUCAGAGGUGCAGGUUCCAUGCAUAUGGGAAAAUGGAUGACUUUGGUGUCGUUAUUACCCCUAGCUGCCUGGACUACCAAUGAGUAGCAUCAUAGCCAUUGAAUUGGGUCUUGCUUGCUAUCAUACUUAGUUAUUCCUGUCGGUUUGAACUUUUCAGGUAAACUUGUCUUCAUUACACGAUUUGUGAAGGCAGGAAAGUGGUUGUAAUUGUUGACUUCUUGCUCACGUUGACUGUUGAUUAUUUCUCGCAGAUCACUGAAAUUCGAUACUUUAUGAUUUUUUUGGAUAUGGCGAGGACUUUUUGCGGAGUUGGUGCAGCUGGCCUCUCCAACAUAUUUUUGUCCUGCUGGAAUGUUGUGUUUACUCGGACCUUGGCUAUGUUGCCUUGGUUGGUUGACUACUUCGUUGCUGUUCCUUUGUGCUUCGUGGAAGUCGUUGUUGGUUGCAACACCUCUACUGCCCUCUUGAUGAGCUAUAAUGCGGGGAACAGACGGGAUUGGUGAUUCCUUAUCGAGUAGCUUGUAAGCUUAUUCUACGAGUUGUGUGAUUAGUCCGUUGCCUCGCUGUGCGAGUUGAGCUGUGACUUCAUUGUCUCUAUCUUGAGGUAUGAACGUUGAUAUAAGGUUGAUCGAGGCAAUUGCCACGAGUGGAGUGUUGUGUUCUUGAGCCUGUACCGCGUCAAAUGCUCUUUCAAGGUUUGUGAUGGGAAUGUUUGUAGCCAGCAUUUGUCGGCGUUUAGCCCGAGUAGUAUUGUGCAUCCUUCUUUGGUUCCUUUGAUCGGAAGUUUCAUCUUGUGGGGUGUUAGCUGAUGACUCAUCUUCUGAGACGUUGUCGAGUUGUGCUAGUCAUCGGGGGGUUCUCUGUUGGCUAGUACCCGCGUUGUUAUUUUGAGUAAUAACAAAGACUUCUCUUUCUAGGUAGUAGUUUCCAGAGCUUGAUGUUGUGAUUUCUGUGGAACUUUCCUCGCAGCUUGAAAUGAGUGGGACGCCUUCCUGGUAUGGGAGAUUGUUUAUGUGAGCGAUGAGGCGUGACUCGUAGUCGCGAGCGAGGAGGGAUGGUCUCAUUCCUAGCUAGUGAACGAAUCUGCCUUGCGAUGUUGAAGUUAUUACCAGUCCUUGGGCUGGUCCUAACAGCACGAUCUCUGGGACAUAGUUGGAGUCAGAGUCGUCAUCUUCGUCUUUCCCGUGUUCGAGUUGAGUUCGAGUGAGAAGACUUUGGUGGACUUCGGAUGCAUUGCAGAGUCCGUAUGGGAACCGUUUUGGAGUUGAAGUCGAUUUGGGAAGUGUCUUGAACCGAAUACUCCAAACUAGGGUUGAGUCCGACGCGUAGUCCAACUUAGGGUUGUUGAUUUUGAAAUUUUGGCUUUUCCUGGCCGAAUCCUCUGAUUUCUUCUCCUGGAUGUUGAUGAUUUGGCGCUGAAAUGAUCCAGCGCCAUAGGCGAUGUAGAGUCAGGAUCCAAAAGCAAAGGUUGCGCCUGCCUCGAAGGUGAAAAUAGGCUUGAUAACAACAGGUGCCAUCGAGCUCGCGCAGAGAAACUCAACGAGGCCCCCUACCUGGCGCGCCAGCUGUCAGUGUUUUAGACCGGCAACCCACCUAGGGGGUACCCCAGGUGGUCUUUUGUGCGGUAAGGGCUGUCGAGAAUCAAGGAGCUGAUGGUGAUGCAAGGAACACGAUUUAGAUAGGUUCGGGCCGCUAGAUCGUGUAAUACCCUACAUCCUAUGAGUUUGGUUGUAUUGAUCUUAGAUGAACUGGAGUUGUUGUUUUUGAGGGGGUCCCUGCCUGCCCUUAUAUACUCGAGAGGGCAGGGUUACAAGAUUGAAUCCUAGUCGGGUACAAUUACAGAGUUCUACUUGGUGUGGACCGAGUAGUUUCCAUAUGUACACUUAACUAGUCCGAGUGGGAUACGCCUAUUGCUGUGUAGCCCCCUUGUAUUGAUUGUGUCCGAGUACAUCCCUUAGUGGGCCGUCCAAGGCCUACUCGUGGGCCUGGGGUGCAUGCCCAACAUAAGGGUCAAAUCGUAAGUUUUCCCCGAUCUAACUCUUUUAACUCAUUUUAAAUCGACAGAAACUUGAAAAUUACAUCUUAAAUCGAGGAAAAAUUGGAAAAAUGUGAAAUCACUUGGGUUGGAAUCCUUGUUUUGAGUAGAAUCCAAUAAAGUGGGUUUCGCACCUUUUCCUGUAGUUUUGCUACAGUUUUUGGGUUAAAUCUUUGCAAUACUAUUGAAAUCACCGUCUAAGUGUCUUACCCUUGCAUUGCAUCUCGUGUACAGUUGAACCUCGCAGACGGAACCUACGAACUUCACCCGACGCUGGAAGAUGAAGUCGUAGCUGAGUAGCCGCCUACAGGAGUUGAGCCCGUGCACGCCGAGGACCAGUUCACUACCGUCCCGCUUGAAGGCAAGCCUCGGAGCAUAACCCAGUUUUUCUAAACUUGUGCAUGCCUUAUGUUGUUAUAUGUGUGCAUUUACAUUUCAGGAGUUGAUUGAAACUGUAGAUGCAUGACUUAGUUUCCCUUUGAUCUGAACACUAGUAUGAUAGGCCGAGUAGCUGCUUUGCUUAAAUAGGACUCGGUAAAAGUCGAGUGAUUUCCUGUCACUUGUGAGUUAUCGGAGUUGCUUGCUUCUUUUUGCUACAACCAUAAGGACGAUGGACGGGGCAGGGCUCUAUGAACUAUUUUGGUGGUCGGUGGGUUGCCCCGCCUAUCUACAUGAAACUGGAUUAAGGUCGGAAAGUGAUGGUGUUCAUGAUCAAGUGUUUGAAAGUACUAAUCUCACACCUAGUAUGGGAUGGGGAAGCCUAGUACCUGAUUGAACCGGCAAGUGGCUUAUACCCCUGCUGUCCUUGGAACGUAGUUUCCAUGGUGCAUCAUGUGGAUGCAAGUGCGGUCAGAGUACGGUAGAGACCGGGACUGUGGAGGAUUGCAUGCCAAAGGUGGUUUGGACCCAGCACGCGCCUGUGAAUUGAUGGGGACGGCUGACAAAUGAAGCAACCCUUCAUGGUGCGCGAAUGUCGUGAGAUUAGGUUCACCAUGCAUGGUUAAGAAAUUCGAAUCGAUUCGCCUGCCUCUCACAGUUUGGGACUACUUGAUCGCUAUGCUACACCGAGUAAGACUGGAAGAUGAUGGUGAUCUAAAUUUGUUACUUGUUUAAUUGCUUGGAAAACUAUGCUUGGCUUAGUAUAGCUGCUAACCUAGAAUGGUAAACAGCAAUAGAACUUGUGGCUAAAAUGUUCAAAGUAAGGACCUAUGCUAGUUGCUUUUGGCAAAAACAAACCCCUCAGCAAAAAAGCCUUGCAUGUCUAGAAGUUGGUGGAUUAGAACCACCCGUCGGUUAAGUCUUGUUGAGCGUAGUCGCUCAGCCUUGUUGUGGCACCUUCGUUUCAGGUGUUGUUGACGCCUCUGAGUUUGCUACAAGUGGCACUUGGCCUCCCCAGCUUCCUCUUGGGUGGACGGUCGAGUGGGAUCCCUCCUUGGACGGCAAGGAUGGGACUCAUUGAUGUCAUGAUCGGCCUCGUCGUGACAUCCGAUUUCGGCGCUACAUUCCAUUUGUUUAUUUUCCGCUGCUUAAGAACUCUGCAAACUUUGUUUGAAUUUUGAACCUGGUGUUGUAAUAAAUUAAUGUACUUGUUUAACUUGGAUGAUCUAUUAUAUUCUCUGGAACCACUCACCUUCGUGUGAGCUAUAUAUUCUCGAUCCUGUGUAGUGGUUUAUCGGAUGAAAUCCGACGGACUACCCAGUUAACUUGAUUAAAGCACAUGAUCGCGUGCCAGGAAACUUAAUUGUGUUUUAGCUAAGUUAAUUAGGGCGAUUCUGCCACAAUGCCACCAGGCAGCCAUGACGUGGAGUCCUUGUUCCGGCCAAUGGAGGGCAACGGGAGGCGUGGAGAGGGAGGGAGGGGCACAUGGGAGAUGCCCGGUUGGCCUAUGGGUGGAGGAGGAGCCCUGCAGGCUCUAAGGGACGACCAACCGGCAAUCUUUGGGUGUCGUGCCAGCCACAGGCAUGCAGGUGGUAUUCUGGUGCUGGAGGAAGGAGGAAGAGGGUGCUGACAUGUGGGCCUGUGAAGAAAAAUACAACGUGCCAAAUUUGUCCCCUUAACUGACCUAGCUACAAGUGUCCAAAAAUUCCGCAAAAAUACUUUUUGGAAGGAUAAAAUCGUCAAUAAUCUAAUGCAAAAAGAAUCAACUCCAAAGCUAUUACAGUUUGCACACAAUCGAAAAAACAAAAUUACUAAAAUUGAACUUUAAUUGAAUUUUUAACCCAUGCAAACUUCUCUGAAAAAUUUGGUAAAAAUAUUUAAAAUCACUAACUGGUGUGUAUAGUGUUUGAAUAAAAUAGUUUGGGGCAUAGUUGUUUGGCAAAAAUUGGGGUUUCUUCACAAAUUUGAAUUUUUUUCAAUAAACAACAAUUGUGUGAAAUUAGUAAUGCCUGACUUCUACUGAAUUUUGAAAAUCUUCUCAAAAUCCAAGAAAGUGUUAAUAACAAAAGUUGUUUGUUUUUAAAUGUUCUACAACUUUUAUAUUGGCCAAAAGUUUUGUUAUAUGAAAUUUGACUUUCUACUCUUACCCUAUUUUAGUGCUUUUGAGGCAUUUUUCAACACUUGGUGAAUUUAAAAGGUUUUCAAUAGUUGGGAUUUGAACUUUGGGUGUGUUUUCUACCUUCCCAAACUAAUUUGUUAGGUUUUUUUUUCAUAUUUUGCUUCUUGGUUGGCCCUAUUUUGCUUUCUUUUGCCCCUUUGUCGUAUUUUUAUGAAGUUGAAAGGCAUUUGAAAGUGCAAGCGGCAAAAAUUUUGAGUUUAAGUGUGAUUUAGGUGCUUAAUACCUUAAUUACCCUCUUGCAAGCUUGAUUGAAACUAGGGAUGUUACAUCAUGGUUAGGUAGCAACCCAACCCAACAGUUCCGGUCCCUAUCGUGGCUUCAGAAGCCAUCUAUUUAUCAUUACCAAGGACGGGUCAGUUACUUUUUUCCCACUAUUGCACAAUAAAGCCAAUUCAUCUCAAAGUUCGUAAUUUUGGUUUCCUUCAAUCUUCCCAAGAUGCGGUGGCUCAUCCAAAAAUGAAAUACUUGUAGUAUGGGAUUGCAAAUAUUUUUCCGUUGCCUAUUUUCUUCUGAAGGACUGAAACGGGCGACCAGAGGGGGGGGGGUGAAUGGGAGCCAAUUCAAAAAUCUCUGCAAGAAACUUGGACUAUGUCCCAAAGUAUCCUUCAACCCUCUCUUCUAGCUAUUAUCAAGAUCACGUAGUUACAUCGGAUCUACUAACCUUAGGAACGAUGCUAGGAAGGUUCAGAAGCAAGAAAACACAAAAGAUUGAGGCAAAGCCAAGCUCAAAACACUUCUAGAUAUUGAAACUUCCGACCUCUUAUUGGAACUUCCGAAUGUGGGUUGGGAACUGUCUAGAAAGCUCCGACAAGGGGUCCUGAACGGUUUUGUCGGAACUUCCGACCCUGUAUCAGAACUUCCGGUACCUAUCGAAUGUAUACAGAAAAUGCCAAGAAAGGGCUCUCGGGUUUUCAAAAAUAAAUCAUCGGAACUUGCAGUACAGUGUUGAAUUUCCGUCCUGUCAGAACUUCCUACAGCUCAGAAAAACAGAGCGAAAAGUUUAGGUCAACACUUCAAAAUUUAAUCAAAUAACCUCCAAAAUUCAUGAAAUUUUAACCACAGUUCUGGAAUAGCCUAGUGAGUCUUUUCCCAAAAGAUCUCCUCAAAAAGAUCAAGACUUCAAUAUGGAUUUCACGGAAUACGGUAAAGAACACAAAAUAGAGAGUUUCAGGGAAGCUUCAAAUUCAAGUCGAAUCCGUGGGGAAUUUGAGGGGGGAUCACAUCAAAGAUGCUCACAAGGGUCCUAGCAACAAUUUCCCCCAACAAACCUAAUGGGAUUUGAGCUAAAACGCGAUGAAAAUAGCUUCAAAAAUACCAAAAAAAGAAAAAGGGAGAGUCAAAAGAUUUAGCCACAGAUUUGAGACACAAAUUCAACUAAAUCAUGAAGAUAACAUCUUUACAUGAUGAGGAAUAGAAUCCUCCUUCAUCCACCCAUUAAAAUGAAGAAAUCAAGAGAAAAGAGCAAUCACCCUCUCAUCUCCCUCUCCGCUCUCUCUCUAAGCACUUGGCUAGCUUCUAAGAAAAUGAAUUAGGGUUUUCUCAAGAGGUGCUGAAACAACCAGAGCCAUCCACCCAUAUAUAUAGUCUAUGGCAGAUGACAAAAUUACCUCUACAGCUACAACUAAGAUAACCACCCACGCAGGGGCAUUUUGGUCCAAAUUUUUAUUGGUGCAUCAGACGGACAUGCCACCUUCACGACUUUGCUUCACCUCGACACAAACUUCGCGAUGAUGCCACGUGCCCUCCUUCUUGAAGCUCCGACUGCACCGGGGUCGCCCCCAGUUUUGAGGCCCAAACUGGGAAACAUGCCUGCGCGGUGGUUUUGAGGCCCAAACCACCCUAACCGUCCAUCUCCGCUUGGCCGCCACGCGACCUCCUCGAUGUCGAUGCGUGUUUAGCCUUCGCUGAGCCUCCUACUUGACUCGACCGACGCCGUCUCCAUCCCGUCAUGUUCUCUCGCCGUUCCGUGCACCAUGUGGACCGCCCAUGACUCCACUCGGAAAACUCGGGUCCAUCGGUCCAAGCCUACUCGCGUUCAUCCUUCACCGCCCUUGGUCCAUUUGCAAGAACCCUUCGCUUGACCUUCACCGCACGCCGUCGGCCACCAUGUUUCAUCCUACACCUACACAUCACAAGCCAAGAACAACAUCAAACUACACAACAUUGUCAAUCACUCAUUAUCCAAGAGUGACUACCAUUGGUCCUUAAUUUACCCCUUGAUGAGUGCAUUGGCAACACUCAACACAAAUUCAAAGUUGAAAGAAAUAAAAGAAAGAGAAGGAAAAACAAAAGCUCAUUCAAGUUAUCAAAAAGCCAAGACAAACAUAAGAUCACUCGAAAUGAGAAGUCUCAAUCCCCUAAGAUAAGGGCAACGGCUCUACACAAUUGAGACAAUACACAUGAUCCCUCAAGAAGAGGUAGAAAGGGCUCAACACCAAUCAUGUGAAGAUCAAAUGCUCAAACUAAACGCCAGCUUCUCAAGAAGAGGUAAAAGCUCAACGCAUCUCAGUCCCCUAAGAUAAGGGCAUUGGCUCUACACAACUGAGACCAAAACACAUGAUCCCUCAAGAAGAGGCAAAAAUGGCUCAACCAAUCAUGUGAAGAUCAAAUGCUCAAACUAAACGUCGGCGCCUCAAGAAGAGGUAAAAAGCUCAACGCGAUCGGGAAAAGACCACAAGAGCAUAAAAAGCUCACAAAACUCCCCCUGAAAGCAUGCAUACAUGCAAUCUCUCCCCCUUGACAGAUAAAUGAGUUUGUAUGAAUCUCUCCCCCUUGUUGACAAUGCAAACAUCAAGUAUAGCAUGAGAGCACAAAAUGCAUGCCAUGAGAUGCAGGAACUACUAAGCUUCUAGAAUAUACCACAAAACACUCACAAAGGCUACAAGAGAGAUAAUACAAGGUAGAUCAUAAAGAGCAAUUGCAUCGCCAUCAAGAGGAUAUUAUGAUAUAACUAGGAGAUGAAGCAUGUGUCAAGUUUUACCAAUUUGUAAAAGCAUCAUGAGCAAGAACCUAGUCAUGAAUCACCCAAGCAAGAAUAAACUAGGCCAUCAGAGCUGAUACAAGGAAGAUAAAUUCUCAACAAAAGAUCAUUGCAAACACCCACAGAUGCACCACAAGUCAUGUCAAGGCUUGUUGAAACCAUGUGCCUACUUCUUUUGGUAGACAUCAUGUAAAAACUAAGCAAGCAAGUAUAUGAACAUGAAGCAUAAACGCUUGGUGAAUUAUUGAAUUUUUCUUUUCAUCAUUUUUCAUUAUUCACAUAAAACAAGGUACAUUAAGUGCCUUUGUGGCACAAAGAAGCCAUGCUUCCCCAAGGAAUGCAUCAUGGGCUAAACAUUUGCAAUGAUACAUCUUUGACCCAAUUGAAAAGAAUAUGAAUUCCAAGCAAAAGCUGAAAAUGGUACUAGCAUUCAAGCAAGAACAAAAGCAUAACCAAGCAACUACUCAUGGGUGAUAAGAAAGUCAAGUUCAUAGAGUAGAAUUAGCAUUGGAUUCAGAAACAGUCAUCUCAUCAUCUUUAUAAGACAAUAUCAUCAAGAGCAUAACUGCACAUUGCAUCAAAAUCACCAACCAAAGUACUAGCUCACAAGUAGCAUAAGAGGGUGCACAAGGUAUAUAGGAGAAGCUCAUCUAGUACAAUAUGAUACAAAUGCAACAUGAUACAGAUGCAAUAGGACUAAGCUAAAAUGAUACAGAUGAACAACAUGCCAUACCCAAAAGUGAACUAAGGUAAAGCAUGACAUGAUGUGCAUAUGUAUCAUCCACCAUAAUAUAUUACAAAAGAUAGCUUGAUAAGAUGUACAUGAGAAACACAAGGUGCUAUCAAGAAGAAGUGGCUAGCCUACCAUGGCAUAUACAGUAGAAUGAAACAAGUAUAAUACAAGAGAAGCUCCAAAACUCAACUCAGAAAGAAAAGCACACACCCAACUCCUCCCACAAAUGAGCAAAGGUGGCUUGAUCCAGGGGUUUGGUGAAGAUGCCAACGCGUUGGUUUUGGGUAGCAACGUGGCCAAGGUGAAUAUCUCCUUUCUCAACAUGAUCUCUAAGAAAAUGAUAUCUCACAUCUACGUGUUUGGUUUUGGAGUGGAGAACAGUAUUCUUGGCUACACUGUUGGCACUCGUACUGUCACAUAGGAGGGGUACAUGGGAAAAACUCAAACCAAAGUCUCUCAAAGUGGAGAUCAUCCACAACAGCUGGGAAUAGCAGCUAGCAGUGGCAACAUACACAGCUUCGGUGGUAGACUGAGCAACACUGGACUAUUUGCGGGAAGACCAAGAAACCAAAGAUGAACCAAGAAACUAACAAGUACCAGAAGUGGACUUGCAAUCCAACCGACACCCAACGAAAUCCGCAUCGGAGUAACCACAAAGUAGGAGUGUCAAGGAGGCAGAGUACCACAAACCAAACUCAGGAGUAAAACGAAGGUACCUCAUGAUUCUCUUGACUGCUUGACGGUGAGAUGUUCUUGGUGAAGCUUGAAAACAAAAGCAUAGACACAUGGCGAAGUGUAUGUCCAGCCUCGACGCCAUCAGGUACAAGAGGGAGCCGAUCAUGCUCUGGUACUCCUUCUGGUCCACCGGUUCUUCGUCUUCAUAAGCAUCCAAAGCUGUCAUCGUCGCCUGGGAGUUGACAAUGGCUUGGCCUUAGCCAUGUCGAACUUCCUCAGCACAUCCUUCUAUGGCAGAAGCACCCAAAUUAACCUAGCUAAAGUGUUCCCAUCUUCACCUCACAUGCGAACCGAUACAUUGAUCAAGCCAAUUUGGUAGUCUAUCGGGUUAUACCCAAUAAACCACUUGUCUCGGAUCAAAAAGAAAAACAUCUCACCUGAAGGCGAGUCCAGAGAUUACAACAUUCCAGGAGUUUAAUACAUAGGUCCCACUUUAUUUAUUACACCGCAGUAAUUCAAAAGUGCAUAAAGUAAAUUGUUCAAAGUUUAAGCAGCAGAAAAAGGAUGGCAACUAAACGUCAAAGCAGAAACAUCAUGGCGAAGCCAACCAUGACGUCAGUUACCACGGUCCUCGCUGACCGAGGAUGGGUCCCACUCGACCGUCCAACUAGGAGGGAAUUGGGUCGGUCAAGUCCUACUUUCAGCAAAAGCACUAACAUCCAAGUUACCUGAAAGUAAAGCCACAAGCAAGGCUGAGUAUACUAAUACUCAACAAGACUUACCCGUCGGGUGGCAACUACUCGACCGAGUUCUAGACAUGCAAGGUCUUUUGGCGGAGGAGUUUGUUUUUGCCAAAAGCAUCUAAGUAGAUCCUUACUUUCAAGUUUUAGCAGCAGGUUCUAGUAGAUUAUUUAUUCUAGGGAAGCAACCUGUUCUAAGCAAGCAAGUUGAGCAAACAUUUAUUCCAAGCAUCAUCAUUAACAUAAUCAUUCUCUGUUCCACUUGUUACUCAGUGCAGCACAGUAGUCAAGCAGUCUUAAACUGUGAGAGGCAGAUGAUUCGAAUCGAGUUUCUUAAUUUUUGCAAGGUGAACCUAAUCCCACGACAUUGCGUACCACGACGGGUCCACACAUGUCAGCUGUCCCCAUCAAUUCCUAGGCACGUGGCUAGGGCCCACUUCCCUUGAAUACAAGUCCCCAUGGUCCCGAAACGUCGCCGUACCGUGACUGCACUUGUACCCACAUGAUGCAUCAAGGGAACUCUGUUCCAGAGAGAGCAGGGAGUAUGCCCACAUCCCGGUUCAAUCAGGUACUAGACUUCCCUAUCCCAUACUAGGUAUGAGAUUAGUACUUUCAAACACUUGACUGCAAACUCCAACACAUUUUGACCUUAGCAUUUUCAUCACUAGACAGACGAGACAAAACCACCGCGUCGGAACCAAUUUCGGUCCCGUCCAUCAUCCUUAUGGUUAUAGCAUGAGCAAGCAAUCAACUCUUAUAAACUCGCGAGUGAUAGGAAAUCACUUGACUUUUACCGAGUCCUAUUUAGCAUUGCAGCUACUCGGCCUACCAUACUAGUGUUCAAUCAAAGGUACCUAAGAUCAUGCAACUAGGUUUUCAAUCAAAUCCUAUGAACAUAAAUGCACAAGCAUAGGUAUCAGAGACAUUGCAUGAAUUUAGAAAAACUGGGUUAUGCUCCAGGGCUUGCCUUCCUGUUCUAAGUUAGUGGGGAGCUUGUUGGAUGCUUCGCUGAUCUCCUUCUCAGCCUCGACGUGAUGUAGCUCGGCAGGUACUUCCUCAGUUGUCGGGAGCAGUUCGUACGUUCUGUCUGCGAGAUUCGCUUCUACACGAGAUGCAUAUGCAAAAGUUCAAGUUUCCAUGCUUUCACAUGUAGGAUGCAAAACAUGAAUUAUUGCUGAAGUAUAAAUUUCAUUUUGACCACAUUCACGUAAAUAAGGUUCUAAACUUUCAUUAUCUUCAUGAAGUAAGGUGUGUUGUGAUAUAAAACCCGGGGUUGAAAUUGAUGGUGAUUGUGUACACAUAAAAGGUUUUACAACUUAGACUUCACAAAAGAAAGGUGGGGUCACUCUAGGGUUGCUCAAGGUUCAUUUGGAAAGUUAUCCUAUUUCUUAAUGUUUUUCUGUACCUUAGUGCAUUUAACAUUUUGCCCUUCUCAUUAACUAAUUGCUUUUAUUCCUUUUUCUUGUUUAACUUCCAUAAAUGUUUCUAGUAGAUUUUGAUAAGAUAUGGUUCUAAACAUUUUAUAGAGGCUUCCUAAUCACAUUAGUAAGCUACUGUAAAAUUUUGGGAUGCAUUGGACUUCUACAAAAAUUUUUAAAAUUAAAAAAGUACCCAAUUGCAGAUUAUAGGGAUCUAUUUUUAACGGAAGUUCGAGUUGCUGUUUGGCUUUUAUAUUUUUACAGGAGGUUACACUAGUGUGACAAAGGCGUGUACGAGUUUUACAAGAUUUAUGGUGAAGGAAAUCUAUUUUCCAUAUUUUCCCUUCAUUUAGUCUUGUACAAAAGUAUAAGAAUGUUUUAUUUAGUUUUGUGCAAUGAUCCUUAUUUUUUUCUUGUGAGUGUGUUUCAUUUGUGACCCAACAAAAGUGGUUUCAUAUUUUUCUCUGCCUUAAACCAUUUAUUAUGCAAAAAGUAAGAUUUUACCUCAAAUUUCAAGGUUUAAACAAAAACAGUGUGUUAAACAUCUAAAGUUGGGUCACCACUAUUUUAUGCAGCACAAGCUCAGCAUAACAAAGCUAACAGAGGUGGAUUUACAUUUUUAUCAUUCUUGUGUGAUUUAUAAGGCAUUUAAUGCUUUGACACAAAAUAAAAUCUAGAGGAAAAACUGCAACAGUGACAUGCUCAAAAUUAUUUUUUAGUGAAACUAAACAACACAAGGAGUCUAACAAAGUUUGUUUUGCAUUUUUAGCAUUUUUCUACUCUUUCUUAUGCAUUUUCAAAGUUUCAGCAAAAUUAAACCAUUUAAAAUAGAAAAAGGAUAAAACAUUUUACUCGUGGGUACCUGGAGGUUUUGAACUAUUACGGAUGGGUCCCUACACUUAGCACUAAAGACCCUAGAAACUAAACUAGUUUUGCAAUGUGGUCCUUUCCCUCGCCGGCGGCAACUCCGGCCGAUUGCCGGCGAGCGGCAGCGCAAAAGUGGAGGAAAAGGGUCGAGCGUGUCGUGUGGCUCGCCAGGCGGACUUGAGCUUAGGGGGUUGGCGGCGGAGGACGAACAGCGGUGACGGUUCGUGGUGGGGGCGAAACAGCGGUGGCGGACCUUCUGCUCUGGUGAGGUGGGUGGCGGAGGGAGCUUGGCGACAGCUCGGUGAGCUACGCGUGGGUGUGUGCAGUGCUCAGGCGAGCUUAGCGGGCGGCGGGGAGGCUCGGGAGGUGCUUCUUUGGGGCGAGGUGAGUGGCAGCGCUUGAAAGCAAAGCUCGGGAGAUCUUCUUGUCGGGGGCGACUACUGGCUAGGGUGGGGCUUGAAUUGUCUUGUCUCGACGGCGAGAGGUCGAGUGGUGCUGGCUGGUGUGCUGGGGUGAUGUGGCGGCGUGCAACGGUGUGUGCACAUGAGGGCAGUGCAGCUAUUGGGCGGCCAAGAUGCGGUGCGUAGGGGCAGGAUGGCGUAGGCGAACCAUUGGUCAGCUCGGGGCAUCGUCUUCUCAAGUCGUCGGUGAUGGUUGGCUAGCGGUGCUGCGCGAAUGCCAAGGGUGCACGUGGCGCGGCGCGACAUGGCCAGGCGGUGACCGCGCACGGGAAAAGCCGUGGCGUGCAAAGCUGUGUGGUUUGAAGCAAUUUUGCGCACAAAUUCGAAUUCAAACUUUGGAAAGUUCAAAUAUGAAGGGUCUAAGGUCGAAACUUUUCUGGAUUUGGAGAUAGACUAGGCUAAACUUUGACAUAACGCCGGUUUUACAAACGUAGUGAUUUCAAACCAGUUUUUAUGGAUUUUGCCAAAAUUCAAACUGAAUUUUCUCCAAAAGUUCAAACUAAAGCUGAGAAAUUCUAAAUGUACAAGUUGUUGUCCAUACUUUAGAGUCAAACUCUUAGAAAGGGUUCAAGUUCAAAACUAUCUUGGAUUUGAAGAUAACCACGGACAAAAGUAGGGAGAAACAGUUGUUUUUCAGAACUUAGAGAAAUUUGAAUUGAGUUUGAAAUUGAGCUGAUCUUUGACUCAAUUUUUGAAAGGGUUCCACUGCAAACUAGCAAAAUCUCAAAUAAUCAAAGUUGUGUGUUUUGAAAAGUUCUACAAUUUUUGUAUUGGCAAAACUUUGAGUUAUUUAACAAAAUCUGAAUUUAUGAAUUGCCCACAAUUUAAGCCAUUUUAAGGGUAUUUUGGUCCAUUCAAGUGCUUGAUUAGAUUUCAACCUGGUCCUUUGAGGUUUUUGGCAUUUUUACAACAAAAAAAACCUAGUGUGAGUAUUUAUACCACUUAAUCUUUGGGUUUGACUUGAUUUGAUCAAUUUAACCCCUAAUGUGACAUUUCUUUGAGUGUUUAAGUGUGCUCGUGCUCAAACAAUAAUAAGUUUGAAACUUAGAUGCUAAUUGAUCCUUAAAUACUCCAAUUAGACUCUUUAAGGACUAAACCAAAACUAGGGAUGUUACACCUUCGUGUAUUUGCCUUGGUGCACAAAGGUCCCAUCCUUGCUUUGCUUGAUUUGUAGCCCGAGGAAGAAGGUAAACUCACCCAUCAUCGACAUCUCAAAUUCCCUGCUCAUAUCGUCUGCAAAGUAUGCAACUAAAGCAUGAGAAGAACCACCAAAGAUAAUAUCAUCCACAUAUAUCUGAAUAAUCAACAAGUCAUUGCCUUGCCUGAGAAGAAAGAGUGUUUUAUCCACUGACCCAUUUCAAACCCAUUUCCAAGCAAAGAGCUUUUUGGAGUUUGAAAAUACAAUCAGGAUGUUUAGGCUUCUCAAAGCCAUGGGGUUGUUUCACAUACACUUUCUCUUCAAUAAAACCAUUUAGGAAGGCACUUUUCACAUCCAUUUGGAAGAGCUUAAAACCUUUAGCCAUAGAGAAGACUACAAGGAUUGUAAUUGCCUCCAAACAGGCAACAGGAGCAAAGGUUUCCUCAUAAUCAAUAACCUCUUUUUCGCUAAAAUCUUGGGCAACCAACCUCACUUUGUUUCUCACAACCAACCCAUCCUCACCUUAUUUGUUUUUGAAAACCCAAUUGGUUCCUAUAGGAUGGCAAUUUGGAGGUGGUUCAACUAAAACCCAAACUCUACUUUGCUCAAAUUUGUCCAACUCCUCAUGCAUGGCAUUAACCCAGUUUGAAUCAGAUAAAGCAUGUCCAAUAUUUCGGGGUUCGAAAGAGGCAACAAAAGUAGAAUGUGCAAAGUGUGAAAUCUGCCUAGAGCUGCGCCUAGUGGUGCGUUCAUGUAAGUUACCUAUCAUCUGUUGUGGAGGAUGGUGACGCUGAAUGUGCCAUGGUGCCUCUCUCUCUAAAGUCACCUCCCCCUCAACAGCAGCUGAAUUACUCUGAUCUUCUUCUUCAUCAUCAUGUAGUGGUACUUGUUGAUGGCUUGUAGUAAUGGGAGUAGAGGUAGGGCCAUCAACUAUCAUAGUCGAAGUAGAAGGUACAGGUGCAACAGCUGGAGCACGGUCAAUCUCAUCAUCCUCUUCAUCACCGCUAUCAACACGCUCUUCCUCUUCCUCAAAGAUGCUUUUCCCCAUUUCAUGUUCACCUGCAACCUCAAAGACAAGAUUUGUGCAAGGCAUAGUUUCUUCAAAGGUAAUCUCACAAGUUUCCACAAUCCAGUUAAUUUCAAGGUUAAGCACACGAUAAGCAUGACUAUGAGAAGCAUAUCCUAGAAAAAUACCAUCCAUAGAAUGAGACUCAAUUUUGUCCAAAUUACCUUGCUUGAGAAUGAAACAUUGCAGCCAAACACUCUCAGGUGACUUACUUUGGGGGUACAUCAAUGCAUCAGCUCAUAAGAGGUUUUCUUCAAGAAAGCUCGCAAGAAGAUUCGAUUGGAAACAUAGCAAGUAGUAUUUACGGCUUUGGCCCAAUAUUUUAUAGGAGUCCUAUGCUCAUCAAGCAUUAUCCUAGCCAUUUCACAAAGAGCCCGAUUUUUCCGUUCAACAACACCAUUCUGAGGAGGGACAUAAGGCGAUGAAAACUGAUGUUCAAGACCAAGAUCAUUACAAAAAGCUUUAAAAUGAGUGUUCUUGGUAAUGUGCCAUUGUCACUGCGAAUACCUCUGAUGGCAUCUGGAUCUAAUCUCGAACAAAAGGAAAUGCCUCCUCCUUAGAUUCCAUGAAAAAGACCCAUGAAUACCUCGAGAAAUCAUCAACAACCACAAGAACAUACCACUUCCCACCAACUGAGCAAAUGCGAGCUGGACCAACUGUAUCCAUGUGCAACAGCUCCCCUGGAUGCUUAGUCAUCACCUGGUUCACAGGUGGGUGAGAAGUGGCAACAAUUUUGCCAUGACGACAGGGAGCACAAACAAGAUCUUUCUCAAACUUGAGCUUAGGCAAUCCUUAAAUAAGGUCAAGAGCACUCAAGCGGGAAAGUAAAUCAAAACUCAAAUGACCAAAUCUCCUAUGCCACUUCCAAAGGUCAGAAGAAGAACCAACAACUUAACACCAAGAGAGACCAAAUGACUUAGAGAAGUCAACUCAAAAAACCUGAGCCUCGGGGAUGAUCAUACACAGAAGAUCACCUCGAGAGUCUAAAAUCCAUGAGGCUCCCUGCUUAAAACAAACCUCAAAACCAUCAUCAAGCAGUUGCGAAACCGAAAGUAAAUUGACACCGAGGGAAUCAACAAGAGGAACUCACUUGAGCAUGAAGUUCUCACUCACCUUUAUUGCUCCUUCAGACAAUACCUUUCCUUUGCUAUUAUCCCCGAAAGUGAUGUACUCUCUAGUCAUCACCAGGGUGAGGCUGGAGAACCAUCUGUGAUCUCCGGUCAUGUGACGAGAACAACCAGAGUCAAUGAGCCACGUGUUCUCCAGGCCUCCGACCUGCUCAACAAAAAGGAGACCAAGGAUGAGCAAAUGUCUCAACACUGGGGUUAGUAAAACAAGUAGAAUACUAGUGUCGAACCAUUUGCUCAAGAGUAGGGUUAGAAAAAUCAACCAUCUGUUGUCUCACUGGAGGACUAUGACCACCAUGAGGGGGAAAACAUGGUCCAUUGUACCUCUGAGACUCAAAACCACGGCCAUGUUGUCCCUAGUCAUAUUGAUCAUGACAAGGAGCAUGCCUGGCAAACCUGCGGGAAGGAGCUAAAUGCACACUAUCCACACAACAAGGUGGAGGAGCUGUUCUAGGUGCAUGUACACCAUGAGAGGGGUGGUACAUGUCCUUGUUGCCCCAUGCACGCUCACGCCUCAAAGCUUUCUUCUUUCAAAAACAAAACUCCUCAAGAUGACCCUCCCUUUUACAAUACUCACAUUGGAACCGAAUAUGUUGUUUUGGCUGUGGGUUAGCUUUGGGUUGAGGGUUAACUUUCAGCUAUGGGUUAGCUUUGGGUUGAGUGUUCAUUCUUGGUUGUGGUUUGUCUUGGGGUUUUGGUGGAGGUUGCUUCAAAGCCAUAUUAGGAACUGUGUCAAGCUUGUUUCCGAGGUGAUUGGGUUUUUCCACCCAGGUGGCUUUCUUUGGAACUUUUGGUGGUAUCUCAAUGAACACUCCAUCUUUAACACACUCUAUAGGGUUUCCAUCACAAUCUGGGUUAGGUUGCUCUCCACUCAGCUUGGGUGGCUCACAAGGGGUGGAAGUUGCUUGUUUUUCUCUCUCACCACUGCACUGACCAACCUUCUCAUACAACCCAUCAAAUCUGCACUGCUUGAUCACAUUCUAAUCCCAAAACCAUCAGCCCUCUUAAACUCCUGAAUCAUCAUACCCAACUGAGGUUCCCUACUCGACACCCAACUGAGAACAGUGUGCAAGUAGUAAUUUUCAUCCUUAGUAUUUUGCAAAGCAUGUUUAAGUUCAGGAUACUUUGUGCAUUUAGGAACUUUGGAUUUAGCAAUUAAAUUAGAUUUCUCAAGAGCUUUAAUCUUAGCACAUGCAUCAUCAAGUUGAAUUUGUAAAGCAGAGCAAGAUUUGCAAGCACCCAGUAAAACAGGUCUAGUUUUAACUUCAUCUAAAGCAGCCCUAGUCAAAUCAAGUUCAUCUACAAGCAAAGCAUGCUUAGAUUGCAAAGAAGCUAUACUAGCCAUGUGAACAACAUAUUCAUCACACUCAACAACAUCACAAAUAGUAGGAGCAGAUUUAAUCAUAUCUAUCUCAAUCAAAUCACUCUCCAACUUAGCCUUAAGCUCAAUUCAUUCACGAGCAGCCUUUUUUAAGCAACUUAUCUUGAUUUAGCAAGCAAUCAUUGAGUUCAUCUACUCCUAAGGCAAGUUGUUCAGGAGUGGGGAAGACCACAAUACAAGCAGUUGGGACACAUUUCUAGCUCCACUUCGACAAACUCAAGUAUCGGGGAAUAAGGUCACUACCAAAAAACUAAGCAUUCAUCCGCGGUAUUAGUAAUAGAUGGAUUUUGGUCUAGUACUAACACCACACUUUAGUACCGGUCAUCAAGUAUAGUGCCACUGGUGCCCCUAUAGUACCGGUUUGGAGCCUCAGCCGGUACUAAAUGGCAACACGUGGACCUCAUGAUGAACGGCUAGAUUAACCAGGAAGCCAUUUAGUACUGGCUGGUAGGUGGAGCCGGUACUAAAUGAUGUUCAUGCAUGUUAGUACCGGUUGGUAGCUUCAACCUGUACCAAUUGAAACCAUUUAGUACCGGCUCAACCCACCAGCCGAUACUAAAGAAAAUCCUAUAAAAUGAGCUACUUCCUUCCUCCCUAAGCUCGAGCUCAACCAUUUGACCAAGACCUCGGGCUUCUUCUUCACUCGACCUAGGGGAGGUAAAGGUUAGCAACUCCAUCCUCUAAUGGUUAGUAAUGAAUGCGAAUAAAUCCACAAGCGCACGGAUAUCAUUGUAGCUUUCACCUUAGAGUAUUCCAAGGGUAUUGAUCCAAGGUAACAUGUGUGUAUGCCUACGACUCUAGUAUCCAAGGACAACCAACCAAAGGUAGGCGAAGGAUAGAGAGGAUUCCUAUGGAUAGCACUAGAUAAGUUAAAGGUUGGUCUCUCGGGUCAGAAUACUCACUUCGGGCACUGGCUUACCUUGAAUGAGUUAGUCACCUUCGGCCAAUAGCUCUACGCUAUAUCCAAACAUGGAGGAUUAUGAUGGACCAAUAGGGUUGUCACCACCUACAGCCUACCUCUGCGGCCCAUGGGAUAUAAGACAAACGAAGGAUAACCCUUAGCCUAGACACCACAUUUACAAUACUGAUUAGUACUGCAGCCCAACUACGUCUGUCGACCUGAAGCAGACAUAUAGCACUUUGUAUAAAUACGGAGCGAUGAACCUGCGAGUAAGAGAACUGAUCUCACUUAUAAAUAAGUACUAAACCAAAGAAGAAAUCACAAAUACUCACUUACCUAACUCAGAUGGGAGUAGAAUGCUGAGGAACUCAACACUCCUCUGAGCUACUCCCUCUCUCUCUCUUCCGCCCAAUCCUAAGCACUAGCCUAAGUAGGGCUUCUCCAUGGAGUGGAGCUUUUCUCUUGAUAGGAGUGAGGGACUUCUCCAAGUGGGGAUGAAAGAUGGUGUGUCUUGAAAUGAGACCCCUCCCCUUCUAUUUAUAGGAUCUUGGGGUCAGUUCUGGGUAGGAAUAUUUGGGGAAUCUUCCACAACCAUCUUUGGGAAAUCGUCAACUGCUGCCAUGCCUCGACUGGAGGGGAAAGAAGGUAAGGGUGAUUCGACCAAACCAGGGGCUCGGCCGCCCUCCUACAACCGCCUUUUGCACCGCCUUUGCUUUGGGUCACUGCCUUGUGGAUCCUCAUGUGGGUACAGGGUGCUUGGUGUUGAAUGUAGUCGGUUUCCUUCUUGUCGUGGGCCUAUGGAUCCACAUGCUUGCUCCUGAUUAGUUGAGAGUGUGUUUCCUUGCUCUUGAGGUGUAUUUUCUCGAUUAAUGAACCUGGAUACAAAUAUUUAACAACACUUAUGGAAUUUAUUAGUAAUAACUCCUACUACUACUGUUGAUGCUCAUUCUUUAUGUGUUUAUGCAGGAGUUGACAGCCUGAAUUUGGUACUUAAGAGCCGUCAACAACAUCCCCACAAUUAGCCUUUGCUUGUCCUGGUGUGAAGAAGAAAGGACUAAGGUGAAACAUAACUUUCAAAGGUAUGAAGCGAGCAUAAGAGAUAUUCCAAACAAUACCUUGCACUUGUGCACUUUGGAGUGUCAAUCAUGCCAUCUUGGUAGUUGAGGAAUGGAACCGUCUUGAAUCAAGUUGCCUCAACUCCUUAUAUCAAGCAACUUGGGAUUUUUCAAUAAGGUUUUAUAACAAACCUUGCUUAGCUGCUCAUUUGAUUCUCUCAGAUCAGUCAAUGUGUAUAUGUCCUCACCAACGCAUUAAACUUGCCUUUCUUUAUCCUACUUCGAAUGAUGGCUUUAUGUGGAGCUCAAGGUAGGGCAUUAAACUUGCCUUUCUUAUCAUAAAUCUUGUUCUUCAUGAUUAUUUUGAGCCUUCUAACAAAAGAGCCAUUUCUUCAUCAGAGUCAUCAUCAUUGCCAUUUUCAUCAUUGUUGUUCUCUUUUGAUGAUUGAGCCUUGAGUGCAAUACUUUUCUUCCCAUCAUCAUUUGCUAGGCCAUGAGCUUCCCUUUGUGAUUGCUUGAAAAUGUCAUGAGUGAGCACAUCACCUAGCACUUGUGUAGGUGUCAUUGUCUUCAAGUUUGAUCUCAUAAGCAAUGUAACAAUUGUUUCAUAUUUCUCCAGGAGGCACCUAAGAACUUGUGAGAAAAAUCUUCAUCCAGAACAUUGAAACCAAGACCCUUGAGCUCAUUCACAAUAUCAUUAAACUUGUUGAACAUACCAGACAAAUCUUCAUCCUUCUUCAUAGCAAACUCACUAAACUUUCCAUAAGCUUUUUCCAAAUUACAUUUGCGGUUGUGAGAUUCUUCACCCGGUUGAACUCACUAAUGUCAAGAGCACCAUAGAGAACAAUCAUAGCUUGAUCAUUGAGUAACUCAUUUUCAUCGUCGGUUUUGAUUUUAUUCUUCUCAUCUAGAAUAGCAUAUCCAUCAUUCACAUUUCUCCAAAUCUUUUUGCCCAUAGCCUUAAGAUGAACCAUGAUUCUAGUUUUCUAAUAAUCAUAAUUAUUCCCAUCAAAGUGUGGUGGCUUCCCCACAUGAACAUUGUUGUCCUAUUGGUAUAAUUAACGAAUGCAAAUAAAUCCACAAGCGCAUAGAUACCGUUGUAGCUUUCACCUCAAAGUAUUCCAAGGGUAUCGAGUCCAAGGGAAUGUGUUGUGCACUAACUUCUAUUCAAGCGAUCCAAGGACUCACCCAGAUAUGUGGCUAGGGUAGAGAUGAUUCCUAAAGAUAGCACUAUAGGUGAGUUAAAGGUCGAUCUCUCGGGUCAAAUACUCGCUUUGGGCACUAGCUUACCCUUAAUUAGUCAGGUGCGUCCAGCCUAGAGCCUACUAUAUAUCCGAACAUGGAGGAUUACAAAGGACCAAUAGGGCUGUCACCACCUACGGCCUACUUCUGUGGCCUGUGGGAUAUACGGUAAAUGAAGGACAACCCUUAGCCCAGACAUCACAUCUACGCUAUUGAUUACUACUGCAGCCUAACUACGUUUGGGCCCCCCAUAGCAGACUACAACACUUGUAUGAUUACAGAGCGACGUACCCACGAGUAAGAGAACUGAUCUCACUCAAAUAUAGAUACUACUAGUAUAUACUAUAGACAUUCAUGAGAGCACUCAAGGCUAUACUAUGAUAGCAUGGGUAUAUGACUAGCAUAUGAGCAUAUAAACGAAGCAUACAAACAUAGCAAUGGAAUAAGGCUAUUCAUGAAACCAAGGAUAACACUAUAAGAAGGAAUCACGAACACUUACUUAACUUCGAAGAAUGUAGCAGCAUCCGUAGAGGUACCAGCUGGGAGGAGAAUGCCAACACUCCGGCACUCCUCCCAAACAACCCUCACUCUCUUCCUACUCUAAGCAUAAGCUAGGCAAGGCUUUGCCUUUGGAAUGAGGCUCUAGGCUUCCUUGGAUGGUGUUGUGUGUCCUCAAAUGAGGCCCUCUCCUCUACUAUUUAUAGAGUGGAGGUGCCUUGGGAGAGUGGAGAUCCUCCAAGCAUCUAAAGGGAAUCUUGAAGGAAUAUUCUCCUCCAACUCUUCUCCUUGUGCCACUUAGCAGGAUCCGAGACCUUGAGGUGGUAACUCCCAGGAUAACGACCACAACUACCUUUAGGAAGUCACCAGGGGCCGCCACGUGGAAGCUGAGCACAAGGGGAGCCAGCACUAGUUCGGCCGAACCCCGGGCACUGCCUCUCAUGCCGCCUUUCAUCUGGAACACUUCCUAAUGGGCCCUCAAGUUGGUUCUAGGUGCCUGGGCCAAGUUAAGGUGAUUUACCGCCUAAUGUGGGCCCAUGGAUCUGUGUGCUCUUUCCUGAUUGGCUGGAGUUAUGUUUGUUUGCCACUUGGGUGUGCUUUCUCCUCCUUUGUAAGGAUAAGUUACCUGCAUACAAAUAUUCACCAACACUUGUGGAAAUGGUUAGUAAUAAACCCCCACCACUAGGUUUGGUGGUUGAUCUUGAUAGCUUUUAUGUAGGAGUUGAUGGUCAAAAGUGGUACUUAAGAGCCGUCAACAGUCACUACCUAUUUAUCCUACUCCGGGAUGGUAAAAUCCUUCAAAUACAGAGACCACGACUCUUGAAGGGAUACAAGGUAGGCUAUGCUAGUGCAAAAUAAAAUUUUCUACCUCAUAAAUGAGGAAAACUGUCGUAUAUGGAUGACGGGAUUACCACUAGAUGCGCAGAUGUGCAAGUUGAUGAAGCGCGUCAGGGUAGUGUAGUCAAUCACAUGUUGCCGCAAUGUAGUCAAAUACGUCCACAUCUAGUAGCUCCUUAGCAACUUGUCCACAUGCAGCGGCGUCCUCUUCGCGCGACAGCUCGUCAAGCUCCUCGUCAGCUUGUCAAGCUCUCAUGCGGUGGCUCGUCCAAGUGCUGCAGAUACAACACCAACAAGUUAUCCACACGUGCGGCGAGGAAACAUUGCAAGAUGAACUACUAGGUCCGCGAGUGCAACAAGGCGACGGCGUGGGGGGGCACAGCUGAGGUUCGGCCAAAAAGGAGUGAAACCCUAAGAUGUCCCCACCCCUCAAUAUAUAGGGGUCCUUGAUGGGCCUCUAGGUCUAAGGCCCAUUAGUACUCCCAAACCUGGUUUAAUUCGGAUCAUAUCCUCAUUGGGCUUCCAGCCCCUUAAGUAUGCGACCCUAUAGGUUCAUCUAUGCAUAGACAUGGCACGAGUACUCCUACUCGGCCAAUAGUUAGUAGCAGCCUCUAGCAAGACGUGCUAACUCCUAUGCGCACACAAAGAUCAUAUCAAACGAACCAUCACAACAUCAUGUACAUGCUAUUCCCUUUGCCAUAUGAUAUUUGGUCUAGCUUCAAGCCGACCUCUCUUUCUCGAUCCUGUGAUUUGAAAUCCCUCUCUAGGUUAACUCUUAACCUCACAUAGCAUGGCCAUGCAUUUCCGGAUCCGAUCACUCGAGGGGCCCAGACAUAUCUCUCUCAAGUAUAGAGGGUCAAAUUCCAUCUUGAUUGACCAUGCCUCACAGCAUGCUUCUUGACAAACCCAAAAGCUACCUUUAUAACUACCUAGUUACGGUGUAGCAUUUGAUGGCCCCUAAGUAAGUUGUUCCACAUCUUGAGUACAUGCGACAAUCUCAGGUCUAAGGACAAAGCGUACACGUUAUGUAAAGAGAGAACUAUGCAACUCGCGUUGGGUCAGUCCUAGCGCAUGUCUCUACAUGUGCCCACAUUAUUAGUUUGACAUCUCCAUGUCCAUGACUUGUGAAACAUAGUCAUCAACUAAUACAUGUGCUAGUCUAAUAUUCAUGUGUGUUCUCACAUGAACUCCGACUAGGGACAACUUUUAUAAUAACCAUACAAGUAAAGAGUUUCACACACAAUUCACAUAAUUGCAAAUUAAUUCAAGUAGCCUUUAACGUAUAUUCAAGGAACACAAUACAAAUCAUGGAUACAAUGGGAUAUCAUCAUCUCUAUGAUUGCCUCUAGGGCAUACCUCCAACAGUCUCCCACUUGCACUAGGGUCAAUCUAGAAGAUAUCUAAUACCCAUAGCUCUUAUGUGUGCAUCAUGCUUAGACUGCGGGAGAGGCUUUGUUAAAGGAUUAGAAAUAUUUAAAUCUAUGUGUAUUUUGCAUAUCUUGAUCUCGCCUCGGUUAACGAAGUCUCGAAUGAGAUGAAAUUGUUGCAUUACGUGUGUGUUCUUCUGGUGAUUCCUUGGCUCCUUUGCUUGCGCAAUAGCCCCAUUGUUAUCACAGUAGAGAUUCAAUGGGCUGGAUGCAUUCGGGAACACACCAAGUUCAAUAAGGAAAUUCCUUUUCCAAACACCUUCCUUCACGGCUUUUGAACCUGCGAUGUACUCGGCUUUUGUCAUAGAAUCAGCCACCAUCUCCUGCUUGGAACUCUUCCAGCUAACAGCACCACUGUUUAUCGUAAACACAAAUCUUGAUUGUGACUUUGAAUCAUCUUUGUCUGUAUGGAAACUAGCAUCGGUGUAACCUAUUACAAUGAGCUCCUCCUCACAUCCAUAGACGAGGAACAUAUCUUUAGUCCUUCUUAAGUACUUAAGAAUGUUUUUCUCCUCCUCACCUCCAUAGACGAGGAACAUACCUUUAGUCCUUCUUAAGUACUUAAGAAUGUUUUUCAUCGCCGUCCAGGGACUCUCACCCGAAUCACUGAUGUCUGCUUUUCAUACUUAGCGCAUAUGAAACAUCUGGGCGAGUACUUAUCAUUGCAUACAUGAUAGAUUUGAUAGCCAAAACAUAUGACACUCUACCUAUGCGAUCCCGCUCAUCAGUUGUCAAGGGACACUGAGUCUUGCUAAGGUGUAUGCCAUGUGACAUAGGCAAGAACCCUUUCUUUGCCUCUUCCAUGCUGAACCGUUUCAACACUUUGUCAAUGUAAGUAUCUUGGCUUAAUCCUAUAAGCCUUCUGGAUCUAUCUCUAUAGAUUUUGAUGCCCAAAAUAUAUGCUGCUUCCCCUAAAUUCUUUAUCGAAAAACUAUUUUUUAGUGAAGUCUUUACGGACUCAAGCAUUGGAAUGUUGUUUCCAAUCAGUAAUGUGUCAUCCACAUAUAAGAUUAGAAAUACUACAAAGUUCCCACUAACCUUCUUGUAAACACAAGCCUCCUCUCCGUUCUUAAUGAAGUCAAACCCUUCGACCACUUCAUCAAAAUGAAUGUUCCAACUCCUGGAUGCUUGCUUCAAUCCAUAAAUGGAUUUCUGAAGUUUGCAUACCUUUCCAGUAUUAUUCUGAUCAACAAAACCCUCGGGCUGCAUCAUAUACACGUCCUCAGUUAGAUUUCCAUUUAGGAAAGCUAUCUUGACAUCCAUUUGCCAUAUCUCAUAAUCGAAAUAUGCAGCUAUAGCUAGAAUAAUCCGAAUAGAUUUAAGCCUCACUACAGGCGAGAAGGUCUUGUCGUAGUCAACUCCUUGAACUUGUCUAAAACCUUUUGCGACAAGUUGAGAUUUAUAGAUGUGGACAUUUCCAUCCAUAUCUCUCUUCUUCUUAUAGAUCCACUUGCACUCUAUGGCUCUAACACCAUCAGGCGGGUCAACCAAGUUCCAAACUUGAUUGUCUCCCAUGGACUCGAUUUAAGAUUGCAUGGCACUCUACAAUUUUUUGGAGUCUGGGUCCAUCAUUGCUUCUGCAUAUGUCGCAGGCUCAUCAUUGUCCAACAAUAACAUUUCCCGCAUUUCGUGGAGCCUUGCCGACCUUUGUGGUCAUGGCGGUGCUUCUCUAUCCAUGGGUAUCUCAACUUGUUCUGCUACGUUAGCAUCACUCGUUGAUUCUUGCCUGAUUGGCUCAUCCCAAACUUCUUCAAAACACACUGUCUUUCCACUCUUCUCCCCUUUGAGAAACUCUUUCUCUAGGAAAACACCAUUCCAAGUGACAAACACUUUGCCCUCUGAUCGGUUGCAGAAAUGAUAUCCUAGAGUUUCCUUUGGAUAUCCCAUGAAAAUGCAUUUAUCCGACUUGGGUGUUAUCUUGUCCGACUAAAGUCGCUUGACAAAUACUUCACAUCCCCAAAUCUUUAGAAAAGACAAACUGGGAGUCUUUCCAGUCCACAUCUCAUAUGGUGUCUUAACUACGGAUUUAGACGGUACCUGAUUAAGUGUGAAAGCUGUUGUUUCUAGAACGUAUCCCCAAAAUGAUAACAGUAGGUCCGACUAGCUCAUCAUUGAUUGAACCAUGUCCAACAAGGUUUGAUUACAUCACUCGGAUACACCGUUUCUCUGAGGUGUUCUAGGUGGAGAAAGCUGUGGAACAAUUCUGCAACUCUUUUAGAUGAUUGCUAAACUUGUGGCUCAAAUACUCGCCUCUGUGAUCAGAUCGUAAGGCCUUAAUUUUCUUACCACGCUGAUUUUCAACUUCAUUUUGAUAUUUCUUAAACUUUUCAAAGAUUUCAGACUUGUGCCUCAUCAAGUAGACAUAGCCAUAUCUACUAAAAUCAUCAAUAAAAGUUAUGAAGUAUUGGAAUCCUCCUCUAGCUGUCGUGCUCAUUGGUCCACAUACAUCGGUAUGUACGAGUUCCAACAAGUCUAAUGCUCUCUCAGGAAAGCCUGUGAAAGGCACCUUGGUCGUCUUGCCUAGCAAGCAAGCCUCACAUGUCUUGUAUGAUUCAAAAUCAAACGAAGUUAAAAGUGCAUUAGAAUGGAGCUUCUUCAUGCGCUUUUCACUUAUAUGACCCAAACGACAAUGCCACAUGUAGGUAGCACUCAAAUCAUUAGGCCAAGGCCUUUUAGCACUUAUGUUAUAAACAGGUGAAUCAUCAAGAUUUAAAACAAACAAUUCAUUCACAAUGGGUGCAAAGGCCAUAAACAUAUUAUUCUUAGACAUCACACAACCAUUGUUUUCACUCGAAAAUGAAUAACCCUCCUUCAUCAAGCAUGAAGAAGACAUAAUAAAUCAUGACAGGAGGUAGAGUUGCAUCGUCCUGACAGUCAAUGCAGCAACUCUUGCAUUAUUGCCCACGCGGAAAUCAACUUCUCCUCUUUCCACACGUCUACUUCUUAUCAGUCCCUGCAUCGAAUUGCAAAUAUGAGCAACCGAUCCGAUAUCAAAUACCUAAGAAUUAAUAAUUGUAUCAAUGAGAAAUAUGUUGUCCAUAACAUUAAUAACAAGUGUACCUAAGGUGUAAAUACUCUUACUUCUGCUAUUCUUCAACGAAGCUAGGUACUGCUUGCAAUUUUUCUUCCAGUGACCAAGUUCGUGAUAAUAAAAGCACUCUUUGACUGGAGCAGGUCCAGCUUUAACCUUGGGUGCUGGGUUUGGCUUGGAGGCAGUCUUGCCCUUCUUCUUAAAGCUAGGCUUGUUCUGUAUUGUCAUCACAUGGCUGCUACCAGCACUUUUCUUAAUGUCAGCCUCUGCUAUUUUAAGCAUGCCACAAUUCAUUCAGACCCUUCUCCAUCCCAUGCAUAUGGUAGUUCGAGAUGAAGUUACCAUAGCUAGACAGAAGAGACGAAAGAAUGAAAUCAGUGGCCUACUCUUGGCCCAGUGGGAAGCCCAGCUUCUCCAACCGUUGAGUGUAACCAACCAUUUUGAUUACGUGUGGUCCUACUGUUGCACCUUCUGCUAGCUUGCUCUCAACAAAGGCCUUAGACACAUUGAACCUUUUAGUCCUGGCCUGUGUCUGGAACAUAUCUCUAAGCGCCACGAUCAUAUUGUAUGCCUCAUGAUUUGUUUCAAACUGCAUCUGCAGUUCGGUUUCCAUGCAAGCAAGCAUAAGGCAGCUUACUUCAAGAUUAGCAUCACAAGCUUUCUUGUAAGCAUUCUUAGCAGCAGCAGGUGCAUCAUUAGCAGGUUCUUCUGGUAAUGGGAUGUCCAGAACAUCUUCCUUUUUCUUAGCCCUGAGAAUAAUUCUCAGGUUACAGAUCCAAUCCAUAUAGUUUGUCCCAUUCAGGUUGUCCUUCUCAAGGACUGAACGCAAAGCAAAUGGUGUGGUGUUGCUAGGUGCCAUUUAUCUACAAUAAAUAAUAAUGAAAAAUACUAAGAUGAAAGUAUUUUAUGACAAUAAUUCACAUUAAACUUUUAACAUAAUCUACUCCCACUAAAAUCAAUAUCUCUCUAUUGAUACUUAGUGAUUUAGGAUCCACAACUAACAAGUCUACUAGUGAUCUUUAGCAUCACCGCUAGUAUUCAAGGUAGAUUGGUAAGCAACUCCUUGCUAAUCAUAUCACAUGUGACUCCUGUUGUUGGGUGACAUCUCCAUGUCUCGGUGCCCAACCUUCAUGCCCCAAAGUCCCUAACUGUUAAGAUGACCUUGUUUAAGCAAACCGAACCUUAUGCGUGUAAGUAUCCGAUACAAACCCGUCUAGUCAAGGAAAACUAGUGAUACUCUAAUUUCAUAGGCCCACCACCAAUUGUACAAGACAUGGGCUGGUACAACUUUUAGUUGGGAGGGCAUACUAACUUAAAAUUUGCAAGGGAUCGUUCUACUUCUAACAUCACAUCAAGAAGGAGUAAAACAAAAGGAAUAGCAUUCACAUAGUUUUGACACAGUAUGGCCCGAUUUCUAGUGGUGAUCUCCAUCUCCAUAGAACCUGUUCACCAUGAUGAUCUCCAUCUUCAUGUUCCAUGUGCGCCAUCCUCCUAGUGAUGAGUCCUCCAAGAACUAGUACAAGCUAUUACAUCUAACCAGCUAGUAAAGAAGGUUACAUAGUUGCUUGGAUCAUCAUAGAUUGACACGCAGGUCAUUAAUUACAUUAAUGUGACAGUACAUAUGGCUCCAGCCGUAUUGCCGUACGCAUGACACGCAGGUCAUGAAUCAGUUACACAUAUGCAUCACAUACACAGGGGCCAUACCAAUCACAAAAUCCUGCAAAACAGAGUUAGGUGUUCUAAUGUCCAAACUUAAAAGGCUCAAAACUCCAUCUUCCAAGCCGAAUUUGGGAAAUAUAAUUUCACUAAAAUCAUGUGUAACUUUUUCUAUAGAUCAAUUUUCAUAUAAAAUUCGCCUUGAUCCGAGAUCAUACCGAAAAGUUACGGCUGUUUUACUGAAACACAUGAUAUCGGUAAAUAAUCUAAUCCAGUAGUAGAUCAAAUCGACUACUGCACAUCAUAUGCGUCUGGCGUAUCAACCUAGGUUUCGAUUUGACCAAUUACAUUGAUCUUCACUUACUGCAACUGGCAUUACAUGUAUUACUUAACUCUGAUGGCGGAAAUCCUACCUGUAGGAGUAUGUCGUUAGAUGACCAUUGCAGCAAGAACACGAAACCAGAUGAUAGAUCAAUUUGAAAAACCGCAUAUCUCCAUAUGCACACAUCCCGAAUCCAAAAGUAAACAACAUUGGCUCUGAUACCACUAAAGGGAUACCAGGUAGGCUACGCUACCGCAAAACAAAAUUUUCUACCACGGAAAGCAGGAAAACUGUCGUAUAUGGAUUACUGAAUUACCACUAGACGUGCAGAUGCGAAAGUUGAUGAAGUGCGUCGGGGCAGUGUAGUCGAUCACACGUCGUCGUACUGUAGUUGAACACGUCCACGUCCAGCAGCUCCUCAGCAACUCAUCCACGUGCAGCGGCAUCCUGUAGUGUAGUCGAUCACAUGUUGUCGUAUUGUAGUUGAACACGUCCACGUCCAGCAGCUCCUCAGCAACUUAUCCACGUGCAGCGGCAUCCUCUUCGCGCGGUGGCUCAUCAAGCUCCUCGUCGGCUUGUCAAGCUCUCAUGCAGUGGCUCAUCCAAGUGCUACCGAUACAACACCUCCAAGGUAUCCACACGUGCGGGGAGGAAUUGUUGCAAGCCCAACUACUAGGUCCACGAGUGCAACAAGGCGAGGGCGUGGGGGGGGCACAGCUGAGGUUCGGCCAAAAGGGGGUGAAACCCUAAGCCACCACUACCCCUCAAUAUAUAGGGAUACCUGAUGGGCCUCUAGGUCCAAGGCCCAUUAGUACUCCCAAACCUGGUUUAAUUCGGAUCAUAUCCUCAUUGGGCUUCCAGCCCCUUAAGUGUGCGACCCUAUAGGUUCAUCUACGCAUAGCCAUGGCGCCAGUACUCCUACUCGGCCAAUAGUUAGUAGCGACCUCUAGCAAAACGUGCCAACUCCUAUGCGUACAAGAAGAUCAUAUCAGACGAACCAUCACAACAUCACGUACAUGCUAUUCCCUUUGCCUCACGAUAUUUGGUCUAGCUUCAAGCCGACCUCUCUUUCUUGAUCCUAUGAUUCGAAAUCCCUCUCUAGGUUAACUCUUAACCUCACAUAGCAUGGCCAUGCAUUUCCGGAUCCGAUCACUCGAGGGGCCCAGAGAUAUCUCUCUCAAGUAGAGAGAGGCAAAUUCCAUCUUAACUGAUCAUGUCUCACAGCAUGCUUCUUGACAAUCCUGAAAGCUACCUUUAUAACUACCUAGUGACGGUGUAGCGUUUGAUAGCCCCUAAGUAAGUCGAUCCACAUCUUGAGUACAUGCGACAAUCUCAGGUCUAAGGACAAAGCGUACAUGUUGUGUAAAGAGAGAACUAUGUAACUCGCAUUGGGUCAGUCCUGGCACAUGUCUCUACACGUGCCCAUCACUACAAGGUUUUGUCACUAAUGCCACAAUUUUUUUUGCAAUAGACAAUUUUCAUUGCAAUACAUAGGGGUUAUUACGACAAUAGUCCUUAUUGGUUGUAAUAGGGUGCCAUAUUGCCACCAUUUUUGUAGCGUUGCGAUUACAAUUUUAGUGGUUGUAAUAAAUACGCUAUAUCACAACGAAUAUAUGUUGGUUGUAAUUGCGGCGACGUUAUUGCCACGCUAUUUUAUAGUGGAGGCAAUAGUUGUCCAUAUUGCAACGAUUAUAACACGUUGUGAUAAGUACUAUCGUGCGUUGCAAAAGAGUCUUAGAGAUAGCAACGAACACGGUGUUGUUGCAAAAGAAAUCUUGGUUAUUACAACGGAAAAUGGUGUUGUUGCAAAAGAAAUCUUGGUUAUAGCAACGAAAAUAGAAAAUGUUGCAAAUGAGUCUUAGAUAGUGCAACACUAAUAUGAAUUGUUGCAACUAGUAUUAGAUAUAUCAAUGAAAAUGGUAUUGUUGCAAAAGAAAUCUUGGUUAUAACAACAAACACUCGAAUCGUUGCUAGACAGAAGGUGCUAUUGCAAUAAUAUAUAGUCGUUGCAAUGUAGGGGAAUGCAUGGUUGCAAUAGAUGAGUUUGUGGGUGCCGCUAGCUUGGUUAUGUUGGUGGGCCUUUAUUUUUUCCCACACAUAUGGCAAGCCUUUCUUUCACGAGCUGAGAGGCCUAAUUCUGAUAUAUCUCCUAGCGUCGCCUCCCCUCUUCCUUUGCAUGACUCCUCCCCUUCUUCACGGGAUGCUGCUUUCGUCGCGCGAUCGCCACCUGCCGUCGUCUUUUCUAGCGCACGAAUUGCCAAGUGCCAAGGAAGAGUCCCCUUCUUAGUCCUUCAUGAUCUUGUCGCCUCCCCUCCUUCUUCGCAUGACUCUUCCCCUUCUUCGCGUGAUGCUGCCUUCAUCGCGCGAUCGCCGCCUACCGUCGUCUUCCCUAGCGCGCGAGUUGCCGAGCGCUAAGGAAGAGUCCCCUUGUUAGUCCUCCAUGAUCUCUCAAUGCGGGAUGACACAGGUGUUGUCCGAUUCCAUCCUCUUAAUACAAGAUAUAAAAUCGAUCCAGACCUAUCGCAAUUAAUGUGCAUGCUGAUAAACUUGAGUUCUUCAAUUAGUAUAUAUAGUCAUUCAGUUUUUUAAGUACUUUUUGAUAGUAAUAAUACUGAUGGAGGAACCUAUAUUUUAUGCAGGUUAUUCAGGAGUUGUAUAGUAGUACAAACAUGUGCUUAAAUUAUUAGUUGGGUUUUUUUUGCAAUAUGGCACAUGAUCAUGAGGAUCGUAGUUUGAUGGAAUUGUCACAUACAGAUGCUGCGUGGCAAAAUGGAGUUGCUAAAUUCAUUGAAGAUACCUUUGAUGGCACCUUUCCAGGACAGACUACGCCCUAUCCAUGUAGAGGAUGUCGUCACAUGGCAUAUCAAAAUAAAGAAGUUAUUGAGUUGCACUUGAAUACCAGAGGGUUUGAUCUGUAUUAUAAAAAACAUCAUCAUACUGGUAGAUCUGUUAAACGUAUUGUUGUGGAUGAUGAUGAUCGGGAUGUCUGUGAAGGUGAAGAAGGUGAUCAUGAUGAUGGUGUCUCAUCCACUAAACUGCUUUCAUCGCUAAUUAGUGGUGCCAUACAUGGUGAAAUUAGAGGUGGUAACAUUGAGGAGCCAAAUAAUGAGUCAGCAAGAAAUUUUUUUAACCUUAAUGGAAGAAGCUAGGAAAGAACUAUACCCAAGUUGCAAGGAGGCUAUCCAAAUAUCUUUUAUUGUGAGGCUAUAUCAGAUUAAGUGCAUGUUCGGUAUUAGCAACAAUGCUCUAGAGCAAGUACUGUUAUUAUUCUGCCAUGUGAUCCCCCAGGACAAUUGUGUCCCAAAUACCCUAGACAAAGUUCGAAAGGUAGUUCAAGACCUUGGCUUGGACUACCAAAAUAUUCAUGCUUGUGUUAAUGACUGUGUGUUAUUCCGUGGAGAAGAGUACGAGAAGCUGAACGCAUGUCCAAAAUGUGGGGAGAGUAGGUGGAAAGAUACAUAUUUAGAGUGUAGUGGUGAUGGCACUAGUGGAGUAAAGAAGAAGCUCUUACCUCGUAAGAUACUGAGGUAUUUUCCACUUAUUCCUCGACUACAGAGAUUAUAUAUGAACGAGACCACAUCGGCACAUAUGCGUUGGCACAAGGAAGAACUGGUUGAAGAUGGGAAAGUGUGGCACCCAGCUAACUCAAAGGCAUGGAGGCACGUAGAUGCCAAGUAUAGUGCAUUUGCAAGUGAUCCACGUAAUGUUAGGGUGGGACUUGCAUCGGAUGGCUUCAAUCCAUUUGGGAUGUUGAAUGUGACUUACACUACAUGGCCAGUGAUCCUAAUUCUUUAUAACCUGCCUCCUUGGUUGUGCUUCAAACAAUCCUAUUGGAUGAUGUCGAUACUAAUUCCUGCGCCUAAAUCUCUAGGAAUUAACAUUGAUGUAUAUUUGAAGCCUUUGAUCGAUGAGCUUAAAGAGCUAUGGGACAAUGGAGUUGAUACUUGGGAUGCGAAUAAAAAGGAAAAUUUUACUCUACUAUUUUGGACAAUUAAUGAUUUUCCUGCAUAUGCGAUGUUGUCUAGUUGGAGCACAAAAGGCAGGUUUGCUUGUCCUUGUUGUCACAAGGAUACUGAUUACUUGUGGUUAAAAUAUGGUGCAAAGCAUUGCUAAAUGGGCCAUCAUCGUUUCUUGCCUAUGAACCACAGGUGGCGGAGGAACAAGGUCAGCUUCAAUAACAAGGUAGACAUGAGGGAGACUUCAGUGCCCCUCAGUGGUGCACAAGUAGUGGAGCAGUACAAUAGUUUCGAGCAAGUCACUUUUGGAGCGACUACUUUGGGGAAGAGGAAGCAGCGUGAUGAAGAUAAUAGAUGGCACAAUUGGAGGAAGAAGAGUGUUUUCUUUGACCUUCCUUACUGGGAUUAUCUGCUUAUAUGCCAUAAUCUCGAUGUGAUGCAUAUUGAGAAUAAUAUAUGUGAGAGCUUGCUAGGGACUAUGCUUGAUUUGGCUGGUAAAAGUAAGGACACUGAGAAGGCUAGACUCGAUAUGAAAGAAUUGGGUAUAAGGCAGGAUCAAUCCUUGGUGGUGCGCCAAAUAUUGCAAGAAGAAGUAGUGAUCCCAUUGAUCGAGCUUAGCAGGUCUUUUAGUUUGGUAUGUUCAACGGAGCUUGAGGAAACUAAGAUGAAAGAACUUACCAAAUUGAUUGGAGAGAACCUUUGUUGGCUUGAGAUGAUAUUCCCUCCAGCAUUUUUUGAUAUUAUGAUGCACUUACCAGUUCAUAUUGCUUGGGAGGCUGAACUCGGGGGCCCUGUUUCCUAUAGAUGGAUGUAUCCAGUUGAGAGGUACCUACGUACCCUCAAAGGCUAUGUGAGGAACAAAGCAUGCCCAGAGGGUUCAAUAGCAGAGGGGUAAAUCUCGGAGGAGUGCCUUACAUUCUGUUCUUGGUUCUUUGAAGGUGUUAGUACAAAGCUGAAUCAGCCAGAGCAACAAGAAAGGAGCACAGUUAGUGAACCACCUGCUGGUCUAAGUGUAUUUGCGAGCAUGGACUUCAUUAGAAAGAAAAGUAGUCAUAGGCACAAUAUGGGGAUACCUUCUCCUGAUGACUUGCACAGGAUGAUGCACUACAUAAUAUCCAAUUGUGAUGAGGCCACUCCAUGGAUAAAGUAAGCUACAUGUAAUCCUAUGUUUUUUUAAUAUUGUGUUCACUAUCUAAUGGACAUAAAUUUAUUGUUUCAUCAGUGAGCACAUGGAUGAAUUGAGGAACACCAAUUCGCAUAAUGUUGAUAGAAGGCACAAGGCUGAAUUUGUUCAUUGGUUCGAGUGUAAAGUGAGUCAUACAUAUUUCUGUUCAAUUUUAUACAUCACACUUGAAUAUAUUUGUCCGUAACAUAUUUUCCAAACAUUUCUGAGUGUAGAUCAGGAACCUACAUUCAGAGGGAAAAGCAAAUGAAAUGAUUUAUUCUCUAUCUCAUGGUCCAGAAUAAAUAGUUAGUGUGAGGAACAGGUGUUCCAUCAAUGGGUUUUUCUUCCGGACAUCAGAUGUAGAGAAAAAUCUAUCAACACAGAAUAGUGGUGUUGUCAUCAAGGGCAAUGAUGGCAUGGAAUGGUAUGGAGUGAUUAAAAAAAUCAUCAUCCUUAAUUUUCCUAACCAGCAUGAAGUCACAUUGUUCGAGUGUGACUGGUAUGAUGUUCCUGCACCAACUAAGUGCAAAUCCAGAGGGUACAAUAAAGAUAAAUUUGAAAUUAUCAAUAUUGAUACCACUCAGUUUCGCUACUCAUAUGAUCCAUACAUCCUAGCAACACAAGCGGAGCAAGUGUGCUAUGUGAAAGGCGGGAAGAAAGGUACUAAAUGGUGCAGUGUCCUCAAAAUGAAACCUAGGACCCUAUUUGCCAUGCCGGAAGUAGAGGAUAGUGGUGGUGAUACCAAUGUGGACUCAGUUAUCACAGGAGUGGAACAAAUUAAUGUUGAGGACCAGCAGGAGGCUUUGACAAACUGGAUUAGGCCAGAUGUGCAAGGGUUAACUAGUGAUGCAUCUGUACUUCAAAAGGUGGUGCCCAUGCCUGAACCGGAUUGUGCAGACAUAUCAGAAGAUGAUGAUGAUUCUGAUGACACCUACAUUGGUGAUGGAGUUGUUGCUCCAGUCAAUAUACCUGGAGAAAAUGAAGAUAUUUUUUUUGUGUAAUUUGGAGUUGUAAAGUUUACUUCGUGAACUAAUGUGCAUUUGAUUUCUGGAAAACAUUAAGAUAUUAUAUAUACCAUGAACCAUGAACUUUAUCAAAUGCUAAACCAGACGAGAUAGAGCUCCCAUACAUAAAAGUUACUUAAUUCAUACGAAUUGCAUCUAGUUUGAUAUAGUAGGUGCAUGCCUCUCAUGUUACCAAAAUAAAGCACAGGCAUCCAUUACUUCUACAUCAACUAACAUGUUAGCAAAAUAAACAUGGUUCAUGCCUCUCAUGUUACCAAAAUAAAGAAGAGGCAUCCACGACAUAAUCAACUAACAUAACUCUUAUAACUAAGAGUACCAAUACUUCUACAUCAACAAAGACUACUCCCUCAUCAACAUUAGUUGUCCUUGCCUUCCACAAUGUAGAAAUGGCCCUUUCGUAGCUUGCGCUUGAUAGCAACGCAAACCUCUUCUAUCUUCUCUCGCACCUGACAUUUUUGAAGGGGGUUACUUAGCAUGUGAAAAAGAUAAGCUAACUAGAUAAACCAAAAUAGCACAUAAUAGAAACCAAUUGAUGAUUAACUUAAAGGGUAGGAACAUCACCUGCCUACCAGACAGCUUAGGUCCAUUGGAGAGCUCAUCAUCGCUCCCGUGAGUGAGUAUCAUUGUACAUGACAUCUUCGGGAAAACGAUCUCGUAGGUAUCUCCGGCGACCUUCAUUAUAAGGAAAAUAGGGUCACAAAUCUAAAUAAAGUGUUGCUCAGUUUUAAUAGGAUCAUGACAUGGCAACUCAUAGUGUUAGAACUUAUUCAAAAUAAAGAACACAUACUAGUUUGAGACUUGCUGGCAUGUCUGGCAAGUCAUAUUGGACGUAUGGCUCAUCCUUUGAGGGAGAAGGCUCGAUGUAGAUGUGGUGGGCUCGGAUGGGGUCGUGCGGACUGCUUACUCGUGCCUAUCAUGAGAUCGCAAAGUUUAACAUGUCAUUGAAUCAAGAAAUUAAAUAUGUGGUAUACUAAAUCUAAUUUUCCAGCAUCAGCUCCUUAGGGAUCGAGCGCCUCAGCCGACACUUGGUGGAGGUGCCAAGUCCCUUUUUCUCCCCGACGGCCAUGGUUGAAGCCGUCCCCGGGAUCAUCUUCUUGAAUCACCCAGUGGCUUUGUCGCGUAGCUGCCAACUAGAGUUGUACAUCUUCUUGUGCUCAGCCAUGAUGGGAAGGGAAGCGGAGGAGAGCGAGCGAGGCGCGCGUGCGGGAUUGUGAUGGGACAUGUUGGGGGACAUAGGAGGGCGUUGAAAGGGGGCGGAGAUGAAGGGACCAUUCAGUUAUGGAAGCGUACUCUGGAAGCGGGAGUCCACGCCUUCAGUUAUGUAGGCUAGAUAUCACUGACGUGUGGGCCUGGUAGCAAUUGGGCCUACUCGAUAAUGACAUGAGUCACCCUGCAAACAAGCCGCAUCCAGGAAUGGGAGGGGACAAUGAGUAGAUUUUGUUUCUAAAAGCGUAGAGUACUUUUCAUAGCAAGAGCCAGUGAUAUGCGGUUCCCACGUGUAUAUGACAUAGUGGGUCCAGCUCCCCACACGUGCUGAUGAGGAAGCGUAUUCCUCGGGCGCACGUUCGGGAACCGAGUUGGAGGAGGUAAAGGAAAGAAUUGGGGGAGAUAGGGAGGAUAAUGCGGAAGUAGGGAGGUUAAGAUUUGAUUUGUUCUCAAUGGGUGGGUUAUUAGGCGGUAAAUGGCUGCAUGCUGGCGCCAACCCAAUUUUCGGCAAAAAUAAAAAAAAGGAAAAAGGGUGGAGGGCAGGGAUCGAAGCUGGAUCGUCGAUUUAUAUUAAUGUCGCAGACACCAUUGAGUUACUGGUUGUUUUGUUUCACUUCUAGGUUUUCAACCUUGUUAUACAUAGUUUUCAGACCGGCGUGUGACUGACAUGCAGGACCCACUUGUCGACGCCGGGUUCAUAUGCUGCUCUAGUUCGGUUCAUGGUGUUCGUCUGUUUUUAUUUUGAUUCAUUGUGAAAAUGUUAAACGCGUUUAGAUUUCGCAUUUGUUGUCCAAAUCCGUUGAUUCUUUUUCCAAUUUCUCAAACAACUUUUCCCUUUCACGUGGCUUUAUUUACAUUGUGUUACCCGACCCCUUGUAUUAACAUUUUGUCAUUUGCUUCAGUAUUUACUUACUCUACAAUGAAUCGAACUUUUUCGAAUGUGUCCAACAUACCAGAAGCUUAUGAAUAGGCAAGUUGGAAUCUUUUAUGGUCCAAUGUGUACCAUAUUUGUGUAUCCUAUAUAUGGCAUAUCAUAUAGGUGUAUCAGUUUCAAUGUCACACCUUCUUUGCCUUGAGGUGAUUUCAUGUGGGAGCUAAAAGACAAUGUUUCGGUGCAAAUUUGUAAUCGAUCUCCUCAAGGACAUGAUUUAUCGCACAAACCAUUGAGGUACUUGUUCUUUUUUCAGCGUGACAUCUUUACCAAGGUACACUUAUCUAGGAGUAGGAGUAUGUCCUAGCAUCGUGUUUGAUCUAUGUUGUUUACCCGGUCCAUAGCCUGGUCGCACCACAUCCCACGAAGAGCCGCCUUUUACCCAGGGAAACUUGAAAAGAAUAUUGAGGGGCAAGGGGAUUGAUACUGAGAUGAAAGACCAAGUUGUGAAGUGCCUUGCUCUAUUUGUGCAUUGAUCGAAUCAAGCAGGAUGGAGGCAAGUUGAGUAGGCAGUCCGGGAGUCCGGAGCGAAAGACUUGGAGGCAUCGAAGGCUUGGUGGAGGCUGGACACACGUCGACAUCGGUGAGUCACGCCUUAUAGGGCGUGCAAGAGAGUUUGACCGGUUUGACCUCAAAACCGGGGGUGAGUCUGGUGCGGUCGGACGGCGUCAAGUCGGAGGACGAGUGGCACCAUCACGAAGCUUGCGUCGAGGUGAAGCUAAAUCGUAAAGGCGCCGGGUCCAUCUGAUGAACGAAGAAAAAGCUGGACAGUUUUGCUCCUAGGGGGUUUGGAGUUGUAUACUUCAUGUAAGGGCAACUUGGGAAAUAGCCAAGUACCUAUAUAAUUGAGGAGAGGGCUGUUGGGGCAGCCAUCUCUUUGGGAUAGAUAGGUAGGGGUUUUCUCAUUUGCUUGUGAGAGCCUUUGAGGGAGAGAGGGAGAGAGAGAGGAGGGAUCUUUGUUUGACCUUUUCGCCAUCCUAGCUUUGAUUGUGCUAAGGAGCGGCUUGUACCAGACAUGUUGAAGUAAUCCAAUGAUCUAUUUCAUGCCAUCUUGUCCCAUCCCAGUUGGAUUUGCGAUUCGCGUUUGUAUUCUUCGUGUUCUUUGUUUCUUCCCUCUCUCCCCUUUCACAUUUUUGUUCGAUUCAUGAUUUCUGGGGUGUCUGGAGUCAAACCAAUUGUUUGGAGAUGAACUAGGAUGUGAGUUUAACCUUUCCACCAAAGGGAUUUGAUUGAAACCUCACGAGUUCAUAGAUCGGGGCGAUUCAAGUUCUAGGGUUGAAAAACUGAUGUUUCACACAAGAUAUUUAAUUCGCUUUGAUUGGCUGAUCUUUUUGAGGAGAUGUUUUGGGAACAUGUUUGUUAUGUUGUUGGCAAACUAUGGUUAAAAUUUUGUGAUUUUUGGAGGUUGUUUGAUCGAGUUUUGGAUUUUUCUUCUCUCCUCACGAAGGCUGAUUUUUGUACUGUCGGAAGUUCCGACGUGUCGGAAGUUUCCACACCGUGUCGGAAGUUUUGAAGGAAAAAAUUUCUAAAACGAUAGGGAACUCAUGUCAAGAGAUCCCCGGUACUUCCAAUAGGUAUCGGAACUUACGAUAGGGGGUUGGAACUUCCGACAGGAGCAGUUUGAGUCCUGUUUUGACUCAGAUCUUUGGAGUUUGCUUUCUAGAUCUUUGGAGUUUGCUUCCAGUUGUUUCUUGAGAGUCCCACUAUGUUAUCGAUCAUCACCAUAGACACCCAGCCACCCAGUUGGCUCGUGGAUCUCUCAUCUUCCGCUCGCUUCGGCUUUGGGGUUUGAAUUGGGGACAGAAGCCUAAGAUUUCAAAAGAAAUAUUUGAGGCUCUCAUUCGCCCCCCCUCUGGUCGCCUUUUCAGUCCUUCAACUCGUAUCAGAGCAUGGUUUAAGGAUCACACAACCUUAAUCGACUUUGUGAUCCAUGGGGUGACAAGCGAAAGGGCGUUUUGGCUUGUGGAUUUGGUUUUCGAGAUUUGAGCUUGCUUUGGGCUAAUCCUAACCGGUGCUUUGAGCUAUGGCACCAAGCUCUUCUUGUGUUUCAUUGUUCUCAGGUAGGAGGAGUUCGAAGAUUGCAUUGGAACCCGAAGUGGAGGUGGUGAUGGAUCUCCUCAAGAACUACCAGGACGCUGACCUCACAAAGGGCGAGUUCUAUUGCAGGCUAAGAGACAUAAGCCAAGGUACGCUUGCAAAAUGCAUCAUGGUUCUAUGCAAUCGUGUUGAUGAUUGUGAAGAUGAGAAUGAGAGAAACAUAGAGCUUUGUGAUGCUUUGCGUAGGAAGAAUGAGAAGAUGAAAUGUUCUAUUGCUAGGUUCAAAUGUGGAAUUGCUCAUUGGAAGUCAUGUGCUUUAAAUUCUUGCAAUUCUUGUGAUAUCUUUCUUAGAAAGAAUGAUGAAUUGAACUCUUCUCUUAAUUUCUUGAAAUCUGAAAAUGUCUUCUUGAAACUCAAUGCCUCUAUGCCUUGCAAUUCUUGUGUAGCUUUAAAUCAUGAUCUUGAUAAGGCUAGAGACGAAAAUUCAUUGUUGAGGUGCAAUGCUUCUUUGCCAUGUGUUUCUUGUGAGUCUUUUUUUGCUGAAAUUAAUGAACUAAAAUUGGCUCACACCACAUGUGUAGAUGAACUUGAGCAUGCUAGGGCUGAAAUUUGUGAAAUGAAGUCUAUGGCUUGUAGCAUGUGCUCUUUGGUGCUUGAUGAUGAUGUCUGCCUUACUUCUUGUGAUAAUCAUGAUAUCGUGUUUGAUGUGAAUGAUGAUCAUUGUUCAUGCGGUCUUAUUUGCACGUCAUGCUUUGAGUUGGAAAAUGAAGUUUUGGCUUUGAAACAAAUGCACGAUGAUUUGAGCGCCAAGUUGGUUGAGCAUAAUGAGAUGAGUGCCAACCUUGAGAAAGAAAAUGAACUCUUGCAUACUACAUAUGCUAAGUGUAUUGAAAAGGAGAUGGAUAAUUUGAGAAAUGCUCCAUGUGGUACUUGUGAUCGCCUCAAAUUUGAAAAUGAGGUUUUGGCCACAAGAUGCAAGAGUCUUAGUGCUAAGUCUUUUGAUUCUCGCAAUUCUUGUCACUCCAAUGUUGGUGUUUCCAAAAUUGCUUCUUCUCAACCGGAGUUUGCUUCUUGUGUUGAGUGUGGGUCUUUGGAUGAUAGCACUUGUGCUAGUGCUUUGGAUAUCUCUUCUAUAGCUACUCCUAAGCUUGUUGCUUCUUCCGGUAUUGCCCAAGACAAUUCAAGUUGUAGGAUGCUUCUCGCAUUUUUGGAACUCAUAUUUCCAAACCGAAGUUUCAUUGCAUGUUUUGCAAGAAAGAUGGGCAUACCGUUGAGUUUUGCUUUCGCCGUGUCAAGCAUGAGCGACGUGUGCGUGCCAAAGCUUUUAGGAAGCCACGUAGCCUUUCCCAUUGCACGUGUGAUCCUAAAUUGGGCACCAAGGUGGAUGUUGAUGCUUUUUGCUCUAAGUCCUAAGGGACUUCUUGUAACAGCUACCAUUUGAGUCAUUAAAGUGACUUUGAUAAAUUGGAAGCAAUUCAAGAAGAAAAGAAUAAGAAAUUGGCCAAAAAUCAAAUUCGGGUCAAAUUUGGCUGAAAUUUGAAUUUUGAAUUUGAAAUUCAGAAAAAUUCGGCAAAAAUAUGAAAUAGAAGUGUAAGAGUUACUGGAACUUAAGGAUCAAAAAUUGGGAACAAGAUUUGAUCCUGAAUGCUCAAAAGAAUCAGAGAAAAGAAAUAGAAAACUGAGUUACUGUUCCUCGUCUGAAAACAGAAAUUCAGAAAAACAGCCUCAGAGUCGACUUUGGAAAUUUAAUUCUGAUGAAUUUUUCAAGUAAGUGGAUCAGGACAACUAUACCAUGUUGAAGUAUGUACUUUGGACUCUUAGAAUUGGGUGUUGUUGGCCAGGAACAUGGAAGGGAACAAUUUCGAAAUUUAGCUCAAAGUCAGCACAUUGUCACAGUUGACUGUCACUGAAAAUGCCUAAGUCUGAAAACAGCAGCAUCUGAUCAACUUUGGAUUUAAUUUCAGAGAGAUGGAGAUCAAAAGGAGUAGGUGUUCUUGGGCAAAAUGGAAACUUUGGAUGUUGUAGAACAUAAUUGGGAAGAAGUUGGACUACAGAAAGGGGAUUUGGACCACCGAAAUGGAUCACUAAGUCGGGCAAAUGAGCACCUUGAUUAACUGACGAAACUGAAUGGAAGGGUAAACGGGAUUCAGACAUUGCCCGAGGAAAAAAGUCUAAAUUUGAAGACUUUUUGAUGUUUAUCUCGAGCAAAAGUUUAUAGAUGAAUUGGAAAGCUUGAGAUUAUCUACAACUUUGGUUAAGACCCAUGUGCACCGUCGGGUUGGAAAUCUACCGUGGGAAAGCUCUGAAGAUUUCGGGCAUCAGAAGAAAGAAAGGGGAACGAUGACAGAGCAGGCAGGACGUGUCGCCGCCGCCGUCGUUGGUCGCUCGCCAGCGCAACCAGCUAGGCCACCUCUUCACCACACAAGCCUAUGAGUAGGCCACGGUGUUGCCCAUGCGCGUGGUAAACCGUUCGUAUAAUUACCGCUCCCACGCCACCGUUUCACCGCCGCUCUUUUUACCGUCGCCGCUCCUUCUGCCCAGUCGCCACCGUCGAGCAAAAAUUCCACCGCCACACCGCACCUCCCGUCGAUUCCUUCCGUCCACACCUCCGCCUACACCCCACCAGCAACCCUAGCAACUUGUUGCCCAGCUUCUUCGCCGUCACGCCUUGAACCACCACCGCUUCUGUCCGCCGUCGCCGCGCCUCCCGCUCACGGUGAGCACUACCUUGCGCCGGUUCUCUUCCUUCUUAAGUAGUCGGAGGCAAGUCCUUAGGGUACUAGGAUGGUGUAAGAGUAGUUGUUCGAGUAGUUUGUGCCGUCGUCGUGAAUAGUCGCGACCGGCCGAAGGUGUCACCGCCCGCCGCCGUGGAGGAAAUGGCUCCGGCCAUCUCCCGAGGAGCUGUUGCCGCGCGCGGGUGCGUGAAGGCAUAGGGAUGCUGUCCUGACCUAGCUUCGCCGCCGGUGGGGCGCCGGCCGGCGAGUCGCGCCGCCCCCUGUCGCGCGCGUGUUUUGGCGGGAGGAGGAAGAAGCACCUGGAUGCUCGGGCCCGCGCGGCAAAGAAAGAAAGGAGGGGAAGGGGAGAAAGAGGCCGGGGCGCGGGCGUCUAUGGGCCAGCAUGUUGGAGGCCCACGGAGCCAACGCGGUCGACCGGAAAGGAAAAAGGGCCGGAGGCUCAGAAAAGGAGGGCAGGCCGCGCCGCGAAGGAAAAGAAAAAAAAAGAAGAGGGCCGUGGGCCGGUAUCGGACCAGAGAAAAGAAAAAGAAAAAGAAAGCGGCCCACAGGGCCCGUCAGAGGGAGAAUAAGGCCGGCGGGUAGAAAGGAAUAGGAAGAGGUGGGUUCGCGCCGUGGGGCCCAAUGCGCGUGAGAGAGGGUAGCGUCGAGCUGAGUGAGAAAAGUUUUUCCGGGUGUUUUUCGGGAAAAUUAGAUUUCCUUUAAGAAAGUAAUUAGUUUAAAUCCGAAUUACACCAUUUAAAUCACAGAAAUUUCUAGGAGUGUCCAAAAUUAGUGAAACCAAUUUUGUUAGGCUUGUUUUAUUUUCCUUUAUGCAUAAAAAUUUUUACACCCUAGAAAAAUAAUAAAAAUCCGGGUAUUUAUUUAAUGCCUUCCUUUUAAGGUAAUUAAAUAAAUACUUAAUAUUUAUAAAAUGUAUAAAAUAUAAAAUAACAUUUUCUUAAUCACAAAUUAUUCUUAACUCAUAGGAAAUUAGGUUUUCAAGUUAGAAAAUAAUUAUAACUUUUUCUAAAGAUAAAAGAAAAAGCCUUAAGGAGGGUUAAGUAAGAAAAAUAAAAUUGUGGGUUAAUCUUUUUGGGUUUAUGUGUGUUGGCUUGCAACUUUAUCAUGAUAGAUUGUAUAGUCCUUGUUGGCUUGCAACUUUAUCAUGAAGGAAAGUUGUAUAGUCUUUUAUUCAAAAUUUUGCAUUCCUAACCCCUGCAUAUAUUGUGCUAUAGAUCCCGAAGCACCGGAAGGAGAAUAUUUGGAAUUUUCAGAAGGACCUUCGGAGUUCGAAGAAGUUUUUGAAUUAGUCCCCUGUGAAGCCAACCCGUCAGAGAAUACUAACUUUUUGAGCGAACAAGGCAAGCCCUGGUGCAUUUAUACCUAUCUAUUUUGGAGUCAUUAUUUCAUGUGUCCAAUUAUCGGUUAUUUGCUUUAUGGAUGCACUAAGUCUGGGAGUUGCUUGAAACCUAUUCUUGUGUAUGAUCAUGCCUUGUUUUAAGGACAUCUUUGCCACUUGUUCAAACCUUAGAAGAUACCCAAGUCUAGAAUUGCUUACUUGCUUACAUACUUGGUUUACCAACCUUAAGAAAAAACUUUUGAGUCAUACAUAUUGCUUAUGGAAAUAACUUGGAAAGUUGAAAGCGGAUAGAAGCUAGAGAUGUAGUUCUGUCUGCUAGAUUAAUUUGGUUAAGGCCCGAUUCAUUGUCUUAACCUUUGAUCAAGUGAUAAGCAUCUGAUCACUUACUGGGUAUGGGACCAGUAAAGCCCAGUAGGUUAGUAAACUCUAUGAUCGGGAAUACUUCGUACUCGCGCUUGACGUGCUGGAGAUUGGCAGGGGCGUAGCCUGAAACUCACAUGGAGAUUGGGCCAGACGUGGGGUCCCAUGUGGGGGUGCGUCCCUGGGUCCGGGUAGUCAUAUUCCUAAUCAUUGAUUUUGCUAAUCGAGAGGUUGUUAGGUACGACCUGGACAGUCGUAUAAAGCUGGUGAUCAGGGUACUCUCCUGCAGGAUGUAAAUGGGUCCGGAUCGCCGCAAUUCUCGGUUAUGAAUGCACUUGAUCACUGUUGAGCAUCGUAGUUAAAUUCAUGUAAUAUAUAUAUCUUCUGAUAAUGUUUGAUGUAUGACUUAAUAUCUAUGAUUGCUUUUACUUUCUGCUCAUCAUUUAGAAUAGUUAUGUAAUGACUUAACCCAAAUAAAAGAUAAAUCUAAGGCAUCACUUGUAGUAAGCUUUUCAGCAAAAAGUUGCAUCAGCCAAGUACACCAAAAAGCUAUCAUAUACAUUCCCAGAAAACUAUUAUAUUGGUUAGUCGGGUAAGACUUGCUGAGUACCCCGUACUCAGGGUUUUCCCUUGUGGCUAUCUUUCAGAAGCUCCACAGGAGUCUACAGAGGAGGAAACCCCAAAGCCCUAGGGUAUUGCUAUGAGUCUCACAAUACCCUUAGAGAAGAAGUUUUAAAUGCUCAUCUCCUCCUGAACUGUUUAUGUUUAAAUCUUAGAACGUUGUCUAACACUGCACUGCUAAGUUUGCUUCAAUCUAUGUUCUGAAAUAACUCGUACCUUUUAUAUGUAUGUAAAAAUGUAAUGUUUGUUGAUGUUAUCCCAUCGCGGAUACUAUCCUGAUGUAUGGCUAUGAAAUACAACGUGGAUCUUUCGAGGAGUCCUAGGGACACUCAACGGACGACCGGACUUAUACUGUUUUAAGUGCGUUUCGGAUAUUUGCUGCGUCGGCAGCAAUUAGGCGCAUUUAAACCAGUUUAAGUUGGGCGGUUCCGCCACACUUCUCACUUGGAUGAGAAUGGUGAUUCUUCCUCUUGGACCAUGCCUCCAAAAAGGGCUUUGUACCAUUGCUCUCAUUGUGAGAAAGAUGGGCAUCAAGAGAGGUUUUGUUAUCGCCGUGCAAGACAAAUGCGGCGAGCUCGUGCUUCUAGACCUUUGGUUGUUCAUAGCCCUGCUCAUGGCGUGAACACUUGUGAACCUAGUAAGAAGCCACAUUUCAUUGAUGGGUUUUAUGACUCCUUUUCUAGUGAGUUAGCUCAUGCACGUGGACAUGCUUCUAGUUCUUCCUAUGUUGGUCCAUGACAUGGUUCUUAUGGUGCUUGUGUUGGUUCUUCUCUUAAGACCUUGGGGGAUCAUUGCCUUUUUUCUAGUGGUAGCACUCGUUCUUCUUCUUGAGUUGCUCUUUUGAGGCAUGUUUCCAAGGGUGUUUCAAAACCUUAUCAUUUGAACCAGCAUUUGCAUCAUGCUAACCCACAAGAUAAGUUGAGUGCAUCUUUUACCCGUGCGACUAAGUUUUGGAUUCCCAAGUAUAUGCUUGCUAACCCUUUGGGAUCCAAGACUCGGUCUUCUUUGUCCCCUCAUGUGUAGGUACGGGAAUGUGGGUGGAGAACAUGAGCUCGAAGUGACUUGAUCUUUUUGCUUGAGGUGAUCAAGACUUGAUGGUUCUUCACACCGUGUGGAUGGCCCUCAAGAGGCCUUUGUACACUUGUAUAGUGAGUCUUUGUAUAAUCCUUUGCACCUUGUUGACAUGUUUGCUUUGCCCAAACUUUUAUUCAUAAAUAUGGAAUCAUGUUGCAAUGUUUUAAUUCCUCACAAUUGAUAUCAUCAUUGCAUUGUGUGACAUGAUUUGAGCUUCAUCUUAUUUUUGUUUGCUAGGUGUCUUUGGUUGAGGGGGAGUUCGACUUCAUUCGAGGGGGAGUUUGGAGCAAAACUUACUUUGGUUUUGGAUAUCCUCUUUUGAUCUUUAAUCUGUAUCACAUUUGAUCUCUCAAUUGGAUUCCAUCUUCUUCAAUUGGUAUCAAGUGAUGAAAAUUUUUGAUUCUUCAAUUGGUAUCCCCUCUAUGGUACUAAAUUGGGAUCAUUGGCGGUUCUUCUUUUCCCAUGGAGUUUUUCCUAUAUUGGUUUGACUGUCAUGAGCUUUCUUGUUUUUUAGCCGAGCCUCAUCUCUUUUAGCAUUACAUUGCAUCUGUAUCAUAAUGCAUUUUGUCUCAUAUUGCACUAGAUGAGCUUCUCUUAUAUGCCCUGAAUACUAUCUUAUGCUGCUUAUGAGCUAAUGCCUUGGUUGGUUAUGAUUGAUGCAAUGUGCAGUUAUGCUCUUGAUGAUAUUGUACACUGGUUGAGAUAACUAUUUUUUCAAAUCCCAUGCUAAUAUUAUACUCUAUGAACUUGCUUAUCACCCUUGAGUAGAUGCUUAGUUAUGGUUUGCCCUUGUUUGAAUGCUGGUUCCAUUUUUAGCUUAUAGUUGGUAUUCAUGUUCUUUUCAAUCGGGUCAAAGAUCUAGGUAUCAUUGCAGAUGUUUAGCCCAUGAUGCACCCCUUGGGGAAGCAUAACUUCUUUGUGCCGCAAAGGCACUUCAUGUACUUUAUCUUGUGUGAAUAAUGAAAAGAAAAAAGACAAAGAUAAUAAAUUCACAAAUUUCACCAAGUAUUCAUGCUUCAUGUUCAUAUUCUGGUUUGCUUAGUUGUUACAAGAUGUCUACCAAAGGAAGUAGGCACUUGGUUUCAACAAGCUUCACAUGACAAGUGAUGUGUUGUGGGUGUCCACAAUGAUCUUUUGUUAAGAGUAUUUGUUCCUUGUAUGAGCUUUUGAUGGCCUAGUCCUCCUUGCUUGGGUAUUUCUUGACUAGGUAUUUGCUCAUGUGGUGAUCUUUUUGAACAAUGCUAAAACUGGAUAUUUGCUUCACCUCCUUGUUGUAACAUAAAUUCAUCUUGCUAGCGAUGCUAUCGCUCCUUAUAAUCCACCAAGCUUAUCUAUCUUGUAGGCUUUGAGAGUACUUUGUGGUAUGUUUGAGAAGCUUGGUAGGUUCUGCAUCUCCUUACAUGCAUUUUGUGUUCUUAUGCUUGACUUGAUGUUUGCAUUGCCAACAAGGGGUAGAAAUUGGGAGAAAUUCAUACAAACUCAUUCUUUUGUCAAGGGGGAGAGUUUUUCAUGCAUUUGUUCAGAGGGAGCUCUGUGAGUUUUUUAUGCUCUUGUGCUCAUUUGCUCUCUUGCCGGUCGCGUUGAGCUUCUUUACCUCUUCUUGAGGAGCCGGUAUUUGAUUAGAGUAAUUGUGAGUUUGUGUAUGCUCUUGUGCUUUUGUGCCGGUCGCGUUGAGCUAUUUACCUCUUCUUGAGGAGCCAGUUUUGAUUUGAGUUUAAAUUUUCAUGUGAUUAGUAUUGAGCCCGUUUUCUGCCUCUUCUUCAGGGAUCACAUGAUUUUAUCUCAGUCAUGUAGAGUUGUUGCCCUUAUCUUAGGGGACUGAGAUUUUUCAUUUCGAGUUUCCAAUGACUUUGAUACUAGCUUUUAUGGUUCUUCUCAUGCCUAGUGACUUCAAUCCUUGCCUUUACUUGGUUUUUGAUCACUUGGAUGAGAUUUUUAGCUUUUACCUCUCAAACCUUUUCUAUGUGCUUGAAUGUUGUCAACACACACAUCAAGGGGGAGAUUGAGAAAAUGAAGUUGAUAUGAACCUUGAUUUUAUAGUGAUGAGCGUUUGACAAAUGUUGAAAUGGCUUUGACGGCAUUUUGGGAUUGAUGAAGCUCUUGUGUCUUUUGCUUGACUCUUUGGCUGUCUUGUGGGAUUUAUCAAGGGGGAGAUUGAGACAUGACUUUAAUGCAACCUAGAAUUUUUGUUUGGAGGUUGCAUAAUCCUUUCUCAUAUCAAGUUGCCUUGUGUUUGCUUUUACAUGGCUUUUAGGCACUUGAAUGAGUUUUUCUCUUGCUUUCAAAUCAUCUUUUGUCAAUGCACUUAUCAAGGGGGAGAUUGAGAGACCAAGUUGUGAAGUGUCUUGGUCUAUUUGUGAUGAGUGAUUGACUAGAUGAUUUGAGGCUUUACUGGUUGAGUCCAUAUCUCAUAUGUGCAUGAUUAUGCUAACGGCUAACCGGAUGUGUUGUGUUGAGUGCGUUGUGUUAUGGUGUUUAUGUAAACUAUAUGUUGUGUGUUGUGUCUCUUGAUGAGAUUGUGCAGGUGUAGGAUGUGAUGUGGCGAUCAACGGCAUGAGGUGAAGGUCAAGCGUGAAAGGUCCAUGCCGAUGAACUAGGGCAGUGAAGGGUGGACACGAGUAGGCUUGGACCGGGGGACCCGAGGAGUCCGGGCAGAGUCAUGGGCGAUCCACAUGGUGCACGGAAGAGCAAGAGAACAUGGACAGUGAUGGAGAUGGCAUUGGUCGAGUCAAGCAUGAUGGAGGCAAGUCAAUUAGGCGGCCCGGGAGCGGGGGCGAAAAACUUGGAGGUGUCAAAGCCUUGGCGGAGGAUGGCCACGCGUAGAUAUUGGUGAGUUACGCCUUAUAGGGCGUGUAAGAGGGUUUGACCGGUUUGACCUCAAAACUGGGGGCGAGUCCGGUGCGGCCGGAUGGCGUCAAGUCAAAGGACGCGUGGCACCAUCACGAACCUUGCGUCGAGGUGAAGCUAAGUCGUAAAGGCGCCGGGUCCAUCGGAUGAACGAAGAAAAAGCUGGACGGUUUUGCCCCUAGGGGGUUUGGAGUUGUAUGCUUCAUGUAAGGGCAACUUGGGAAUUAGCCAAGUGCCUAUAUAAUUGAGGAGAGGGCUGUUGGGGUAGCCAUCUCUUUGGGAUAGAUAGGUAGGGGUUUUCUCAUUUGCUUGUGAGAGCCUUUGAGGGAGAGAGGGAGAGAGAGAGGAGGGAUCUUUGUUUGAUCUUUUCGCCAUCCUAACUUUGAUUGUGCUAAGGAGUGGCUUGUAACCGGACAUGGUGAAGUAAUCUAAUGAUCUAUUUCAUGCCAUCUUGUCCCAUCCCGGUUGGAUUUGCGAUUCGCAUUUGUGUUCUUCGCGUUCUUUGUUUCUUCCCUCUCACCCCUUUCACAUUUUUGUUCGAUUCAUGAUUUCUGGGGUGUUUGGAGUCAAACCGAUUGUUUGGAGAUGAACUAGGAUGUGAGUUGAACCUUUGCACCAAAGGGAUUUGAUUGAAACCUCACGAGUUCAUAGAUCGGGGCGAUUCAAGUUCUAGGGUUGAAAAACUGGUAUUUCUCACAAGAUAUUUAAUUCGCUUUGAUUGGCUGAUCUUUUUGAGGUGAUCUUUUGGGAACAUGUUUGUUACAUUGUUGGGAAACUAUGGUUAAAAUUUUGUGAUUUUUGGAGGUCGUUUGAUUGACUUUUGGAUUUUUCUUCUCUCCUCACGAAGGCUGAUUUCUGUACUGUUGGAAGUUCUGACGUGUCGGAAGUUCCGACACUGUGUCGAAAGUUCCGAAGGGAAAAUUGCUGAAACGAUAGAGAACUCCUGUUGGGAGAUCCCCGGUACUGCCGAUAGGUAUCAGAACUUCUGAUAGGGGGUUAGAACUUCCGACAGGAGCAGUCUGAGUCCUGUUUUGACUCAGAUCUUUGCAGUUUGCUUUACAGAUCUUUGAAGUUUGCUUCCAGUUGUUUCUUGAGAGUCCCGCUAUGUUAUCAGUCAUCACCAUAGACACCCAGCCACCUAGUUGGCUCGUGGAUCUCUCAUUUUCCGCUCGCUUCGGCUUUGGGGUUUGAAUUUGGGACAGAAGCCUAAGAUUUGAAAAGAAAUAUUUGAGACUCCCAUUCACCCCCCCUGGUCGCCUUUUCGGUCCUUCACGAGAUGUACAUGAUUUCAUGCUAGGUACGAAAGCAUGCGAAAGCUAUCUGCAUAAUUAAGACUGAUGUGUCAUGUCCACCAUCUACCAUCUCGAUCGGGGCGUGUCAUGCAUGUUUUGCUGCAUCACCAUGUAAUGUGAGUCGUAGUCAAUAGAGUUUUUGAGUACUAGGCCUGCGGUAUGUAGUGGGACAAGACGGGACAGGAUGUGGUAAGUUAUUGCGGUAUGCAGUGGGACGGGACAGAAUGGGAUGUGGGAAGUUAUUGCGGGGCCUAUUCCAGCGGUCGCCUGCCAUUUCCGAGAAAAGUUGGCGCCUCCUGAUCUCCCCGUCUCCUCCGCUUGUUCUUCGGCAGUUCCCAAUGCACGCUUGUUCUUCGGCAGUUCCCAAUGCACCGUCCGCCUGAUCUCCGCAUCUCCUCUGCUUGUUCUUCGGUAGUUCCCAAUGCAUGGUUGUUCUUCGGCAAUUCCCAAUGCACUGGCAGCGGGGAAUAUCUAUAACUCCUCCUGUACUUGGGUAAUAUCUAUAACUCCUAUACUCGGGCUCCUCUCCGCAGUCUCCUCGCCAUAUCGCAAAAAGAGGUUUUCAAGAACUUGGCCUGUAGCCCACCAGCACCCCCUUCCACCGUUCCCCCUUAGAUUUCAUGAUCUUCCACCUCUCCACGCUCAUGGCGUCGGGAAGGCAAUGCCGAUUGCUCAUAGACCUCCCUAUGGAGAUGCUCAUUGACAUCACUGGCCAUAUUGCUGCAACCUCCUUCCAGCCCAUGGACGACCUCCACAACCUAUGGACGGUCUACAGGGUCAUGCACCGUGCUUGCGGUGACCCAUCCGUCGGACAGUGCGUGGCAUUGCUCAGGACGUACUGGGAGGAUAUGCAGUGGAACGAGCCGGACAGAUACUAUGCCCUCCUCGCUCUGCUGGUUGGUGUGGGGAACCUGGAGGCCUACACCAUCAAAGGGAUUGUAGAUUUCUUUGCCAGCCCCCAGCCAUCCCUCCAUGAGCUCUCCCGUGCUGCAGCGGGUGGGCACGAUGUGGGGACCUAUCUGCAUGCCCUGAUGAUGUACAGGAACAAUGGCGGUGCCGCGGAUGAUGACAUUGCAAAGAUGUACAUACGUCGUGUCGAAUGCGAGGAUGGUUCGGCUGUGAGCGGGAGCGUAGGCCCAAAGAAGCUGCGCUGAGAGACCAAGUUGAGAUGUGCUUUAGUCUAUUUGUGAUGAUUAUGCUAACGGCUAACCGGAUGUGUUGUGUUGUGGUGUUCGUACAAAACAUAUCUUGUGUGUUGUGUCUCUUGGCUUGUGAUGUGCAGGUGUAGGAUGCGACAUGGCGGUCGAUGGCAUGAGGUGAUGGUCAAGCGAAAGGUUCAUGCUAAUGUACUAGGGCUGUGAAGGGUGGACACGAGUAGGCUUGGAUCGAGGGACCCAAGGAGUUUGGGUGGAGUCAUGGGCGAUCCACAUGGUGCAUGGAAGAGCAAGAGUACACGAACGGGAUGGAGAUGACGUCGGUCGAGUCAAGCGGGAUGGAGGCGAGUCGAGUAGGUGGCUCGGGAGCCGGGAGCGAAAAACUUGGAUGCGUCGAAGGCUUGGUAGAGGUCGGACACGCGUCAGCAUCGGUGAGUCACGUCGUAUGCGGCGUGCAAGAGCGUUUGACCGGUUUGACCUCAAAACCAGGGGUAAGUCACACCAGGAGGGUGUGUAGAGGGUUUGACCUCAAAACCGGGGAUGAGUCACACCAGGUGGGUGUGUGCAGAGGGUUUGGGUGGUUUGGACCUCAAAACCACCACGCAGGCAG
rnacentral:lncRNA from 1 species